CACAGGCAAACAAUGCUGCUCAACCAGCACCUCAACUUUACUGGAACUCCGUCCUGCCAAACACACAGAUGCCAAGAUCUAUCAGUGAACUUCUGCAUCCUGGUUUGUGUUGAGCUCUUUAGAAUCUUAGAUAUCUCUUCUACCUGCCAUUUUACUUAAAUAUGUUCGACCACAUAUUUAUCAGUUAACUACUGUCAUUACAUGAGUGACACAUAUUCACAAAUCGGCUGAUCACUUAUUUUCCAUUAUGACGUUGAUAUAUAAUUUGCAGACUCCACAAAUGAAGAAAAGAGCACAAAUGACGUUGGCAAACCUGAAACUUUCCCAUUGGGCAAUCAAAAUUACUCCAGUCAAAAAAAUUAUGGAACAGGCAAUAAACGUUACUGCAGUCAAAAAAGGUAUGGAAGAGGCAAGAAACGUUACUGCGAUCAAAAAAAGUAUGGAAGAGGUGCUUCUCCAUCUGACAAUCAACUACUCCAUUAUAAAGACUUAGCUAUUUUCUUCUUGGAGAAGGACAUGCGCCCUGGCACAACAAUGAAGUUCCAAUUCUCUAGAAAUUCAAACACGGCUACUUUCUUGCCACGAGAAAGCGCUCAAUCGAUCCCCUUCUCCUCUAACAAACUACCAGAAAUUUUCAACCAUUUUUCAGUGAAGCCAACAUCUGAGGAAGCCAAAACAAUUAAGCAAACAAUCGAAGAGUGUGAAGCUCCCGGCCUUAAGGGAGAGGAAAUAUAUUGCGCCACAUCUUUAGAAUCAAUGGUUGAUUUUAGCACUUCGAAGCUUGGAACAAGAAACGUUGAAGCAAUCUCGACGGAGGUAUUGGAAAAAGGAGCCACCAUGUCCAUGCACAACUAUACAACAAUGCCGGGACUGAAGAAGUUGGCCAGUGACAAAGUCGUUGUGUGUCAUAAGCAGAACUAUCCCUAUGCUGUGUUUUUCUGCCAUGCAAUAAAACAUACAGCAGCUUAUGUUCUCUUCCUGAAAGGCGAUGAUGGGGAGAAGGUUAAAGCAGUAACCAUCUGUCAUCUAGACACAUCAGAAUGGAACCCAGAGCAUAUGUCCUUCCAAAUCGUCAACGUUAAGCCCGGAACCAUUCCCAUCUGCCAUUUCAUUUCCACUGAUGCUAUUGCCUGGGUUCCGAACCACAAAUCUGCAUGAUCAUCACUUAGCACUGUACGUAUAAUUAUCUCCUUACUUAUUUCUGCCUCUUCAUCAUGUGGUGUAAGAUAUAUGAUGAGAUGAAGUUUUUGGGAUUAGUGGUUGGGUUGCCUGAAAAACACAGAUUACAGAAACUGCUUGAAAUUAACCCGAUCAUGUUUUCUCUUGUAACUAUAUAGACUUCAACUUGUACUCAUAAUAAAGCAUGCUAUAUUUAUGAAGAGAUAUUAAUCUAUAUAUAUUUUUUAUAUAUGCUUUGGCUUUGUGGUUCUACCCAAUGUUUGAGUGUUGAAUUGUUACGUUGGAAUAGGCUGCUAAUGCAUGUAGUUAGAGAAGCCUUCAUUUAUAUCAAAGUCCUCAAACUAUCAAGAACUAAUGUAUCCAGAAACAUAUACCAAGACGCAAAACAACAUAUUUUCCAUGCUCUGUCUGUAACACCAAAGCAAACUUCCUUGAUCACAAAAGGAUCAAAUUCCAGUACUAAUCUAAUCCAUCAUGUAAAGCAUACAAGUGCCUCCCUAAAUACUAUACUCUUUUUGUUAUUUCCUACUAUACUAUUUAAGAUUUAAAAUUCAGGUCAACCCAUAGAUUUCUCGCCUUUUUCUUCUUCAUCUCGUCGGGCUUGUCUUCUUCUUGAGGAUUGUAUAGGCCAAGGAAAUGCUUUGAGUUAGUUUUUGCGCUUUUGCGUUUUGGGCCUUGGAAGUUGGGACCCAAACCAACUUCACAAAAAGAAAACGCUCAGACUAUAAUGAGUGGAAAGUUAUAAGGGGUAAGUUAUAAGGAGUUCACUUUAUAGCCAUCAGAUCAAUCUAAGGGCUGGGGAGAAUUGAGAUAAAGUUUUAAAAUCGGGUAGGUGAGGAACCCAAACCCGAAUUGAAUAUCCAGCACGUCCGAAAAAGAAGAAGAAGAGGCAAGCACGUCCGAAAAAGAAGAAGAAGAGGCAAGGUCGAAGUUUGAACAGAAAAAACUCAUCUCUUUAAAACCCAUAGCUCUGAGAAACGGUUGAAGGCAACGGUUAACGACGGUUGUUGAAGCCACUCCGUUCUCCAGACCCUGAAAAAGUAUUUAUUUUGAGUAGAAGGGGCAAAUGUGUGGAUUCCGAAACAGUGAAGGGGCGAAGCAGUGGAAGGGGAAGGAGAGAAGCCGUAUUCGUUGGAAGUGGUAGGUUCCAUUUGUGGAGCAAAGCAACACAAAGACCCCGCACAGACACCUUGCGAUUGUUCAAUAACCAGCAUUUGGUGAGUAAUUUAUGGAAUUUGAGUUUAGGGUUAGAGUAAUGGUUUUCCCCAAUUUGUACCAUCAAUUUUGUUGGAUUUGGCAUCUCUUCUUUGUGCUUCAGUUGCAUGUUAAUUUUUGCUUGGGUAUAUGUUAAAAAAAGAAUGAAAAUCAAGUCAAUAACAAGUGAAUAACAUGUCAAUAAUGAUAUGAAUAAGAUAAUGGUGUUGAAUUGGAGGAGGCCCUCAAAACAUUCCACAUUUGAAGCAGUGCAUAGUGCAGAUUAUCUCUCUGGCGCUAGAAUAUAUAUAUAUUUUGAAAUAAAUAUGAUUUCCUUUGUUACUAAAUUUGCCUGAGAAACAUGAGAACAGAUAAUAAUAAACUCAUGAAUAGAAGUGCAAAGCAUUUGAUGAGUAAUUUAUGGAAUUUGAGUUUAGGCCCAGGAAAUUCCUUGACCCCAAAAAAAAAAAAAAAGUUGAUUUAAAAUUCAGGUCAACCCAUAGAUUUCUCGCCUUUUUCUUCUUCAUCUCGUCGGGCUUGUCUUCUUCUUGAGGAUUGUAUAGGCCCAGGAAAUGCUUUGAGUUAAUUUUUGCAUUUUUGCGUUUUGGGCCUUGGAAGUUGGGACCCAACCCAACUUCACAAAAAGAAAACAGAUUUGCCAAAAAUCAAAUUUCAAGUCUCUCCUCCGAUCGAAAUUUGGAUUUGAUGAACUAAAGUGGUUUUACUUUCUCCAUCAGUGUUUGAUAACUUAAUUUGUUAUUUACUUUUUUUUUAAAAAACUUUGGCUUAUAUAUAUUAGUUUUCUUUUUUCCUUCAUAUUCACCACCUUUAUGUUGCAUAAGUAUUUCAGUCUUAAUGGGUUUCCAUCUACCACUCAUCUUUGCUCUUCUCAGUGUAAGCCUUUUUUUUUUUUUAAAGCACAAGAUUAGAGGGGAGGGGGAUUUCUCAAUGUAAGCUUUGCAGUUUCAUAAUUAAUAUUUCCAAUAUCUCACUGUUAGUAAAAUACAGAAAAAGUACUAAUAACAUAUGCACAUGUUACUAAUUUAUUGAGAUAAAACACCAUUUUGCCCCUAGAAUAUUUUAUUAGGUUUAAAGUUGACUUUUUGACCAGGAAGGAAUUUGGGUAUUUAGACUAUAUCGUUGCGUAGAGCAUGGCGAGAUGAGUCCGUAGACACAUGAUUGGCUCGAAUCAGAGUUAUAAUGAGAGAGAUACGAUCAAAAUACCCUCAGUGGUAUAACCGUAAUUUUGGCUUAAAGGGUUUGAUAAAAUAUAAUUUUUCUUUCUUUCUUUCUCUCUCUCUCUCUCUCUCUCUCUCUCUCCUCUCUCUCACGACGGCAGUGAUAGCCGGCCACUUUUUGGCCAGCCAUGCUCUCGUCCGGCCACUAAAGUUGACGGGGCCGGUACCAAAAUGACCGGGCCACCAUCCUUUUCCAACCCCAGCCAGGCCCCACUGCCAGCAGUCGUGAUUUUGCUGAAAAAUGGAGAAGAAGCGGCCGAUUUCGUUCGAACUUCUCCGACUUCGUUCUCUCUCCUCCGGCCACCGAUUUCGAUGAAUGAGGUAUGGUUUCUCACCUACUUUUUAUGCUCUAGCUGCCUGUUGGGUAGGAUUCGAUCAAUUCCUUGCGUAGGUAGCUUGAUUUUCGAAUUGGAUUUCGGCCGGUUUUGGGAUCUCGAUUCCGGCCACUUCCGGUCAGUUUUUGGGGUACAUCCCAAAACAAAAGUGGUUCUAAAUAGGGUGUUAUACCUAGGGUAGGAACCUUGAACCGUAAUUUUGAGAAUUUUCGGUGAUGCCUAAUCGCUUUGGACACCUACGCUAUGCCUGCGUGUGGGCACUAUAGAAAAAGGGCAUUGUGUCCCGAUGCAAUCCCCUUGUUGUCUUGAGCGCGUAGGUGUGCUCGGAUUUCAAUUUGGAUACCGUUUGAAUCUCGAACGAAUAUCGCAUAUUGUGCGUUAUUCGGGGUCGAUAGGUUUGAACUGUUGGAUAGUCUUAGAUUUAUAAUAUGUUAAUCUAGACAUUCUUAGGAUCGAAUGGGAUUAAACGGAUCGUAAAACGGAGUCCCGGAUACUCCAAAAAUGCCAACCCUAGGGCUAGGUUCCUAGUAACCGUCCGAUCGUGCGAUCGUGAGCGAUCCGACCGUUUGAUCCGAACCAAACUUGCAGGACGUGUAUCCUAAACCUUGUAGAACCCAUAGGAACUUUCGGAUUAGAAUUUGGAGGUCGUGGGCCCCUUGGGCCGUUUGACUAAGUUUGGGUAGUUUGACCCUUGGCUGAUCGUGAGUCUUCAGAGGUCUUGAGCGUUGUUGAGCUAUGUUGACUAGGUUUAGACUUUUAGAGUGUUUAUUAUUAUCAUAGGAAACUAUUAGAUAUUAUUUUAAUAAUUGAAAUUAUCAAAUUUAUGUUUAUGUGCAUGAUUGUUGGUCUAAAAAUAACAUUGUUUUCUUGAUAAAAUUACGUUGCAGUCUACUAUAGACUGGUAUCACUAAAUGGAGAUUACCUCUAUUAUUAGUUUAGAUAAUUAAGAGUAUGUCAGUUUGAAGUGCUAUAUGCACUACCCUAAGUACCACCCUGUGAUUGUUAGGUCCCAUGUGGUGUAGAUUAUACAGCGUCAGGACAGACCCCAUACGUGGCUUUGGAUGUUCUGGCGCAUGGGGGAGAUUAUGUAAUGGUUAGGUCAUACGUGGCGUAGGUUAUUCAGCGUGUUGACAGACCCUAUACGUGGCGUUGGAUGUUCCAGUAUGGAAAGAUUUUGUGAUUGUUAGGUCCCACGUGGCGUAGAUUAUCCGGCGUGAGGACAAACCCCAUUCGUGGCUUUGGAUGUUCCUGCGUAUGGGGGAGAUUAUGUGAUGGUUAGGUCACACGUGGCGUAGGUUAUUCGGCGUGUUGGCUAACCCCAUAAGUGCCGUUGGAUGUAACGACCGGUCCUAAAUAAAUUAGUGAAUAUUAAUUUAUUCAGAGAAAAUACCAUUUUGCCCAUAGAGUAUUUUAUUAGGUUCAAAGUUGACUUUUUGAUCAGAAAGGAAUUUGAGAAUUUCGAUUAUACCGUUGCAUAGAGCACGGCGAGAUGAGUCCGUAGACACGUGGUAUGCUCGAAUCGAAGUUGUAACGAGAGAGAUACGAUCAAAAUACCCUCAGUGGCAUAACCGUAAUUUUGGCAAAAAGGGUCGAUAAAAUCAUAUAUAUAUAUUUUCUCUCUCUCUCUCUCUCUCUCUCUCUCUCUCUCUGCGAUAUUGUCCCUCUCUCUCUUUGAUUCACUGCCAUCUGCCCACGGCAGGACUUGAGACUGGUCACGUUUGAACCGGCUCGAUGUCCCGAUCACGUCGCACCCAAAAUGCAAAUGGAAACCUUGAAUUCCAGCCACGGCUUCGACUGGUUUGAACUGGGUUUUUCCCGGCGUUGCGCCACCGCCUCCGCCGCCCAAUUCCGGUGAAACAGGUAUAAUUCCUCACCUAUUUUUCGAGAUCCAGCUGUUGUUGUGUAGGAAUUAGACGAUUUUCAUGUUUAGGAACUCGAUUUAGAAUUUAGGUUUUGGUCGAAUUUUCAAAGUGAAAUUUCGGCCACUUCCGCUGGUUUUUCGGGGUAUGUCUAAGAACAAAAGUGGUUCCAAAUAGGGUGUUAUACCUAGGGUAGGAACCUUGAGCUGUGAUUUUGAGAAUUUCCGGCGAUGCGUAUUCGCUUUGGACACCCACGCGCCGACAGCGCGUGGGCACUGUAGAAAAGGGGCAUUGUGUCUCAAUGCGAUCUGCUUGUUGUCUUGAGCUCGUAGGUAUGCUCGAAUUUCAAUUUGGAUACUGUUUGAGUCUCGAACGGAUAUCGCAUAGUGUACGUUAUCCGGGUUUGAUAGGUUUGAACCAUUGGAUAGUUUUGAAUUUGAUAUAUGUUAAUCUAGGCAUUUCUAGGAUCAUGUAGGAAUUCAGGGAUCAUGAAUCAGAGCCCCGGAUGUUCCGAUUUAAUAACUUAAAGUUUAUGUUUAUAAUAACUAUCAGAUCGUGCGAUCGUGAGCGAUCCGACUGUCUGAUCUGGACCAAACUUGCAGCACGUAUAUCCUAAACCUUGUGGAACAUAAAAAAAUUUCGGAUUAGAAUUUGGAGGUCGUGGGCCCCGUGGGCCCAUUUAACCAAUUAUGGGUAGUUUGAUCCUUGGUUGACCGUGAGUCUUCCGAGAUAGUUUUACCUUCCUAGGAGGAUUAUAAUGACCCUAGUGAUAGGUCUUGACCGUUGUUCAGCUAUGUUGACUAGGUUGAGACUUCUAGAGUGUUUAUUAUAUUAUUGUAGGAAACUCUUAGAUAUUAUUUUAAUAAUUGAAAUUAUGAAAUUUAUGUUUAUGUGCAUGAUCGUUGGUCUAAAAAUAAUAUUAUUUUCCUGAUAAAAUUACGUUGCAGUCUACUAUAGACUAGUAUCACUAAAGUGGGAAUACCUCUAUUAUUAGUUGAGAUAAUUGGGAGUAUGUCAGUUUGAAAUGUUAUACCCUAAGUACUACUCUAUGAUUGUCAGGUCACCCGUGGCGUAGGAUUUUCCGGUGAGAUGACAGACCCCAUACGUGGCGUUGGAAUUUCCAACGUAUGGAGAGAUUAUAUGAUUGUUAGGUUUCACGUGGCGUAGGAUUUUUCAGCGGGAUGACAAACCCCAUACGUGGCAUUGGAAGUUUCAGCGUAUGGGGAGAUGAUAUGAUUGUUAAGUCACACGUGGCGUAGGUUAUUUGGAGUGCUGACAGACCCCAUACGUGGCGUUGAAAUUUCUGGCGUAUGGAGAGAUGAUAUGAUUGUUAGGUCACUUUGGAUGUUCUAGCGUAUUGGGAGAUUAUGUGAUUACCAGUGAGAUGAAUAAAGGAUUGUUAUGUUAUAUUGGGAAAAACAUGUUUGUAGAAAGAAUUACGUGUGGCUUGAUCCCUCAGUAAGGGUACGUAGGCAGCCUAGGGUAGUGCCUUGGUGCAGUCGCUGACUAAACAUUAUAAUGUUGUUUUUAGGUUUGAUUAUAUGGUAUUAUGGGGCAAGGCCCCUAGGACUAUUGGUGAUAAUUCAUAGAUGGUAGUGGAUGCAUGCUAGAAAUUUGUAGGAAGUUAUUUCAUGUGGAUUGCAGUGGUACUCGUAAAAUUUAUUUGAGUUCCUUAAUUGCAUUGUUAAUAUAUUAAUUUACUUAAGAGUACUGCUAGUAGUUCUGCCUUGAUUUAUUUGAAGGCUGGAGGCCUUGUCUGGAAACUGUGUGCAAUUAGAUUGUGUGUGCUGGCAGUUGACUUUUUAAAUUGUGAAUUUUGUGCAGGUUGAAAUUUGGGAAAUGUUCAAUUUACAGGGGAGACUCUGCUGAAAUUUCGGUAGAAAGUCUUGUGCCCUUAUUCCUUUUUGGGGAAAAGGAUAUAGUUUUAGAAGUGGCGAUGUCGGGAAUUUCCACAGGAUUCGUCUCGGGUUUCGGGAAAUUCGGGGCGGGUCUGAAAAAGUUGUUUCAGUUUUGGCAAGUAUCGGAAAAGACCAAAAUUUUCCGACUUUAUUAUUACUAGAAACAAGGUCGAAGUAUUUACCAAUCAUGUGGCCUUCCAAGUGCUCUAGGUUAAGCCAGGAACCGUUCCUAUCUGCCGUUUCCUUCCCAACUAUGAUCAUGUUGUCUGGGUUCCAACCCACAAAUCUACAUUGGGCUACGUAUUUGAAUUUGUACUAAAGCGUGAUCUAUAGUAUGCAUAUAUUGGAUAAGUUUGAGAUCAGUGGCUUGGGUGUCCGCUGAGCUUGAACAAGUUUGGGUGUGCUGAGUGUUUCCAUGGGUGUGUUGAUGAUCAUGGUUAUUAGAUUUGUGAUAGUUUGGGCUCAAUUUCAACAGAACUCAUCUCAAGCCUAGAUAGUUGAUUCUUAAGUUUAUCAGGAAAAAAAAUUAAAAAUUAAAAAAUCUAAAGUUAAGCCCAAGGCGCCGAACUUGGACUUCUCACCAAACUGUGCAUAAAUUGAAAUAUUUAAUAGAAGCCCAAGAUUUUUGAAGCACAUAAUAUCUACAAAAAUCUACAAAGUGUAAUACUUUACAAACUUCUUAUGUGUACCAAUUUCUGCUCAAAUUAAUUUCUCUGUGGUGCUGAGAUUCAUCAUAAUUUUAGUAGAAAUUGGAAGUUUUCAUCAUUUUUGCUUUAAGUCUCUCCUCCACUCACUAAUAAAGAUUACUCAAGUGAGUUUACAAAACAUUUUUUUUCUACUCUCUCCUGAAGACUACACAUCUUCUCAAAAGAUUAGAUCACUUCACAUCUUGUAUAUGUGAAAACUAAUGCAAAAAGUUGAAACUUUAUCAUAAAACCUCGACAAAAAUUAGCUCUACUUAGAACAUUAAAUUUGGAUUCGUUGAUUUAAAUGGCAAUUUGACACUUCAUAGAAAUUUUUACAUACAUGUGUUAGUGUUUGAUCACUUCACUUAUUACUUACUAUAUUUAUUCCAUGAUUCUCCCUCAAGUUAUGUAAAUAUUAUUAUCAAACAUUUCAAUUCAUUUGUGAUAUUUCUUGUCCAUCUUUCAAUGUACCCUGAAAUCCAUUAGCCACAUAUGAUGACCAAAAUCCACACUCUGUUGUUUGCAAACGUUCAAUAUACGACUUGCAUCCACAGUCCUGACCCAAAUGAAAUGCGGAAACUGUCAAGCUAACUGUAGGGAGGACUAUAUUUGAUUUUACCUUAAAGACUGAUCCGAAACCACCUUCUCCAAGUUUAUUGUUGUUUGAAUAGUUUUUGGUUGCACAAACAACAGCGGCCAAGUCAAAUAAUGGCAAUUCCAGAUCUUCCUUUUGGCCGGGCUUCAGUUCUCCUGUGAAGUACGUAGUGAAGUAAAUAAUGUAGCAUGGAACCUUAGCUUAGAAACCAGAGAGGCAACAGCAAAAAUUUUCUAUAGAACUGAACCUACCUAUCUUAGAAAAUGAAGGGGCAGAAGAGUAGAAAAUCAAAUAGCUUACCAUAUUUUUGUUGCUGGUUCUUCCUCACAUAUAAUAGCAGGGUAAGGCCCAGGGUCAGCAGUCCAGUAGACAACACAGUACUGGUUACUAUGAUCUUUGUAUUGUGUCCUUGAUCUAGGAAUGAAGUAUUUGAAAGCAGAAGAUUGAGGAGUCAGAAAUUCAUAAAGAAAAAAUCUCUACUUUUUAUCAUCCAACGAACAAUUAAUGCUAGUUUCUGAGACAGUUCUAAAGAAAUAUUUUUCUAACAAUGUCAAAAGUUUUCUGGCUCUAUCUUGUUUCUAAUCAUGUCACUGUUGGAAGAUUUCUUUCUUCUUUUUUCCUUGGUGGCUUUUAUUUUUCUUUCAAACUUUGUUUUAAACAGCAAGAUGAUUCCAUACCUAGUUCUGACGAAGCCAUUCUUAUGUAAAUAUCUUGCCCAUUUAUAUUGGAAUAUCUUAUAUCAACCAGAUCGCUGAACCACAGCAAGGACCCCCUUCCUCCAUCUCGGAUAUCCAAAUUUGAAAAAGCGGCGCAGGAGCAGUUGUUCAUGCACAUCAUCUCACAUUCCUUGAGGUUCAUAAUUGUGUUAUACUAGGAUUGUUCUGUACUUUAUUUCACCCCAGUGUACUUCUUAAAGAUGUCUCCACUGCAAUUCAGUUGGCUCUUUCUCACAGAUCUAUAUGACCAAUCCACCAAGUCCCAGUCUUGUUGAAAGUCGGUAUAAAUCCUUUCAAGCAGCUACGUACUGGGGACUUGUCAAUACAACAUGCACCAUUCGGACCACAUAUUCCAUAUUUGUCGCAGAUAUCAGUCGUUGCUCUUAGAUAAACAACCCAACCUUGGUUUCCAUCACUCCCGAUGUAGCUCAGCCCAAAUCCAUCUUGAGUUAACGCCAGCCUGAAAAGAGUUGAGCUGUUGAGAAGCUUAUAACCAUAAUAUACUUCAUCAUCAUUAUCCAACACAAAAUCAUAUGUUGGAUUUAAAUUAUGCAUCCCACUAAAUUGGAUUCCAUUCCAUGGUGCAGUCCGAUAUUUUAUAACAGAACCCUCCCUCAGAAUUAAUUCAUGGUACCCAUAAGGACCAAGUUGAUAUGGGUAAUGUCCUUGAGAAGGAUCCUGGGGGCUUUUCCAGGGUGUAAGAUGCCAAUUAAAACCUGUGAUUUUGUUCCUAACAAGCUUCAUACCUGGUAUUAAUGUAUCUCCUGGGUAAUCAAAACUCUGCCAUAAAAUAUUAUCAGAGUCAUUACGACCAUUGCCAUCUAUCACAACAAGAUUUCCGGAAUCCAAAAUCUGUGCCACUGGAUUCUAUGAAGAACUUGAUGUGUUGGAAGACCUGUAGUGUUCUUUGUUGAAUAUUUGGAUUGCAAAGGGAGCAAGAAAUGUACUGAGAGAGAAAGAGAGAGAGAGAGAGAGAGAGAGAGAGAGAGAGAGAGCAGUGAGCCUUAGAUUGUUCUAACAGUUUUCUUACUCUGCAUGAACAUAGCAGCAGAGCUUAUAUUCCUUCAUGACUGUUACAUGUUCUCUCUUACAUCAGUAGAUUCAAAUCUAACGGUUUGUAAUAGUAAGCCAAUGUGAGUAUGACACAUGGCAAUACACAGCUGUCCUAACAGCUGGGAAUUCAAAACAGACUCUAGCAUUGCACCUGGCAUAUAAGCACAAGGCACUCAGCUAACACAAAGAUUAAAAACAGAUUGAAUAUAAACUGACAUAGAACUUACUAACUAAUCUGAAAUUAGCUAGACAGUUUACAUUUUAACACUCCCUUCUAAAGUGCUAGCUGAUUUCACUCCAAGCAUUCUCCUCAAAUAGUCAAACCUGUCUUUGGGAAGAGCUUUGGUGAAGAUAUCAGCAAUCUGCUCUUCUCCUUUGCAGUAGAGCAGUUCAAUCACUUCUUCUUGUAUUGCAUCUCUAAUAAAAUGAAACUUCCUUUUAAUAUGCUUGCUCCGUUGAUGAAAAACAGGAUUUUUAGCCAUUGCUAUGGCUGAAGUGUUGUCACAAAACACAGUUGUUGCAGUGGUCUGUUCUUCCCCAAAAUCUUCAAGAACAAACCUGAGCCAAAUGGCUUGUGAUGUAGCUUCUGCUGCACUCACAUACUCUGCCUCUGCAGUAGAGAGAGCCACACUGUGUUGUUUGACUGAUGCCCAUGAAAAAGCACCACUUCCAAAUGAAAAUGCAUAUCCAGAAGUGCUUUUCAUAUCUUCCUCAGAUCCACUCCAGUCACUGUCACAGUAACCAACUAAGAGUGCAGAUUUUCCUGUCACAUACUCAAUUCCAUAGUCAAUUGUGCCUUGUAUGUACCUUAGAACCCUUUUAGCUGCCCCAUAGUGCAUCUUAGAAGGGUUAUGCAUGAAUCUUGCAAGCAGGCAGGCAGAGAACAUGAUAUCUGGCCUGGUUGCAGUAAGGUACAGCAGGCUGCCUACAAUUUUUCUGAACAAACUUUCAUCUGCAGCAUCACUUCCAUCCUCUCUUUUCAAUUUAUCAGUAGCCACUAAUGGAGUGCUUACUGACUUGCAGUCUUUGAGUCCAAACUUAUCCAAGAGAGUGAGAGCAUACUUCUUUUGAUGAAUGAAGAUGCUCCCUUCAGUUUGUGUUACUCCCAUACCAAGAAAAUGGUGGAGUAAACCCAAAUCAGACAUCUCAUACUUGCACAUCAUUUCAGCUUUGAAUUCUUUCAUCAUUUCAUCUCUACUUCCUGUGUACACUACGUCAUCUACAUAGAUUGACACUAUUAGUGUUCCCACCUUCCUUUGUUCUCACAUAGAGAGUGGCUUCACUUGGACUUCUGUGAAAACCACACUGAUUCGAGUAGGUGUCAAUUUCACUAUACCAGGCCCUUGGAGCCUGCUUCAACCCAUAGAGGGCUUUUCUUAACCUAUACACCUUAUCCUCAUCAUCUUUAACCACAAAACCAUCCGGUUGAUCAAUAUAAACUUCUUCUUCAAGGACACCAUUUAGGAAGGCUGACUUGACAUCCAAUUGCCAUAGUUUCCAGCCUUUCUGAGCAGCAAGAGCUAUGAGAGUUCUAAUGGUGUCUAACCUUGCUACAGGAGCAAAGGUUUCAUUGAAAUCAAUCCCUGGUUUUUGUGUGUAUCCCUUGGCAACAAGUCUUGCUUUAUGUUUUUGAAUGGAGCCAUCAAGAUUAAGCUUAAUUUUGAAUAUCCACUUCACUCCCACAAUUGGUUUACUACUUGGCCUGUCAACCAAUUCCCAACUGGAGUUUUUCUCUAUCAUAAGUAUCUCCUCAGUCAUAGCCUUCCCCCAAGCUUCAUCUUUGACUGCUUCUUCAAAAUUUUCAGGUUCAAUGAUGCUCAUCUUGCAUUGAGCAUACACUUCACUCAAACUCUUCCAUUUCUUUGGGGUGUUAUCAUAAGUUUCUAAUGGAGCAGAGUCUUGAGUAGCAUGCACAUCAUUACUUGUUUGUGUUUCCAUAGGAGACUGUACAAUCUGUUGCUGUAACAGAUUUGGUUAUGAAUCCAAAUCUGAUACAAUUGAACUUACUCCAUCACCCCAAGACAUAGGGAUUUGCAAUGCCUCAUUGGUUUCCCAAUUCCACAUUGCUUCUUCAUCAAAAAUAACACUCCUAGACAGCUCAAUCUUUUGAGUUCUCAAGUUGAGCACUCUAUACCCCUUUUCACAUACACCAUAUCUUACAAAUACUCCCUUCUCACCUGUGUCUUCCAGCUUGUGCCUUUUCUGUGUGGGGAUGUGAAUAUAGCAUAGAGAACCAAAUAUUCUCAAAUGCUUGACACCUGGUUUUCUUCCACCGAACUUUUCAAAUGGAGUGGAAUUGUCCAGUGCACUUGUAGGACAUCUGUUCUGCAAAUAUACAGCUGUAUUGACAGCUUCUGCCCAAAACUUCAAAGGGAUUUUCUUCUCAUACAUCAUGGCUCUUGCCAUUUCCAUCACAGUACGAUUCUUUCUCUCUGUAACUCCAUUCUGUUGUGGAGAGUAGCCUACUGNNNNNNNNNNNNNNNNNNNNNNNNNNNNNNNNNNNNNNNNNNNNNNNNNNNNNNNNNNNNNNNNNNNNNNNNNNNNNNNNNNNNNNNNNNNNNNNNNNNNNNNNNNNNNNNNNNNNNNNNNNNNNNNNNNNNNNNNNNNNNNNNNNNNNNNNNNNNNNNNNNNNNNNNNNNNNNNNNNNNNNNNNNNGGUGUGGUCAUCAAUGAAGGUGAGGAAAUAUCUGUUCCCUCCAAGAGUGAUGGUCUGCAUUGGACCACAAAUGUCUGAGUGAAUCAGUUCUAGAGGUUGAGUGGCUCUCCAAGCUCCUUCCUUAUCAAAAGAGCUUCUGUGAUUCUUGCUUUCAGCACAACCUGAGCAGACCUUCUCAUGUUCUUGUAAAUUAGGCAUUCCCUGAACCAUAUCUCUCUCUUGUAACAACUUCAAACUAAUAUAGUUUAGGUGCCCAAAUCUUCUGUGCCACAGCCAGGAUGUUUCUCCAACUGUUGCUCUGUUUGCCAUAGGAGGAUUAACAUAGUCAAGAUUUAAAGGAAAACAUUUGUUUCCCUUCAUUGGCACUCUUGCAAUGCAAUCUUCCAACUGCCUAUCUCCAUAGAUAUCAACUGCAUUAUCACCAAAUACAAGCCAAUGCCCAUGUUCUAUCAUUUGACCUACACUUAGCAAAUUUUCAUCUAAACUUGGUACAAUCAUGAUUUCUUUGAUAUAUCUAGUCACACCCUUCAUUUCUAUAGCCAAAGUCCCUUUGCCUAUUAACUGCACUAGAUCACCAGUCCCCAUUUUGACUUUACUCUUCAUACUUUUAUCAACAUUUACAAGUAAUGACUCAUGGGAAGUCAUGUGAUUGCUGCAUGCACUAUCAACAUACCACAUAUUCACAUUCUUUCCAAUUGUUGCAGCAUGACAUGCAUAGAACAUAAUGGCAGGUUCAGUUACCUGAUUUGCAAUGUUAGCAAGUUUCCCUGCCUUGUUUGCUUGGUCACAGUCCUUAACAAAAUGACCAAAUCGAUUGCAGCCAUGACACUUUGGUUUUCCUUUAAACCAACACUCACCAUAGUGUAACUUCUCACAAUGUUUGCAUUUUCCAGAUUUGUCUCCUUGACUUGGUUUUCCCCCUUGAUUGGCACUGUUUUGGGGUUUAGAAUCCCAUUUCUUAUCCUUGGACUUCCAAUUCUUCUUUGAUUUAUUAGAGCCAGAACUAGAACUUGAUUGAGAUCCUUUUGAGUUUAUGCUCAUGCUGCUGAAAGCUUUCUCAGUGGUGCUUUCUGCAUGUCUGUCAAGGCGCUGAGCAAAACCUCUUAAUGCUGCAAUUACCUCCUGCACUUCAAUGGUUUCAAUGUCUCUAGUUUGCUCAAUCACAUAGCAGACUGGAUCAAAUUCCUUGGUUAAGCUUAUUAGCAGUUUUUGAACUAUCCUCCCUUUGGUCAGAUCUUCCCCAUAUCCCUUCAUCUGAUUUACAAGCUCAAGUAACCGAGUGAUGUAUCCAGACAAGAUCUCAUCAUCCUUCAUCCUGGUGUACUCAAAAUCUCGACGCAGACCCUGCAACAUGAUGGAUCUGACUUGCUUAUCACCAUGAAACUCCUGAUGCAAGAUAUCCCAAACACCUUUUGAGGUUUCUUCAUUUGAGAUUCUGGGAAAGAUGUCAUCUGAAACAGCACCUUGGAUAAUACCAAGAGCCUUAGCAUCUUUCAUCAACAAGGACACCAUCUCUGAAUCUGAUGACCCUUCUUUAUCAGCUUUUGAAUCUGGAACUUGAAGGCCUUUCUCAACCAAAUUCCAGAUUCCAUGAGAUUUGAAAAUUGUUCUCAUUCGAAUCUUCCAAAACUCAUAGUUCUCCCCAUUGAAUAUUGGAGCUCUAAGAUCACUCCCUCCUGACCCAGCCAUCUGAGACCAGACUCAAUGAGUUGAGAGUAGGAAAUUUCCCGUUGGAUUUCCAGACUCAGCUCCCACAGCUUCAACGCCCUCUAUCCAGAUCCAACCUGCGCACCUGAUACCAUGUUGAAUAUUUGGAUUGCAAAGGGAGCAAGAAAUGUACUGAGAGAGAGAGAGAGAGAGAGAGAGAGAGAGAGAGAGCAGUGAGCCUUAGAUUGUUCUAACAGUUUUCUUACUCUGCAUGAACAUAGCAGCAGAGCUUAUAUUCCUUCAUGACUGUUACAUGUUCUCUCUUACAUCAGUAGAUUCAAAUCUAACGGUUUGUAAUAGUAAGCCAAUGUGAGUAUGACACAUGGCAAUACACAGCUGUCCUAACAGCUGGGAAUUCAAAACAGACUCUAGCAUUGCACCUGGCAUAUAAGCACAAGGCACUCAGCUAACACAAAGAUUAAAAACAGAUUGAAUAUAAACUGACAUAGAACUUACUAACUAAUCUGAAAUUAGCUAGACAGUUCACAUUUUAACAUUCUUAUGGUCGGCAGGGACAAGAAUUCCAGGGCUGCUCAACUUGAAUACACCUGAUGAACCAGUGAGGGGUGUGUUUCUUUUAGUCUGCACUAUAUAUGCAGGGUCUGACUCUAAUUAGAAGAUAAUUGUAUUAAUUUGGUAAAGCUUUGUCUGUAACUGUCUCGCACCUUAAAAAAAUUUCACAAUUAGCAGCAUUGGCAAUACUUGAUUAGAAAGCAGAAACCCUACAGUAUAUAGUUAAGUUGAGUAGCUGGGAAGACAAUUAGUAAGCUUUCAAUACUAAAGUUGAAUAUUGGGGAGACAAAUUACUAGAGCUUCAAGUUCAGAUAAAUAGGAUGAAUUUCUCUUAAGGGAUCCCCUUUCACUGUAGCUUGGAGUAGAAUUCAUUUUGACACAAUAUCAAUUAUCAAUGUAAACACGUUACUGAUGCACUAUUGACAAUAUCGAUGCACGUCAUAUCAUAUUUGUGGGAGUAAAUUUCCUCACGAGAAUAUUUGGUUCAAAAGAUUCCCCUUUUUUUUUUUUUUGCCGCCUCUUUCUCCUUGCAAAAUAGAACAAAUAAGAGGACCACACCCGGGGGGUGUUGGCCAAAGGCCCUCCGAUGCUAAAUUAGUUCAAGUAUUUGUAAGAAAAAUACUAGCUAACUAGGGUACAGAGGUGUAUUUAAGGUGUAAACCGGGCAGCCGAAGUCUUAUGUAAAAGAGAGAGAGAAAGGAGGUGGCUAGCGUUUGAGAGGAAUUUUCUGCAGAGUUUUUAGUAGAGAUUUCAGACGUACCUCAACCAUUGUGUGUGGCCAUCUUUUUAUAGUGGUCUUGGAGGCUAGGGUUUCAGAGGAAUAAUUCCGUAGAUGGAAAGGAAUUAUUCCUCCCCUAUUUGGAAUUGAUUUGAUUAAUUAGGGAUUUGAUUUAUUAGGGUAAAUCAAAUCCCUAAUUGUGGUAGGUAUCAAAUCAAAUCCUUUUUUAAUUAGGUAACUCCUCAUUUAAUUGGGAAUUGUGGUAGGAAUCAAAUCAAUUCUCAACCUAAUUAGGUAACGUUCAAUUUAAUUGGGUAAUUCCCAAUUAAAUUGAGUAACUCCCAAUUAGGUUGAUUAAUUCCCAAUUAGAUCAAAUAAUCCCCUAAUUGAAGGAAUUAUUUGACCUAGGGUCUGAUUUAAUUCGAUUCCCACAAAUGCCCCCCAGCUUCUGCAUGGUGCAUGGUGGCACGUAGGAGAUGUAAAUUAUCUGUUGGGCUGUCCAGCUGUAACUGGGCUUCCUUCGUGGACCUGGGCUCCCGAGUAGAGGAGGUGUUUGACUUGCCAAUUUUAUGAACACCCAAUUGGAAAGGGUUUGAGAUUCCUUGUAGGUCAAGGAAUUUUGCUCCUUAUAAAUGUAGGGCUCCUCCAAAUUAUUCUCGACAUCAGAAAUCUACUCCUCCAAAUUUGUUAGUGAGAGAGAGAAGACUUUGGAGAAUUUUUCAGCGUGCUUGAGACUUCAUCUUUGCAGCCCAUCCAAGGUAAUUUGAUAGGAAGAAUUUUAUUUUGAGUUGCUAUGACUUUUGGCAGCAAGCUGUGAGACUAAGGGCAUGUCUUGAGGUGCGCGCUAGGGCUUUAGGCAUGGCAAGAGACUCGGAAAGGCUAGCAGGUUCGUUUCCACCUACGCUGGGCUCAAGGAGAAGGCAACAGGGCUUCAGGCCUUGUGGAUGAAGUGGGCUUUCGCUGGGAGCAAGAGGCCUGGAGCUGAGGCAAGGAGACAAUGGGCCUGGUACGAGGUGUGGGCUGAGCAUGCCAGCUUUGGAGCAAGGGGGCCAGGACGACUGCUGGGCAGGAGGUGCGCUGGGCUGCAUGCGCGAGCUGCGCCGAGUGCUGGCUGGAGGAGCGAGCUGGGCUGCGCGCUAGGCCAUUCAUGCUGGGCUACUUCCGUUUUUUUUUUGUUUUUUUUUAAAUUUUAUUUGCUGUUGCUGCUUUUUUUUUUGUUUUUUUGUUUUUUUUUUGUUUGGUAUUCUAACUCGUAAUUUUUUUUUUCUUCUUACAGCUACUUGUUGAUCAACCAUGUCUUCCGGAGAUGGUAGCAAGGCUCCAAGCUCUUAGGUCCUUUUGUAUUUAUGGGGAGGCUCCAUAGUGCAUGGCAAGAAGUUUGUGGUCAACUUGCAUCGCGUCACGACUUAUGCUCAGUUCCAGAAGUGGCGGGCCACUUAUGCGUCUGCCAUUCCAGAUGACGUGCUGGUCAAGCUAUUGAAAUCUCAAACUGAUAACGAGCCUUUGGUGGACGUGAGUGAUCAUGAUGCUAGGAUCAUUACCUUCCGUCCUUUUUACUUCUCUUUAGGCUUCAAAUUCCCGUUGUCAAAGCUCUUCAAGAAGGUGUUCUGUGCCAUGGGGUGUGCUCCGAGCCACUGUACUCAUGUGCUUCAAGAAUUUGAGUCGUUUCUUCAUGUUGGAGCUGACGAUGCGAGAGUUCUUUUAUUUUUUUCGAAGUGAGGCACUUUGAGCGGUACGCCCAAGUUCGUAUCUACAAGGCCAAGCUGUUCCACGGUCUCAGUCAAGGAGAUCACGCUUGACAUGAAGAUGUGUUGGAGGUCAGCAGACGGUGGGAGGGUGACGUCGGUGACGGCCCACCUGUUCCCAUCACCUAUUGUGAUGGUAUGUCUCUUUACGAUUUUUGAUAUGCUCCUUUUAUUUGAAUUUCUUGAAGUGUGGCAGACUAACUUCUAUCUUCUGCUCGUAGUGAGUGACAUUAGCAAGCAAUUGGAGCUCCGACCAGACAUGGCUAAGGUCCGUCGUGCUUUGAACAUCCCUCUAAGGUUUCACGAGUGGCGCUGGCUGUUGAGUGAGUACCGGGAGGAAGACGGUGGUUUUCUCCUUGCCGAGGAUGUCGAAAGGUGGAAGCAGAACGAUCCUGACCCUGAUGAUCUGCUUGGCAGACAGGAAGAAUGUUCUGCUUAAUCGCUCUUAAAGAGAAAGGCUGCUGCCAAAUCUUUGAGAUGUGAAGCUACUUCUUCGCAUGCAAAGGAUGGGUCUCCAUCGAGGAAGAAACCAAGGCUCCCUUCUGCUGAGAAGACUCAAGUGGGGUCUGCUCCCUCAUCAUCUGCCAGGGUUAAGCAUCUCGUGGGUGCAGAUAGCAAGAAGGUUGGUGGUAUGCAUGGUACUCGGGGUGUUCUGCCCAAGCUUCCUGCUGACACGCUCGAAAACCAUGAUAUACUUCGUGAAGUGGCUCGUGCCCAACCUAGUUCUGCCAAGCGUCAAAGAGAUGUAGACAUUCCUCCUAGAAGUUCGAGUUGUCUGCAUCGGUCAAAAGAUGGAGACCGAAGCGGGAGGUCUGCUUAUGAUCCAGCAUUAUUGACUCAUUUGGAGAUGAGGUUGGCGAAGGCUAAGAAGGUGAAAGAGUCAUCUGCCCGGGUUAAGGGUUCUUCCUCGGCGUUGGUAGUUGGUCCCAAGAUGAACAAGUCUAGCUCUGUAGGGGAUGCAUGCGUAUCUGAUCUGCUCAAGAUGAACUUCCUAUCAAACCCGUCCUCUUGUGUUGAGUUGGUUGAUCACAUCCCUCAAGCGGGCGAUCUAGGCACUUUCUCGUGCCUUUCCUUAGAAAAAUGAAGGAAAAUGACAUUCCAUCUGAUUCAAAAAGGACUGGUUUUUGCUACUGAGACUAUUUGGAACUCAUCUGCUAUUGCCCCUCUUCUGUCCAACUCAGCGAGUUGGAGAAGAAGAAUGCUGAUUGGCUAGACAGCUUUCCGCCGAGCAGGCCCGUUACGAGAAGAAGAUGUCUGAUUUGAGGGCGAUGAUAUCUGAGCUGAAAAGCUCCCUUACCGAGAAGGAUUUCGAGCUCAACUCUUCUGCUGCUGAUUUGGCUAGUCGAAAAGAUACCUUCUUUCGUCUUGAGCAUAAGAAUGCUGACAUCUUCCUUAGCUAUAACAAACUCCUGGCUAGAUUUCAUGCCUACCAUAAGUCUGCUAAAGAAUCCAAGACAGAUGGAGCUGCUGAAGGCGUAGCCGGUCAGGUGGAUGCCGAAGAGGCUGCAGCUUAAAAGUCUUCUGCUGGCGUCUCAGAGUAGAUGAAGACUCUUUUUUGUUUCUUUUCAGCUUUUGUAGUUUGCUUUAUUGUUUAGAAUAACUGGUCUUAUUUGACCAUCUUCUUUUUGUUGAACUUGGCUGGUUGGUCUGUUUGUUAGGGAAAUUUCAGUUACAUUUUCCAACUUCAAUUUGCAUAUUUGACUUGUGAACUGCUUAAGUAACCAGCCUGUGUUUUGAUUGCACAUCCCCCUUUAGAGAUUUGUGAGUACCAGGGUCCCCCUUGGAGGACUCCGGCCAUGCACAGUAUAUCUCGUAGGAUGGUUCCCCUUAGGAAGUUGGCGAGUACCAGGGUCCUCUUUGAGAGACUCCGGGUGUGUUCUGCACAUCCCGUAUGAUGCCUUAAUCGUCGCCUUGCUUCUCCCGUAGGACGCUGCUUAUAGGCAACUAUAUGACUAUCCUGCCUUUCUUAGGAAACGGAUAGGAACCUGGAUAUUUCCCGCAUGAAGCAUGGAGACCUCCUUUUAAGAAAUUUUUGGUGCACCAUGCUUCUCCCUUAGGACGCUUUUUUCGCAGGCUGGGUCUCCAAAUGGACGCUUUUAGUCGUUGCCCUGCGUCUCCCUUAGGACGCUCCUUAUGGGCAACUGUGUGACUAUCCUGCCUCCCUUAGGAAAUGGAUAAGACUUGAAUAUUUCCCGCAGUAAGCAUGGCGACCCCCUUUUAAGAAACUCCUGGCGUACCCUGCAUCUCCCUUAGGAUGCUUUUUAAGAGGGCUGCUUCUCCAAACGGACGCUUUUAGUCGUUGCCUAUGUCUCCCCUAGGAUGCUCCUUAUGGGCAACUGUGUGACUAUCCUGCCUCCCUUAGGAAACAGAUAGGAAACUAGAUAUCUCCCUUAGGAAAUUCCUAGCGCACCUUGCGUCUCCCGAAGGACGCUUUUUUAGCUGGCUACGUCCCGAAACGGACACUUUUAGUCGUCGCCCUGCGUCUCCCUUAGAAUGCGCCUUAUAGGCAACUGUGUGACUAUCCUGCCUCCCUUAGGAAACGGAUAGGAACCUGGAUAUCUCUCUUAGGAAAUUCCUGGGGCACCUUGCGUCUCCCGAAGGACGCUGCUUAUGGGAAAAUAUUGUGUUUCGUGGGCAGAUGAGACAUUUUGGAAUGAGAAACUGAACUUAUAUUGAUAUUCAUAAGAUUACAGUCCUUUAUUUGAAAAUGGAAAUAACUUGGUUCAAAAACUUAGAACUUCUAGCAGCUACGAGGAAGCACUAUGGAUAAUACUUUCGGAGAUGGUGAGCAUUCCAUUGUCGUGGUAUUUCCUUCCUAUCCAUGGUGUCCAGUGUGUUGCUUCCUCUGCCCCGGACCUGCUGAUCACAUAAACGCCCUCCCAGUUAGGAUUCACUUUUUUUGACCCGUGUCUUGGUGCAGUAAUGAAAGCCUUAGCACGAGGUCGCCUGGUUGAAACUGUUUGACCUUAGCUCUUUUGUCGUAGUAAGACUUCAACUGCUAGUGAUAGGAGGCGACCCGAAUAAUGGUCUUCUCACGCCUGCCCUCAAGUAAGUUGAGGUUGAGCCUCAUCUGCUCGGAGUUCUGAUCAACACUGCCUACCUUAAGACUUAUAGAGAGGACAGUGAUGUGAGGUGGUAUGAUCACUUCUGUUCCAUAGGCGAGAGAGAAUGGGGUUUCACCAGUCGAUCUUCGCUUGGUGGUGUGAUAAACCCAUGGUACUCUGGGGAGUUCAUCCACUCAUUUCCCUUCAGCGCCUUCCAGCCUUUUCUUUAAGCAGUCCAAUAUGACUUUGUUGGAUGCCUUGGCUUGUCCAUUUCCUUGUGGAUACCUCGGGGUGGACAAGUGUUGUUUGAUCUUGUAUUUCACAAAAAAAGCGGUGAUCUGCUUGCCAAUGAACUGUGAGCCAUUGUCGGUAACCAACGACUGUGGGCAGCCAAACCGGCAUAUGAUGUUUCUCCAGAUGAAUCACUCCACAUCGGCUUCUUUAGUAAAUGAUAGAGCUUCGGCCUCGAUUCAUUUAGUAAAGUAGUCGGUGGGGACGAUCAUCAUUUCUUUCUUGGCGGGCGCUAGUGGCAAGGGAUCCACUAGGUCGAUGGCCCAUUGCAUGAACAGCCAUGGACUGUUUUGCGGAUGAUAGACUUCGGCAGGCAAGUUAGGGAUCGGCUUGUAUUGCUGACAGCGUCACAUUUCUUGGCACAUUCAGCACAGUCGUGACGUAUGGUAGGCCAGAAGUAGCCUAUGUUUAGAACUUUCUGGGCGAGUGACCUGCCCCAGAAUGGUUGCCAUACUCGUCGUCGUGAAUUUUACAGAUAAUCUCAAGUGUUUGAUGGUACUUUAUGCAGGUGAGAUGAAGGCCGGAGUAUGAUCUGUGGAUGAGCUUGUUGCCGUGCAUGUAGUAUCUCUCGGCCUUUUGCUGGACUUUUCUAGCUUCGGACUUGUCCGUUGGCAGGUUUCCAUUCGUGAAAUAGUCGAUGAUGAGGUCUUGCUAGCUGGGGUCCUCGUCAAUCUGCAUGGUAUUAAUCGGCUCUAUUUCUUCAAUGCUUGGUCGGUCAAGGUGUUCGACCUAGAUGGAGUGUUUGAACUGGGUAUCCAGCGUUGAACCUUGGCUUGCCAGUGCGUCUGCAUGCGCGUUCUUUGCCCGGGACACUUGUUGGAUAGUGAAGGUAGGAAAUGCCUUCAACAGCUCUUGGACUCUAUCAAGGUAUAAGAUCAUCCUUGGGUGCUUUGCCAUAUAUUCACCUGAGGCUUGAUUCGUGAUCAACUGUGAGUUUGAGUAGAUGGCUAGCUUUUUGAUUGCGAGCUCCUUUGCCAAGCGUAAGUCGGCGAGUAAUGCCUCGUAUUCUACCUCGUUGUUCGAGACCGAGAAGCCAAGCGUAAUAGCUUGCUCUAACAGGGUUCUAUCCAGGGUGGUGAUAACGACCCCUGCUCCAGCUCCUUUUUGGUUCGACGCUCCGUCUACACGCAACUGCCACAUGUCUCUGGGAUGGCUUGGUUCUGCGGAGGUCCUGUCUGCUUUUGAACUUCCCUCCUUUUGGUUGACUAACUUCUCUUUUUUGGCUGAUGGGGUGAAUUCUGCGACGAAGUAUGCUAAAGCCUGGGCUUUUAUUGCAGUUUUUGGCCCGUAGAGGAGGUCAUAUUGGCUUAGCUCUAUAGCCCACUUCAUGAGUCGCUGAGAAGCAUCAGGGCUGUGGAGGAUUGAUCUCAAAAGAAAGUCAGUCAUGACUAUGACUCGAUGAGCUUAGUAGUAGGGUCGCAGCUUUCUCGCAGAAACUACAAGAGCCAAAAUAAGUUUCUCCAAUUUCGGGUAACGAGUCUCUGCAUCGAGGAGAGCUUUUGACGUGUAGAAUACCGGAUAUUGGGCCCCUAUCUCUUCUCGGAUGAGAGCUGAACUGACAGCUGAGUUGGACUUACCUCACUAGGGACUGGAUUUGAGAGCAUGGAAGGUGAGGUGAGGUAAGUCUUCAGAUUAUGGAAAGCUACUUUGCAGUCCUCAUCCCAUUUCUCUCUUUGUCCUUUCUUCAAAGCUUUGAAGAGUGGUCUGCACUUGUCGGUUGAUCUCGAGAGGAAUCGGUUGAGAACCGCUGCUUUGUCCGUCAGACUUUAUAUCUCUUUCACCGUGGAAGGCGACUUCAUCUCUAGAAUGGCUUUGAUUUGACGUGGAUGUGCCUCGACACCUCGUUGCGUGGCUAGGUAUCCCAAGAAUCGGCCGGAGGAUACACCAAACAGGCAUUUACUUGGAUUCAACUUCAUGCGAUACUGGCGGAGCAAGCUGAAUGAUUGGGUAAGACUUCCGAUGUGAUCUGCACGUUUUGGGGCUUUGACCAGCAUGUCAUCCACGUAGACCUUCAUAGUUUUGCCGAUCUGCUUAUUGAAGAUUUUAUUCCCGAGCCUUUGAUAGGUUGCUUUGGCGUUCUUCAGCCCAAAGGGCAUGACCUUAUAGCAGCAGGUCCCUCUCUCGAUGAUGAAAAAAGUUUUUGCCUUGUCAUCCUCGUGCAUCAGGAUUUGUUUAUAGCUGGACUAGGCGUCCAUGAAGCUAAGCAGUUGAUUGCCAGAAGUGGAAUCCACGAGUUGGUCGAUUCUCGGCAAUGAGAAGUUGUCUUUAGGGCAUGCUUUGUUGAGGUCUGUGUAAUCGACACAAACUCUCCAUUUGCCAUUUUCUUGUUUUGCCACCAAAACAACGUUGGCAAGCCACUCUGAGUAGGAGGCCUCUUCGAUGAAGCCGACAGCUAGGAGUUUGUCAAUCUCGGCCUCGAUGAUAGCAAGUCGCUGGGGUGCGAAGUUGCGUCUCUUCUGCGCCACUGGCUUGCAGGCAGGGUUGAAGUGGAGUCAGUGACAGAUGAUGUUCUUGUCGAUGCCAGACUUGUCUGACGGCAACCAUGCGAACAUGUCUCUGUUGCUCUGGAGGAAGGUGGUAAGCUCCACAUUCUCUUCUGGCCUUAGGCGCGAACCGAUCCACUCUUUCCUAUCUGGUUGGUCAGGAUCCAAGGGUAUUAACUCGACGUCCUCCUUGGGUUUCCAUCCUUCUUCAGGAAAGACCUAUGGACGGAUUUCCUCGACUUGGUCCUGACGCUUUAAUUGCUAUAAGAUAGCAAGAUCCAGUUGCUCAACCUCCUCCAGAUCUGCCUGGCUCACAGGGAGAAACUGCGCUUGUUUACCUUUCUUUAGCCCUUGGGCGGAGCAUUUCCUCGCCAUUGCCUAAUCGUUGUUGAUUUGGCCGACACCGCCCCCAAGGAUUGGGUACCGAAUUUUCUAAUGUGUGGCGGAGGUGAUUGCAUUAAUUUUGCCAAUCGAUGGUCUGCCCAGAAUGCCGUUGUAGGGUAAGACCUUAUUAAUGACCAUGAAGGUUAUGAGCUGAUUAUAAGUGGGGAGUAGACGUCGAGGUCUAUCAUGCCCACGGUAACCGUUGUUGCACCAUUAAAAUCGCUCAGCAACCUAGCUAAUUUGUAAAUCUUUGUCUCCAAUCCCAUCUGUUGAAUGACCUCCAGUUGCAGGAUAUUGGCUGCGCUGCCCUCGUCUGUGUGGAUUCAGUCUACCAUGACCUGAGCAAUUUGAAUGCUGAUGACAAGGGCUUCGUUAUGUGGCAUGUAGAGGCCGAUCAGAUCUUUCUUUUGGAAGCCGAUUACAGGAUCGUCUUCUGCUGGUGGAAGGUCGGUCGAGAUUUGGGAGAUCACAGUGGUCUGUUUGAUCUUCCUCUUUUUUUCCUUUCUGGUCAGCCCAGACUCCUCGGAGUCAGCUAGGAUUGUGUUAAUUCUUAUGACCUUCUGAGGCGGCUCCUUGGCGAUGUCACGAUCUUCUAUCCGCUGGAUGACCUUCUUUGCAAUGAAUUCUGUGCAGUGACCUUCUCUCACGAGUUCUUCAAGAUGUGCUUUCCAAGCGAAGCAGUUGUUCAUAGUGUGUCCGUGCAUUUCAUGGACGGCACAGUAUUUGCUAGUAUUCCUUUUGUCCGGAUCUUCUUUCAAGGGUGGUGGUCUUCUUACCCAAGGUUGUUCUUCACUUGGGCUAAGAUUUGAUGUAUGGAGAUGGUGAACUUGGUGUAGUUCUCUCCUGCCGUAGCAUCCCCUUAUGGGUGCGACCUGCGCUUGUCCUUGUCCCUGUUGCUAAAUCCGUCGCUUCUUUGGCCUGCCCCCUUAGUCGGCUGAUCUUCCUGCUUAGUAGAGUUCUUUGCGGCGAUUCGAUCGUCAUCCCAAAGCGCAUAGCUUUCCGCGGUCUCGUAGACCUCUGCCAAAGUUUGGCUGGGAGUGAUGGUCAGCUCGUGGUACAAGUCGUGCUCAGUCGAAAGGUCUUUCUUGAAAGCAGAGGACGCAAUUUGGUCAUCACAUCCUACAAUGUUGGCCUUUUCUACUUUGAAUCUCUUGAUGUAAUCUCUAAAGGAUUCGUCGAACUUCUUGCGCAGGUUAUACAGGUGGUCAGGGUUCUUCUUGAUUGUUCGGUAAGAGGUGUAUUCUUUGGUGAAUAAGUAAGUCAGCUCCUUGAAGCUGCUGAUCGACCUGGAUGGCAGAGUAUGGAACGAGUCUUGGGCUUCCUCACAAGGUCAUUGCAAACACCUUGCACAUCAGCGCGUCGUCAACCUUGUGGAGGAUCAUGACACUUUUGAAGUGUUUUAGAUGGCUCUCAGGAUCGGAAUCCCCCUUGAAGUGUGUGAAUGUGGGCGUUGAGAAUCGCUUCAGGAGAGCAGCCUGCUCGAUUUUGGCAGUGAAAGGUGUAGAGUAUGCCUGGUCUACCUCAUUUCGUACAUCUUCGAAAUUUCCACCGGUCUUCAAGUCUCGAAGUUGGUCAUUCACAAGCUUCUCUACGUCUUCCGCACACAUUGCUUGUCGGCCACAUUGGCGACCUUCACGAAUUGUUCGAUGCUGACUGACUUCCUCGUUGAUUUCCGAGGAUCGACCUUCUUGUCUGCAUUGCCUAGGUGGAGUGUUGGUGGAUUGCGCCUACGAAAGAUUCUCUGUGGCUUGUCAAUGAGAAUCGGUUCUUCGAGAGUGAGUAACGAAGUGCCUUUCCUCAUGGUCCUUAUUGUGAGGGUUAUCCAGCUGACCUCCCUGGGGCCUAGCCUUUCCUGAAUGCUUCUCUGCGAGUAGACAGUUGAAUGCUUUUCUUCACGAUCCUCGUUGUGAUGGUUGUUUGGCUGACCUCCUUAGGGUCUUAGCCUUUGAUGUACAUUUCCCUGCCUGCCCAAGUAGGUGCGGACGUCGAGUCGUGGGCCCAGCCUUUCGUGCACGUCGUUCCUUAAACUCAAUCUGCUCUGAGUGUGGCUUGCAGAUGCUUGCGACAUGUCGGCAGGUCGAUCACGUUGUUGUCCCUCGACUUGUCUGCCCACUCUUGCUUGACCUGCUUGGUACUCGUUGAGCUGUCUACCGGCCCGUUCAUCCUUCCUUCUUUCCUCGCCUGGUUGUCCAAGGCCAAGGUUUUGAGCAAAGCUUAUUUGGUUGAGGAGCUGCCUCAUUAGAUUGUUUUGGUCGUCCAUUCUUUAAGCUAGCUGGUCAACUCUCAGAUUAAGGUCUGCUUGAUUUCAUGGAUCAGGAGGAGAGAAGUGUGUGGAGCUCAACUGCACAUAGGCUAGGGUUUCAUUAGAGGUGUAUGCGGGAGCGUGUGUCGAGCGUGGAGGCAAUAGAGGGAAUGCUUGGAGUUGCUCCAAGACCGGCCCUAGGUCGGCGGUGGUAACGAGUCCACCUUGAUGGGAAGUUCCACCAUGUUUGGCGGCAGUGACCGAUGCAGUGGUGAGAGGUGGUGGUGCCACCAUGUCGAUCGCGGGAUCGUUGGUGGAGUGGCUUUGGGCCGUCGCAAAUCUAGCCAUCAUGGCGGCUUUGCCUCUCGUGUUCAUGCUUCCAACCAUGGUUGUUUGGAAGGCUUAGGUGGAUUGGAAAAUUAGAGGAACGGAUUCCUUGAGCACGCAUUGAGUAUAACUCGUGCUCUCAAUGAAAGCACCAAUUUGUGGGAGCAAAUUUCCCCACGAGAAUAUUCGGUUCGAAAGAUUCCCCUUUCUUAUUCGCCGCCUCUUUCUCCUCGCAAAAUAGAACAAAUAAGAGGACCACACCCGAGGGGUGUUGGCCAAAGGCCCUCCGAUGCCUAAAUUAGUUCAAGUAUUUGUAAGAAAAACACUAGCUAACUAGGGUAUGGAGAUGUGUUUAAGGUGUAAACCGGGCGGCCGGAACCUUAUGUAAAAGAGAGAGAGAAAUGAGGUGGCUAGGGUUUGAGAGGAAUUUUCUGCAGAGUUUUUAGUAGAGAUUUCAGACGUACCUCAACCAUUGUGUGUGGCCAUCUUUUUAUAGUGGUCUUGGAGGCUAGAGUUUCAGAGAAAUAAUUUCGUAGAUGGAAAGGAAUUAUUCCUCCCCUAUUUAGAAUUGAUUUGAUUAAUUACGGAUUUGAUUUAUUAGGGUAAAUCAAAUCCCUAAUUGUGGUAAGUAUCAAAUCAAAUCCUUUUUUAAUUAGGUAACUGCUCAUUUAAUUGACAAUUGUGGUAGGAAUCAAAUCAAUUCUCAACCUAAUUGGUAACGUUCAAUUUAAUUGGGUAAUUCCCAAUUAAAUUGAGUAACUCCCAAUUAGGUUGAUUAAUUCACACUUAGAUCAAAUAAUCCCCAAAUGGAAAGAAUUAUUUGACCUAAGGUAUGAUUUAAUUCGAUUCCCACAAUAUUUAGAUGCAUAAUUGAAUGCGAAUAAACAUCACUCUCUCCAGUGUGAAAUGGCGAAAAUUCUCUUCAAUCAAAAGUGGGCUUACUUCAAAUUUAGUUGAAGAAUGAUGGUGUGUCUUGCCUGACAAUUGACAAUUAGGUUUAGGAGCGUUCCUCUAGUAGAAAAAUCUAAAUCAUUUGUGGUCAUCCACUCACUUGGUUAGUCUUCCAGAAUCAAAUACCAAAUCAACCCAAAGGAAGCUGCAAUUUUCUGAAUUGUAUACUUGUUUUAAUUCUUCCUAUCUUUUUCUCUCUUUCAUUUUUUUUGUCUCCCUCAAGUUAAUACUUAAGUGAGUUGCCAAAUGGGGGUAAAAAAGAGAGUAGAAGAGAUGAACCCCACAUUUGACUUUAAUAGACAAAUGCCCAAGAGAAGUACCAGUAAGAGCAUCUCCAAUUGGGAGGUGCUAUCCUAUAAUUUGACACACAUUUCUUUUUUCUUUUUUUUCAAUUCUAACAACAUGUCAUCUAUAUCGCAAUAGGCCGUUGUAGUUAAAUUUUCAAAUAACCAAGUUGCUCUCUAUUUUCCAAAGAAGACUAGAAAACAACUUACCAUCUAUCUGGUGCUGCUUCUUCCAAACAUUAGAAAAAACAGAGCUACACCCAGGAGGAGCCCAGGAGAUGACACAAUACUGCCUACUAUGAUUCUUACUUUCUUCACAUUCAAUGAGACUAUAAAAUAUAACCCAAGUGGUCUAACCCCCCAGGGCGGAAAUUGGGUUUAGCAAGUUUAGCACUGAUUGUUGUAUAGUCUUAAACAGUCCUGAUCUCUUGGACCCCUGUAGUCCAAGAGAUUUAUGGUCACCCACCGUUGGAUGUAAAUUCAACGGUUGACUUGAAUCGGGUAAUAAUAAUUUAUGUCAUAUUGCAUUUAUAUAUAUCAUUUUGAACCAUUGGAUUAAUAUCCAACGGUGGGUGACCACAAUCUCUUGGACUCCUGUGGUCCAAGAGAUCGGGACUGUAGUCUUAAAAUAAGUAGUUUAGCGAGUGCAAACUUCGACUUAAAAAAACUCUCAUGUAUAGCCGCGCGGCUAUACUAUUUACAUAUAAAUAUAUAAAAAAGCACCCCCUAGUCACGUGUCACAAAUAGUAUAGUCGAAAACAGUAGAGCCGCGCGGCUAUACUGUUUUUAAAAUAAAAAAAACCAUAUUCGAUUCUCCUUAUAUUUAAAAGGGGUAUAGCCGCAUGGCGAUACUAAUUUUUUUUUUUCAAAAAAAGGGACCCCAGUACUCCUUUUAUAUAUUAUAAUAUAUUGUCUAAUAUUUGGAAUAUUUACUCUAAAAUAAACAAUAUAUUAGGUUCUUUUUGUCUACAAAUUGACCAUUAAACUUCUUAAUCACUCUUAUACUUUCAAUUAAAUCUACUAGGCUAGGUUAUGAUAUUUUCACUAAAAAACUCCUCCUUUUUUUCUUCUCUUUCUCUUCCUGUUUUGUUUAACUUAAGCUUAAGUUUUGUAAUUUUUUUUCCCGCCCUUUUUACAUGUUUGAGUAGGGUACUUUAAUAUUGGGAUUUAUGAACUUUUUUUGUAUUUCUUCUUUAUAUUGGAAUAUAAAUUAUUAACUUUUGAGUCUUUAAUAGUGUAGAUGAUGAGAUUAUUAUUCAACCAUUUUAUAAUAUGAAAUGAAGGACAAUCAUGAUUGUGAUGAAUGGAUUAUUAAUCAAUAUGAAAUGAUAUUAUGAAGUGGGCUAAAUCGAGUAGUUAGUAUCGUAUUGUUGAGACCCAAAAAAUCCAAGGCUAGGCCCAAAUAUAUUAUGAAGUGGGCUAAAUCGAGUAGUUAGUAUCGUAUUGUUGAGACCCAAAAAAUUCAAGGCUAGGCCCAAAUAUAUUUCCGGUCCAAUGCGAUACCUUACCGAGAAGAAACCUUAUUUGGGCACGCGAAAGUUCGUCAUAUGCUCUUGCACACAUGCCAUGCCAAGCAAAUAAGCAACAUGCCACGCUACAAGCUUAAGUGGGCCCAAGCCACGUGAAUGCCUAGGGCCUGCUGAGUGGGUUGUGGUAUGGAUGGUUAUGAGUAUUCACGAGGCCCAUUGAUGGUCUAAGGAGUGGAAGUUUUGGGCUACUUGGGAGCACCAAAACUCAAGCCCAUUCAUUGAGCCCAAACAUAUGGGUAAGCAUGAGAUAAAACCUAGUAGCCCAUCACCUUAAGAAAUCCUAAUAGCCCAUAACAUGUGAGAAAAUCCCACAUCAACCAAAGCUUCCAGCAGUCUGACGAAAUCAAAGGGAACUCACAAGCCGUUGGAAACAAAACAACCCAACACUGUAACACCCCGACCCCAAAUUUCCCCAAAUUUAACCCUUAUUUAAUUAUUUAAGGGUAUUUUAGUCAUAUUUUUAACCGGAGAGAGUUUGGGGCAAUGACUAGUAUUUUUGGAUAGGUCGUACUGAGACGAGUUUAUGGACACGCAGUGAGCUCGAAUCGGAGUUGUAACGAGAGAGAUAUGGUCAAAAGAAGCCCAGUGGCACAAUCGUAAAUAUUUUGAAAUGAGAUUUUUUAUAAAAAUCUGGUUUUCUCUCUCUCUCUCUCUCUCUCUCUCUCUCUCUCUCUCUCUCUCUCUCUCUCGCUAGCGACCUCUCUCUCUCUCCCCCGUCGGUCUCUCCCCUCUUUCUCCUCGUAACUCCGGCCACCGGCCCCGGCUGUGGACGGGGCCGGUACCAAAAUGACCGAGGCGUCGUCCUCUUCCUACCCCAGCCACCUCCCACCGCCAGCCGUCGCGGAUUCGCCGGAAUCUGGAGAUGAAGCGGCCUACGUCGUCCAAAUUUCAAAGCUGCCGAUCUCCCUCCUCCGGCCACCAAUUCCGUCGACCCAGGUAUGGAUUUUGAACUUCUCGAGCUGCUCUAGCUGAUGGUUGGGUAGGAUUAGAUCGAUUCUUAGCUUAGACAACUCGAUUUUCAAAUUGAAAAUCGGCCGAACUUCGGCUGCCGUGAUCGGCCAUUUCCGGCCACUUUUUGGGGUAGGUCCAAGAACAAAAGUGGCUCCAAAUAGGGUGUUAUACCUAGGGUAGGAGUUUGGAGCCGUGGUUUUGAGAUUUUCCGGCGAAGCGUUAUCGCUUUGGGCACCCACGCGCUGCCGGUGCGUGCGGCGGCGCGUGGGCACUGUAGAAAAAGUAGCACUGUGUUCCGAUGAGAUCCUUAGGUUGUCACGAGUGCGUAGGAUUUUGCGGAUCUCAAUUCGGACGUCGUUUGACUAUCGAACGGAUAUUCGCAUAUUGCGCGUUAUUCGGGUUCGAUAGGUUGGGACCGUUGGAUGGACCCAAAUUUAAUAUAUGUUAAUCUAAUUAAUUCUAGGAUCGUGUAGGAAUUCACGGAUUGUGAAUCGGAGCCCCGGAUGUUCCGAAUAAUAAUUUUAAAGUUUGUAUUUUAUAUUAAUUGUCAGAUCGUGCGAUCGUGAGCAAUCUGACCGUUCGAUCUGAACCAAACUUGCAGGACAAGUGUCCUAUACCUUGUAGAACCCAUAGGGACCUUCGGAUCGGAAAUUGGAGGUCGUGGGUUCCGCAAGUCGGUUUGACCAGGGUUAGAGAAGUUUGACCCUUGGUUGACCGUGAGUCUCCCGGAGUAAUCUCACCUUUCUAGGGGAGAUUAUCGGGUACUAGAUGAUUGUGGACACAAUAUUAGAAUUAAUUUAUAUAAUUAUAAUUAUAUAUGGUUGUACAAGGGUACAACAGAGUCUAGAAUGUCAGUUUGGAGUGCUAUACGCACUACUUUAGGUACCUCCCCGGAUGUUGGGAUUUACUACAAGUACCACCAAGUGAAAUUGAGGUCCCGCGUGGCGUAGGUUAUCCAGCGUUGGGAUAGGUCUCAUACGUGGGGUUGGUUGUACCGGCGUAUGGGGAGAUUUGUGAUAUUAUGUUCAGGUCUCACGUGGCGUAGGUUAUCCGGCGUUGAGACAGGCCCCAUACGUGGUGUUGGUUGUACCAGCGUAUGGGGAGCUAUGUGAUAUUGUGUUGAGGUCGCACGUGGCGUAGGUUAUCGGGCGUGUCGACAGACCCCAUACGUGGCGUUGGUUGUACCGGCGUAUGGGGAGAUUUGUGAUAUGAAAUUGAGGUCCCACGUGGCGUAGGUUAUCCGGCGUUGGGACAGGCCCCAUACGUGGCGUUGGUUGUACCGGCGUAUGGGGAAAUAUGUGAUAUGAUGGCAUGGUCGCACGUGGCAUAGGUUAUUCGGCUUGUUGACAGGCCCCAUACGUGGCGUUGGUUGUACCGGCGUAUGGGGAGAUUAUUUGAAAUGCAGAGAAACGAAAUAUGGUAUCGCCCAAAUGUGGAAUUGGGUUUUAGGGAAGAACUACGUGUGGCUUGAUCCCUCAAGGAGGGUACGUAGGCAGCCUAAGGUUAAUAGGUGCAGCCGCAGACUAAAUGUUAGUCAUAAUUGAUAUUUGAAUUGUUUGGUAGUUGGUUAAGAAUUAUUGGAAGGCCGAAGGCCAUUUGUGUGAAUUGCAUGAAAUUAUAUUGUGCAUGCUGCCAGUUGGGAAUAUUAAAUGCGUUUUUAUGCAGGUAUAAAUUUUAGGAAAUGUCCAAUUUAUAGGGGAGACUCUGCCGAAUUUUCGGCAGGAAGUCUCAGUUUUUAGUAUCUGGGCCUGGCAUCGGGAGGAUGUCGGGAAUUCCAAAGGGUCGUCUCGAGUUCUGAAAAAUUCGGUGCGGGUCCUUUCAAACACCUUAUAAAAUAUCCAACGCCGUGCAUCUCUGUUAAAACCAGAUCACAGCCAAACCACCAAAACCAUGCAAACCCAUAUGCUGAUCACCAUUUUUACUAGCACCCUUACCCAUUCUUUCCUCUUCAAGCUUUGGUGAGAAAACAAGAAACAAAAGUGGGCGGAUCUUCACCCACAUGGAGAAAUCCAGCUGCCUGAGGGCCCUGGAACUCCAAAAAACUUCUUACCUACAUGCUCAGGCUAGGGAAGUUUCACCAAAUAAGCAAGAAUGGAAGAAAGUGAAGGAAAAGGGGAAAGGGUGGCUUGACGAAAUUAAGGUUUUCAGCACUUAUAAAAGGAAACACUUUCUAUCCAGCAAAAACAACUCACCCUGGUUGCUGCAAGCCUCCUAGCAACCAUGAGAAUUCAUUGAAGGCAAGCAUCCCCUUUGGAACCCUUCAAUUUCAUGCUUUGUUCUUCCAUCUUCCUCCUUUCUCUCUCUCUCAAAACCCACAUCCAGAGAGAGCAAGCAUCAUCUCUCAUCUUUGGAACCCUUCGAUUUGAAGCCUUGUUCUUCCAUUGCUUCCCAUUUUCUCUUCUGUCAAAUCACCUAGGAGCUUGACGAAACUUUCGUCAAGCUGCUGGAAAUAUGGUAAAGCCACCCAUGCUUCCAUCUUCUUCCUCUCUUUCCAUAAACACACAUCCAAAGAGCAAGCUUCAUCUCUCAUCCUCUAAACCUCUGCAAUUUCAAGCCUCAUUCCUCUAUCUUCUCCCAUUUUCAGCGGUAGUGAGAAUGAUUUCUGCGUGUGCAUGGGAAGGAUUGUAACUCAGAUGAGGAGGAGAUGGUUUGGAGUGGGGUGAGGCAGUUGGAUAGAGCUCUUGGCCUUUUCAAGUUUGGAUGGGAAAGAGCAGGGAUGAAAGAAGCUUUACAACUGCAAGGGCAUAUAUGGUGCGUAGGGGCUGAAGGCAGAACACUUACAUAUAGAGGAAACACAUUUUUUGUCCAUGGGAUUCAUGUUUGACAAACACUUGUCUUAGACUAUGAGUUCAAAUUUCAAAACCUUUUUUUUUUCUUUCUGAAAUCAGGACCAGUGUGGAGAACUAGCAAGGAUUGGAGAAACAGAUUUUUGGGCGUCACUUGACCACAGAUUGUUGAUUGCUCAAAUGUGUAGAAUUGGCCAUCUUAAAUGUCAAAAUGAUUUAUCAAUUGGGGUUUUUUUAGAAACGUUUAUGUUUGUCAAUAGAGACAGAAGUCAGAGAACAUAAACCUUUCUCAGCAAAUUGAAAUUCUCAGUGCAUGCUCUGUUCUUCCAUGGCUUUCAAACCUUCUCUGCCACGGUGAAAUGGAUCGAUAGAGAUAGUUUAGGCCGUUCCAUUUGUUUGAUGAAGCAUUCGUUCUAGGGAUUCUGUAUAUUCAUAACAAAAUCACUAGAAUGAUUCUUAGAAAUUCAUCACUGCUAAAGGCAAUGGGUUCAGCAUAAUAACUUCUUAGUCUUGCUUCUUGGUCCUUUAUUUUCUUUGCAUAAUACUCCAAGUUUACCUGGGUUCUACAGAGAAAAUCUCGUAGAUACCUCUUUUUGUGGUCUUCCAUGGCAUUUAAGUGCUGCUUUCCAUGGUGAAGUGGGCCUAUAGAGACUACCUGAGGUGUGUAGGCUUUGUCAUUUCCACGCCGUAAUCGCUCAGGAACUCUGUAGAUACACCUUCAAGGGGGACAAGGGAGACAAACUAUCCAAUUCCUUGCGCCUUACAAAUAGAUCGCAUGGGUUUUCUAUUUCAUCUGCAGCUUCAUCAAUUCCUUCCAUUUUUCUCCUGAUCAUCAUGCGCGGUGAUUCAAAUAUUUCAUAAUGAACAUUGAAAUGAGAUGCUACAAGCAAACUUAUGAAAAGAAACAGAAAUACCAAAAAGACAAAUCAAUGUAGAUGGUUUAGAAAAUCUAAACAUUGCAAUUAUACUCCUUUGCCCAACUUCUAGGAGCAAACGUACACAAAGACCUUAUUGCUUCCAACUUUUCCAACAGAAUUUCAUAUGAAUUGCUCCAAGUGAAAUCCGUAUGAAAAAUCGGUAGUUGGAUUUUCAUCCUGCUUUAAUAUGAUUAUUUAACUUCUAACAAAAAAACUCUUAUUACUUGAGCAAGUAAAAUACUAUUCCAGGUUUCUCCUAGUUCUAUAUGCGCUUAUAAUUGGUAUACUCUAUAAAUACCAUAAUCUGAAUUUCUCUGUUUUGAUUACUUUAAUUUAUUACUUAUGUUUUAAUUAUUGUUUACUUAGUGAAUUAUUAGUAUUUAAGAGAAGGCCUUCCAUCGAUUAGGCACCACGUGUCUAUAAUAAGUAAAGCCGUCCGGCUAUACUUAAAAAAAAAAAAAAUUGUAGUAUAGCCGACCGGUAUAGCCGCGCGGCUAUACUAUUUAAUACAUUAUAUUUAAACGGUAUAGCCGCGCGGCUAUACUAUUUAAUAAAAUAAAAAACAAAAGAAAAAGAAAAAUUACCCUCCUAUUUCAUUAGUUUGUACUUUAUAGAUACUAGCCCCUUGACACAUGCUCACGCAUGUGCCAAUUGGUUUUCUUUUUCUUUUUUAUUUUUAUUUUUAGAAUUAAGAAAAAAUAACAGGAUAGUUAUGUUCCAUAAAAGUAGGACCUAUUAUCUUAUUUUGUUUUUAAUUUUAAUUUUUUUAAUAUUAAAAAAAUAUGAAUUUACGAUAUUAUCCUCAUUUAAUUAAUAAUUUCAAUUCUUAAUGUUUGAAUUAACAAAGGGCAUUUUCUGGUAUUUUGAAUGUUUCACCAUUCUCUGCCUUUUGCUUUAUAUAUAUAGAUUAAUUUGCCAGUUUCAAGAUAUCCAAAGUACAUAUUAGACUUUCACUAUAUAAAUUUCAAUAUAUAUUUUUUAUAACAUGUGUUGUUCUUAUUCAAUAAUAUGUGAGAAUUAUUUGUAUAAUACGUGAAUUUUGUGUGUCUUACUGAAUUUUUUUAAAUACGUGUAUUAAACGUUACAAAUACGUACAUAUAUGUACAACACGACUAUUGUAAGUUUGCUAUAUAAAAAAAAGUGAGAUGUAUCUAGAACACGAAUGUAUUAUCGAAAAAUAUAUAUGUAUGUAUAUAUAUAUAUAUAUAUGUAAAAGCCUAUAGCCUCUCACCUAUACUAUUUAUUAAAGACAAUUUAAAAAUUACAACAACAAAAAAACCAGUACAGCCACAAAGCUAUACUAUUUUAAAAAAAAAAAAUAGAAAAAAUAUCAAGUACUACACAGGGCAAAGGCCCAGUGUAAAAUAGUAUAGCCGUACGGCUAUACGUUUUUAAGAAGAAUUUAAAAAACUAAGUAUAGCUCACCGACUAUACUAUUUUUUAAUAUAAAAAAACAACCCCAUCCAUUAGGCGCCACGUGUCAACAGAAGUUUAUUUUUAAAAAAAAAAAUUAAAAGACAAGGAGUAUAGCCGGGUGGUUGUACUAUUUUUUUAUUUUAAAAAGAAGACAGUCCAUCGAUUAGGCGCCACGUGUCCAUAAUAAGUACAGCCGCUCGGCUAUAUGUUGGAUAUUUUGAAACUAGCAAAUUAAUAUCAAUAGCCGGUCGUAACCUAUGCUGUCCACGUCACUCAUGUUUUACCAGAGUUAAAGCAUCCACAAUGAGCUCCCCAAACCAUCUCUUUAGACAAAUUUUAGGGAGAAAUUGGAAAAGUACAACUCCAACCAUGCUCCCUAUCCACCAACUAAAAUAGGGAGACCUCUAGGAGCUCCUAAAUCUGAGGAGAGGGAAAGGACUCUUAGUGACUCCCUAUAAUUUAAUGUUGCUUUGUUUUAUGCAUAUUUUAAACUUUUAAUUAAAUCAAAUUAUUAUUUUAUAUUAUUUUGUAUACAGAUGGACCAAUUAUAUUAAAUUAAAAAAUAAUUAAAGUAUUUGUGACUCUCUAAACUAAGGAGUAUGAUUAGAGUUCAAAUUUUAUAAAAAGCUCUUAAAAUAGCUUUUGUGUGUUUUUAGCUAAAUUUUAACUAAAAAAUUUGAAGAUUCUUUAUUUGGGUUUCUUUCAAGACGAAAACCAUAUCCACAACAGACAUCUUUGGCUGUUCAUCACAAUUGAGAGACAAUGAAGAAGACAUAAGGGAGAGGCUGCCAAAUACUUAUCACCUUAGCCACCACCAACACCACAAGACCAAUAUGUGUAGGCCAGGAGGCUUUCCAAUUUUAAUAUAUAUAUAUAUAUAUAUUAAAAAAUAAAAUAAAAAUCAAUCUAUUAUCAUAUAUAUUAUAAAAUAAAGAUUAUUGCUCCAUCCUCCAUGCACUUGCGUGCCCUCUUACAAAGUAUGAAGUAGAUUUUGUUAGCUGGAUUUAUAAGAUCUUUUGUUUUUUGGAAAUUUUCUGAAAUAAGGAAAAUCAAGUAAAAUUAAUAAAGCAUAAAUUGGAAAGGGAAAAUAUCUAGAGGAUGCAUUGUAGGAUUGCUCAAGCCAAUAAUUGUACCCUCUAAAUAUAUAGGGACAUAUUUUUUUUGUUUUCAUGACAUGUCGUCCUAAAAUUAUUGUUCUUAGCGGGCUCUCCACCCCCUCUCGAUUGAAAACCUAUUGUGUAAAUCUUCAAUCCUGAAUUAGAAAAGUACAACUCCAACCAUGCUCCCUAUCCAUCUCCUAAAAUAGGGAUACCUCUAGGAGCUCCUAAAUCUGAGGCGAGAGAAAGGACUCUUAGUGUCUCUUUAUAAUUUAAUGUUGCUUUGUUUUAUGCAUAUUUAAACUUUUAAUUAAAUCAAAUUAUUUUUUUAUAUUAUUUUGUAUACAAAUGGACCAAUUAUAUUGAAUUAAAAAUAAAUUAAAGUAUUUAUGACUCUCUAAACUAGGGAGUAUGAUUGGAGUUCAAAUUUUAUAAAGAGCUCCUAAAAUAGCUUGUGUGUGUAGGGGUCUUUUUCUUCUGGCAACUACAGAUGGGUUGGGCUACCGUAAGGAGCAAACUGAAGAAAAUAUCCCCUGUGUCUGAGUUCAAAGAUUCGGCCCCAAAAUAUUUCGAAAAGGCAGUAAAGCCUUAGGAAACACCUUAGUUACCUUCACCAACGAAAAUGACGGCUGCUUACAGGUAGAUUCUUAGUGCUUACAGAUGAAUUCUUAGCUUAGCAUGAGGAGAUCGUGGCAUGGAAGCAAAGUUAGCAUGAGUUUAGCACUAAAGAGAAAAUUAUGUGUUCUUGGGAGGAAGAAGGGGUGUCCAGGUAAAUGGGAAAAGGUUUUGCAAGUAGAUUUGGCUAAGAGAGAAGGGAGAGAGAGAAGAGGGUGGCUAGAGUGCUUCUUCCGGCAGCUUGACAGUGACUCUGUCAAAUGUUAGAGCAAUCUGCCAUAAGAGGGAAAAUGGGGAAGAAGGAUGAACAGUGCACAAAAUUGCUAGGUUUUUGCAAGUAAGAGAGGAAGCUUGCUCUCUGGAUGUGGAUGAUCCGUUGGGUAGAAGAGGCCCCAUUUUAUAGCCGCUGGAAACUAUCAUUUCUCAAGAAACCCUAAUAGUUUCUACCCAAUUUGGUCAAGCUUUUCCCUUCCUUUCUCAUCUCCUCCCUUGACUUUUCCUAUCUUGGUGAAAUUUCCUCUGUCUAUUUGCACAAAAUCAGGAGCUCAAGGCCUCCCUUUCCCGCAACUGUUCAAUGGGAGACUCCAUUCUUAGCUAUUUUUCUUCUUCUUUCCUUCCUCCUUCCCUGACCAAAUCUGAUGAAGGAAAGCAAAUAGGUGCACACAUUGGUUUGAAGGGUGCUUCUCCUUCUAGCAGCUUACAUGCCAAUAUCCCUUGGGUCCUUGCAUGUUUUUUGCUUUGAAACUUGUUUCUUCCUUCCCGUCAACUCACGUGGUCUUCCAUGCUUCUUCAUGGCUUUAUCUUUCAGCCAAAAGAUGGAGUUUUUACUGCUUGCUACUUUUAAUUGUAUGGGUCUUCUAGGAUAGGAAGUCAACCUACCAAACAAAUGGGCCACCUUUAUCAAAUAUUGGGCUGUUGGGGUUAGUUUUAGUGGGCCAUUUUGACUGGGCUUUUUGGUUGGGUUAUUUAAGUUAUUUUCCCUUUUGUGCUCACCCAUGUAUUUAGGCCUAAGAAAUGGGCUUGGGCUCCGAGUCUCCCAAGCAACCCGGAACCUCCAUUUCUUGGCCCAUUAAUGGGCCUCAUGACAACCUAUUACCAUCCAUACCACAACCCACUCAAGCAAGCCCCGGGCAUUUGAAUGGCUUUGGCCCACUUUAGGCUUGUAGUGUGAUUGGGUGUGGCAUAACGAUUUCUCGCUUGGCAUGGCAUGUUGCUUGGCAUGUUUUUUCAUUACGAUGCUUGAUGGAUUUGUAGAGCUACCUAUUUUUAUGAUCUUAAUCUUGAUUCCUAGCAUGACAAAUUUAUUUAUUUGGCAUGGCAUGCGGAGCGUGACUUGUGCGUGGCGAGUUUUGUAUGCUCCAACUUGGGCCUUUCCUAAAUAAUGUAUCAUUUUGGGUUAUGAAUUCUUUCGGGCCCAACCGUGAAUUUUUUGGGUUUCAACAGUGUGUUUUUAGCUAAAUUUUAACUAAAAAAUAGGGAGCAUGAUUGUAGAUCAUCUUAUAUACCUUAAUUUGAAGAUUCUUUAUUUGGGUUUCUUUCAAGAUGAAAACCAUAUCCACAACUGGCAGACAUCUUUGGCUGUUCAUCACAAUUGAGAGACAAUGAAGAAGACAUAAGGGAGAGGCCGCCAAAUACUUAUCACCUCAGCCACCACCAACACCACAAGACCAAUAUGUGUAGGCCAGGGGGCUUUCCAAUUUUAAUAUAUAUAUAUGGAGUGAAAAAAAUAAAAUAAAGAUUAUUGCUCAUCCUCCAUGCACUUGCAUGCCCUCUUACAAAGUGUGAAGAAGAUUUUGUGUGCUUCAAGUCAUUGACUAGAGCUGAAACAUGGUUAGCUGGAUUUAUAAGAUCUUUUGUUUUCUGGGAAUUUUCAGAACCAAGGAAAAUCAAGUAAAAUUAAUAAAGCAAAAUGGAAAGGGAAAAGAUCUAGAGGAUGCAUUGUAGGAUUGCUCAUGCCAAUAAUUGUACCCUCUAAAUAUAUAGGGACAUAUUUUUUUUGUUUUCAUGACAUGUUGUCCUAAAAUAUUUGUUCCUAGCGGGCUCUCCACCCCCUCUCGAUUGAAAACCUAUUGUGUAAAUCUUCAAUCCUGAACGAUGCUCCUAAAACUCAAGUGUCCCAGGCCAAUUAUUGCUCUCAUACCACUUGUUGCAAUACACAUCCACUCAUUCUCAGGGAAAGAAACCCAUCGAUAUUAUCUCAAAUUUAACCACUUUAGUCUAUUAUGAUUAACUAUGUAUUUUAUGGAUCAAUGCAGUUGUGAGGUUUUAUACCCAAUUAGAUCGACCAAUACAGAGAUCACAUGUGGACUGAAAAGCGCCAUCGGUAGGGGAGUGUUUGGCACCCUUUACUGCCGAGUGCAACACAAGACCCCUUACCAGGAACUUAUCUACUAGGACACGUGAAGCCACCACAAGUAAUAUCAACAGUCCCACAUCGAAGUUUAACAUAACAUGUACACUCCCCAGGACUGAUAAAAGUGGGCACAAGUCCCAAAAAUGGGGGAACUUGGACUUUCAGCAAUUCAUCCAUUAUUAUGUCCAAAUUACUAUACACUCCGUACUUAUUCUUACUUAAGCAUUGGAGAGCCUUCGGCCGGUACCACACCAGUGCCUAAGGGCUUACCGAGCGUUCUCUAUCUUGCAUAUUGAUCGCUCUACUGAAGCCCAUAAAGAGUUAAAGGUCAAGACAUCACUAAGUUGAGCCCAAAAGUGCUGAACCACAUCAAAAAUAUGUAUAGAUUGAAAAAAUAAAAUAAAAAUCAAUCUAUUAUCAUAUAUAUUAUAAAAUAAAUAUUGGAUAAAUUACUCAAAUGGUCCUCAAACUUAUACUCGAUUUACAUUUUGGUCUCUCAAUUAAAUUAUUUGUUCAAAUGGUCCAUCAACUCUAUAUUAUUUCUGCAAAAUCUACAAAGUGGUGGGAGGCAGACCAACAAAAAAAAUUAGCGAAGGCUUAUAACUCUGGUAAAACAAGAGUUACUUGGAUAGAAUAAUGUUACGUCGUACUGAAGAUUUUUGGGUUUCUUUAAUUGGUUAAGUGAAGAUUCUUUAUUUGGGUUUCUUUCAAGAUGAAAGCCAUAUCCACAACCACAACCACAACUGGCAGACAAUCUUUGGCUGUUCAUCACAAUUGGGCGACAAUGAAGAAGACAGAAAUUGGAGUACUGUAUGUUAUCACCCACACCACAAGACCAAUAUAAGGAGGAUGGGGAGGCUGCGGAAUACUUAUCACCUUAGCCACCACCUACACCACAAGACCAAUAUGUUGUAGGCCAGGAGGCUUUCCAAUUUUAAAUUAGAUAAAUCGGAAACUGUUUCGAUAUCCAAUUGUAUUCUAUAAAAUCAAUGAACACGGUGCUUCAAGAAAGUAAUAAAAUUUCAAUAAUUCAAUUGAGUGGUCAAAUUCAAGUGAUUUUUUGUAGUGAUGAUCUUUGAAUGAGUAUCUAUAAAAGAGACGGUUUGGAUUAGUGAAAUACAAUAUGGAGUGGGCCCUACCAGCAAUCCACGACAAAAUGUCUGCAAGCUUUCGUAAUAUAAGGAGGAUGGGGAGGCUGCGCAAUACUUAUCACCUUAGCCACCACCUACACCACAAGACCAAUAUGUUGUAGGCCAGGAGGCUUUCCAAUUUUAAUAUAUAUAUAUAUAUAUAUAUAUAUAUAUAUAUAGGGAUGUGAUUUCUCUACUCCCCUUUUCUCUACUUAUACUCCCUUUUGCUUUUAAAUACUUUUUAAUCAAUUUUUUUUCCGCUUUCCUAUUAAUAUUCUACCAUUUCCCUACAUUAAUUUCUUUUUACUUCACUUUUAUAUUAGUUCUUUUUCUUUAUACUUAAUUUUUCAACUUGCACUCCAUUUUCAUUAUUUUUUUCCUAAUCGAGUAAGAAAUUAAGUUUUUUUUCCCCAUUUAAUACUGAAAAUGGAGUGUAAGUUAGAAAAUUAGGUAUAAAGAAAAAGAAAUAAUAUAAAAGUAAAGUAAAAAAGAAAUUAAUGUAGGGUAAAGGUAGAAUAGAAAAGAGAAUGAACAAAAUUGAUAAAUAAAUAAAAAAGGUUUAAAAAGCAAAAAGGAGUGUAAAUGGAGAAAAGGGGAAUGAGGAAAUCAGCUCCAUAUAUAUAUAGAUUGAAAAAAUUAAAAUUAAAAUCAAUCUAUUAUCAUAUAUAUUAUAAAAUAAAGAUUAUUGCUCCAAGGAAAUGACAUCUUUUGUUUUCUGGGAAUUUUCUGAACCAAGGAAAAUCAAAUAAAAUUAAUAAAGCAUAAAUUGGAAAGGGAAAAGAUCUAAAGGAUGCAUUGUAGGAUUGCUGAUGCCAAUAAUUGUACCCUCAAAUUAUACAUGGACAUAGGGGUGGGCAUUCAAAUAGGCAAACUAGAAAUCCGAGCUGAACCGCACCUAGGAAAACCGGAAAAAAAACCGAGUUGACCAAAAAGUCAACAACUGGUCAAAAAUCGAACCGGACCGAUUUGGACUGGUUUUGGAUUCAGUUUAUAUGCAAUGCUACAUUUUUAGUCUCAUAACUAAUAUUUAUCCAAGUUCAAUUUCAAAACAUCUUUCUUUUUUAGCUUUAAUAUUUAUUUUUAUAUGAAAUUAAAUAAUUUAUUAAUUUUCAAGUAAAUAAAAUAAAAUUUCAGUUGAAAUUUAUAUUAAAAAAAUAAUUUUAAUAAUCCAGUUCAAAACCAAACCGGACCAUCCAGCUGUGAGGUACAUUUCUCCCACAUGCCACAAUUGUAUAUUCACAAUUACGUCUGAUACAUCACAUCAUGCCACUUGCCUCAAAUGAAUUUAAGUGAGUGUGGCAGUGGAAAGUAAUUAAGCUCUAUAUUGGUGGGUGGACUGUUACUUCUGGGUUCCCCUCAUCAUUCGUCUAUAAAAUGGUGAAGGCAGUUGCUAUUGUUACCAUAAGAGCCAGCUCCGACUUCCUUUAAUUUCUUGCUUCAUAUCCACUAGCUACAUCUGUUACCAAGUUAAUUUCAGUCCUAAUGGGGUUUCAUCUCCCACUCAUCUUUGCUCUUCUCAGUGUAAGCUCUGCAAUUUGAUUAACUUUUCCAUUCUCUCUCAUUGUACUCUAUAUAAACGAAAGUUUUGUGUUCCUAUAAUUCUCUCCGAUUUUAUUUAGUACGUACUUAAGUGUCGUCCACUAAUUAAUUACACUUUGUGAUUUGAUUUUAAUUUGAGUUCGAAUUAAUGUUGCAGCUAGCAGCAGUGGCACUGGCAAACCAUGCUGCUCAACCAGCACCUCAACUUUACUGGAACUCCGUCCUGCCAAACACACAGAUGCCAAGAUCUAUCAGUGAACUUCUGCAUCCUGGUUUGUGUUGAGCUCUUUAGAAUCUUAGAUAUCUCUUCUACCUGCCAUUUUACUAAAAUAUGUUCCACCACAUAUUUAUCAGUUAACCACUGUUAUUACAUGAGUGACACAUAUUCACAAAUCGGCUGAUCACUUAUUUUCCAUUAUGACGUUGAUAUAUAAUUUGCAGACUCCACAAAUGAAGAAAAGAGCACAAAUGACGUUGGCAAACCUGAAACUUUCCCAUUGGGCAAUAAACAUUACUCCAGUCAAAAACAUUAUGGAAGAGGCAAACCUGAAACUUUCCCAUUGGGCAAUAAACAUUACUCCAGUCAAAGACAUUAUGGAAGAGGCAAACCUGAAACUUUCCCAUUGGGCAAUAAACAUUACUCCAGUCAAAGACAUUAUGGAAGAGGCAAACCUGAAACUUUCCCAUUGGGCAAUAAACAUUACUCCAGUCAAAAACAUUAUGGAAGAGGCAAACCUGAAACUUUCCCAUUGGGCAAUCAGCAUUACUCCAGUCAAAAAAAGUAUGGAAGAGGUGCUUCUCCAUCCGACAAUCAACCACCAAUUCCAUAGAAAUUCAAACACGGCUACUUUCUUGCCACGAGAAAGCGCUCAAUCGAUCCCCUUCUCCUCUAACAAACUACCAGAAAUUUUCAACCAUUUUUCAGUGAAGCCAACAUCUGAGGAAGCCAAAACAAUUAAGCAAACAAUCGAAGAGUGUGAAGCUCCAGACCUUAAGGGAGAGGAAAUAUAUUGCGCCACAUCUUUAGAAUCAAUGGUUGAUUUUAGCACUUCGAAGCUUGGAACAAGAAACGUUGAAGCAAUCUCGACGGAGGUAUUGGAAAAAGGAGCCACCAUGUCCAUCCAAAACUAUACAACAAUGCCGGGACUGAAGAAGUUGGCAGGUGACAAAGUCGUUGUGUGUCAUAAGCAGAACUAUCCCUAUGCUGUGUUUUUCUGCCAUGCAAUAAAACAUACAGCAGCUUAUGCUCUCUCCCUGAAAGGCGAUGAUGGGGAGAAGGUUAAAGCAGUAACCAUCUGCCAUCUAGACACAUCAGAAUGGGACCCAGAGCAUAUGUCCUUCAAAAUCGUCAACGUUAAGCCCGGAACCAUUCCCAUCUGCCAUUUCAUUUCCACUGAUGCUAUUGCCUGGGUUCCGAACCACAAAUCUGCAUGAUCAUCACUUAGCACUAGUACUGUGCGUAUAAUAUGCCUGUAUAAUUAUCUCCCUACUUAUUUCUGCCUGUUCAUCAUGUGGUGUAAGAUAUAUGUUGAGAUGAAGUUUUUGGGAUUAGUGGUCGAAAUUAACCCGAUCAUGUUUUCUCUUGUAACUAUAUAGACUUCAACUUGUACUCAUAAUAAAGCAUGCUAUAUUUAUGAAGAGAUAUUAAUCUUCAGGCAAAUAGAUAUUAUGAAAACAUAUAUAGCAAUUUAUCCAGAAGAAAUAUUAUGAAAUGAAAAGAAUAAAAAGUAAAAAAACAGAAGGAAAGGAAUUCGCACCUGCUAUGUAUGAAAGGACCAAGAUUGUUUUCCCUUUGGUUAAUGACUAGAAAAGCUCACUUGCAGAUUGCUUUCUCUGACCGUAGAUGCAACAGAAAUUUUCUCUUAAUAAUAGCACAAUGAUCGGGUAAUUGUAAGAACAAGUUGAUUUAAAAUUCCUUGACCCAAAAAAAAAAAAAAAAUCAUUUCAAAUUCAGGUCAACCCAUAGAUUUCUUGCCUUUUUCUUCUUCAUCACGUUGGGCUUGUCUUCUUCUUGAGGAUUGUAUAGGCCCAGGAAAUGCUUUGAGGUAGUUUUUGGCCUUGGAAGUUGGGACCCAACCCAACUUCACAAAAAGAAAACAGAUUUGCCAAAAAUCAAAUUUCAAGUCUCUCCUCAGAUCACUAAUACAGAUCAAAUUUUGGAUUUGAUGAACUAAAGUGGUUUUACUUUCUCUGUCAGUGUUUGAUGACUUAAUUUGUUAUUUACUUCUUUUUUUUUUUUUACUUGAUCUUUGUAGGGGUUUUUUUCUUCCGGUAACUUAAACGGGCUGGGCUGCCGUAAAGGGUAGAUUGAUGAAAUUGUCUCCUUUGUCUGAGUUCGAAAAUCAAGCCCCAAAAGCGCUUCGAAAGGGCAGUAGAGCCUUAGGAAGCGUUCUAGUCAUCUUCACCAACUAAAACAACAGCAACUUACAGAUGAUUUCUUAAGGCUUACAGAUAAAUUUUCUAGCUUGGCAUGAGAGGCUUGUGACAUGGAAGCAAAAUCAGCAUGAGUUUAGCACCAAAGAGGAAAAUAUGGCUUCCUAGGGAGAAAUGGGAGUGUUUAAGGUGAGGAAGAAGAGGUUUGCAGGCUGAUUUGGCUGAGGAGAGAGAAAGAAAGAACAAUGUUCUUCCAGUAGCUUGACAAAGCUUCUGACAGAUGUGAAAGUCGUCUGCCAUAAGAGGAAAAUGAAGAAGAAUGGUGAAUAGUGCAUGAAAUUGCUGGGUUUUUGCAGGUAAGAGAGAAAGCUUGCUCUCUGAAUUUGAGUUGGUUUUUGGUUGGGUAGAAGAGGCCCCCUUUUAUAGCUGCGGGAAACCAUCUUUUUUCAAGAAACCCUAAUGGUUUCUAUCCAUUUUGGCCAAGCUUUUCCCUUCAUUUCUCUUCUCCUCCCUUGACUUUUCCUAUCUUGGUGAAAUUUCCUCUGCCUAUUUGCACAAAAUUAGAGAUUUUGAGGAGCUCAAGACCCCUUUCCCGCAGCUGCCUCAGUGGAGAAUCCCCAUUUUCAGUCAUCUUUCUUCCUUCUUUUCUCCCAUCUUCCAAGGUUAGGUCUGAUGAGGGAAAGAAAUGGGUAUGCACACUGGUUUGAAGGGUAUUUUUGCUUGAAACUUGUUCUCUCCCAUGUGCUGGAGCUUCCCAGCAACUUACACACAUGGAUAUUUUGGCUUUCAUCGUGGCUUUUGUUUUCAGCUAGGUGCUGGAGAUUUCGCAGAUAUUUUCAUGAGUUGCUUGGGCCUUCUAGGACAAUAGGUUGGUUUAUCAAGUGAAUGGGCUAACUUCAUCAAUUGUUGGGCUAUUUUGGUUGAGUUAAUGGACUAUUUUGGUUGAAGUAAUGGGCUAUUUUGGUUGAAUUAAUGGGCUAUUUUUCUCUCUUUGUGCUCACCCACAUAUUUGGGCCUAAGAAAUGGGCUUGAGUUCCGGGGCUCCCAAGCAACCCCGGGACUUCCAUUUCUCGGCCCAUCAAUGGGCCUCAUAUCAACUUAUUACCAUCCAUAUCACAACCCACUCAAGCAAGCCCUGGGCAUCUUGCGUGGCUUGGGCCCACUUAAGCUUGUAGCGUGACGUGUUGCUUAUUUGCUUGGCAUGGCAUGUGUGCAAGCGCAUAUGACGAACUUUAGCGUGCCCAAAUUGGGUUUAUUCUCGGUAAGGUAUCGCAUUGGGCCGAGAAUUUAAUUGGGCAGAACUGUGGAUUUUUGGGCCUCAACAAUCUUAUAUAUAUUGGUUUUCUUUUUUUCCUUAAUAUUCACCACCUUUCUGUUGCAUAAGUAUUUCAGUCUUAACGGGUUUCCAUCUACCACUCAUCUUUGCUCUUUUAAGUGUAAGCUUUUUUUUUUUUUUUUUAAGCACAAGAUUAGAGGGGAGGGGGAUUUCUCAAUGUAAGCUUUGCAGUUUCAUAAUUAAUAUUUCCAAUAUCUCACUGUUAGUAAAAUAUGGAACAGGAAAAGUAUGAAUAAAAUACACACAUGUUUUAUUUAGCAAAAUUUUGACAAGAUACAACUGAAAAGUUUGGCCACUAUAUAAUAUUUUGAUAUAAUUUCUACACUUCUUCUCAAAAGAUUAGAUCACUUCACAUCUUGUGUAUGUGAAAACUAAUGUAAAAAGUUGAAACUUUAUCGUAAAACCUCGACAAAAAUGAGCUCUACUAGAAAAUGUUCAAUUUGGAUUCGUUGAUUUAAAUGGCAAUUUGACACUUGAUAGAAAUUUUUACAUACAUGUGUUAGUGUUUGAUCACUUCACAUGUUACUUACUAUAUUUAUUCCACUCAAGUUAGGUAAAUAUUAUUAUCAAACAUUUCAAUUAAUUUGUGAUUUUUUUAUUAUUUAAUCAAUUAUGAAUUAAUGGAUUCUUCUUGUUGUUUUGAAGACCAAUAAAAAAAAAAGGGUAAGGAUGGCUUAUAACUCUGAUAAAACAACAGUGACGUGGACAGCAGAUGUUACACCGUACUGAAGAUUUUUGAAGAUUCUUUAUUUGGGUUUCUUUCAAGAUGAAAACCAUAUUAUCCACAACCACAAUGAAGAAGACAGAAAAUGGAGUAAUUCAGAUGUUACCAGCCAUCCACGACAAACUGAAGUCUGCAAAGCAUUCGUAAUCUAAAGGGAGACUUUGGAAAAGCCCAAAGGAGAGAGAAAAUUUUUAAAAGAAGCAAAAAUGGACAAAAUUGCCCUUAUUUAUUUUUUGAUUUCCUAAGAAAUCCUUUACAUUUGCAUGUCUUUGGUUUGAAAGUUGAGAGGUUAUUCUGUCUUUUUUCAAAAAGCUUUGGCUUUUUCCAAAAGUGAAAGUUUUUUUAUGGGUAAAACCUAAAUUUACUUAAUCCCUAAAAAGGAUGGGGAGGCUGCGCAAUACUUAGCCACGUGUAGGCCAGGAGGCUUUCCAAUUUUAAUAUAUAUAUAAAUUGAAAAAAUAAAAUAAAAAUCAAUCUAUUAUCCUAUAUAAAAUAAAGAUUAUUGCUUCCAUGGGCAGUGCUAUGCACAGGACAGUGCCUGCCCAGCACAAAUUUUUUUUAAAUAAAAAAAAAAAAUCUACAUAUGUUAUAAGCUCAUCCAAAAAAAUAAAAUAAAAUAAAAGUAAAUUCUACAUAUAUGUUGCCCAUCUAGGUGGUUCCAUAUCUUCUCUCUCCUUCUCUUUUGGCUAUUAGACUUCUUGUUUCUCUCUCUCUCUUUGCUACCUCACAUCAGCAAGUUUCUCCCUCUCUUUUUUUGGGGUCAAAUUCUUCCUCUAUUGACAAAAUCUUCUAUUAUCUUGGGUGGGCAACUUGGCAACAACAUCUUCUCUUCUCCUUUUGUCAACAACAAGUAUUAUUCUCAUUCUCUCAUUUGCUAUAUAUCUUUAAUUAUAGUUUUAAUUUAAAAUUGAGUAUUCUAGGGUUUAAUUAGGGAUGAAUUAUAAUUUUAGAAUUUUGUUGAAAUUAAUUAAGGCUUCGAUUAGGGGUGAAUUAUUCUACUGCUUUGGUUUGGAAUUUUGUUAAAAUUGAGUAUUAUAGGGUUUAAUUAUGGAUGAAUUAUAAUUUUUGAUUUUGGUAUUAUUGAGAUGUUAUUAUGAGAAUUUGUUUCAUUUUUUUAUUGGUAUAUUUGAUUAAAAUUCUUUCUACAUAUUAUUCAUAGGCUAUCUUUUAUUAUGUCGGAUCACAAUCGGAAUCCCAAGAGAACAAAGAAUUUGAAUAGUGUUGUUUUGUAUUGCAUUGCAUUUACUUUUGGUUUUAGUUUUGCUUUUAGUGUAAAUUACUCAAAUGGUCCUCAAAUUUGUACCCGAUUUACAUUUUGGUCCAUAAACUAAAUUAUUCAUUCAAAUGGUGCACCAACUCUUUAUUAAUCAGUGCUUUGGUCCUACCGUUAUGUUUUCUAUUAAAUUUAGUCAUGUGAGCAGCACAUGCUACAUUUGUAGGGGUAAAUAAGACUUUUGACCACUUUAUCACCUAUGUAUCACCACUUUAUAACCUAUUUGGAGAACAUAGGUCAGUUAUGGACGGUUUUACAAUUAUAUUUGACGGCAACAUUAACAUAAUGUAACAGUGGGAUCAAUGGAGCGAUUAAUAUAGAGUUGAUGGACCGUUUGAACGAAUAAUUUAAUUGAGGGACCAAAACGUAAAUUGAGUAUAAGUUUGAGGACCAUUUGAGUAAUGUACCCUUCGCUUUUAUAUUUGUUGAACUUUUAUUUAUGGAUAGAUAUGCAUUUGAGGGUAAGACCCAUUAUGUUCCCCCUGACUUGGUGUAUCUUUUUAUGUUUAUUAAUGAAAUUCACUCGAACUGUUGAGUUUAGUAUGUAAGUUUUGCCUAACCGGCUUUUGAAUCCUAGAACCGCCACUGUUGCUCCAUCCUCCAUGCACUUGCAUGUGCUCUUACAAAGUGUGAAGUAGAUUUUGUGUGCUCCAAGUCAUUGACUAGAGCUGAAACAUGGUUAGCUAGAUUUAUAAGGACCCAUCUCUCUAUUUCCUAGACAUAUACCCAUCUCUCUAUAAAUCUAUAUGUAAAACUCAAUUUCAAACUUAAAUGACCAGUAAGAUAUAAGAGGUCAUAGUAUUCCUAUGUUUUUACAUCGUUGCCACCAGACUUCUUAUUUUAUUUAUAAUUUAUUUCAAGCAUUUCAUUAACUGCCAUAAUUGUAAUUAAUACUCCAUAUUAAUAGCAUAUCAAUCACCCCAUUUCUUUUGAUUGCCAUUCCCUCUAACAUAUCGCCCCUUAAAAUUGAAAACCAAAAAAAAAAAAAAUGUAAAUUACAUAUCCAAUAAUGUACCUAUGAAAAAUAUAAAUAUAAAUAUAUACGUAUAAAAAUAUAGGUUUAUUAUUUACCAAAUAAAAAAUAUAAAAAAACUAGGUCAGUUGCUUUGUAAUUGAAAUUUCUAUACAUUUUCCACAAAUUAAAAAUAGGUACACAAUAAUUUAUAGAAAAUAUAGGUGCAUUAUUUAUCCAUAGGUAAAAAUACCUAUAAAUGCACAUAGGUAAAUUAUUUACCCAUAUAUUAUUUUUUUGCUAAGGAUUUACCUUAGUUUUUAGUAGAUUAAUUUACCUACCUAGAGGCAUAGGUAGCUUAAAAAAAUUGUAGCACCUUAGUUGGUUGCAUACUAAUUUACCUACCUAGAGGCAUAGGUUGCUAAGAAAAAAUGUAGGUAAAUUCAUGUACCUAAACACAUAGGGGUCAAAUAGAGAAUAACAUGUUAUUUCCCUUCGAACAAAUUAAUUUCAAACCAUAACAAUAAUUGAAUUCGGAAAUUGGUAUAAAUAAAAGGAAAUAAAUAAGCUAUCAAUUUGAAAAUUAAAAUAAGAAAUGAUCAAGUAGUCAUAUUUGAAAAAAAAGAAAAGAAUAUAUUCUUGGUUUUUAUAGGAACAACGUGUAUAUUCAAACCAAAUGGCAGUAACUACACCAAGCUUUAAUUACUUUUUUUUAAGGCCAAAAGUCACUUUUGGUCUCUGUAGUUUGACACUUCUAUUACUUUUGACGCUGUAGUUUCAAUUCCGUCAAUUUUGCCAUUGUAGUUUCAUAUUUGUAGCAAUUCAAGGACAUGUUAAUAUUAAUGUCAAUUUGUUUAAUGAUGCAAGGGGUAAUUUCGUCAUCCCAAAAUCCUUGAGCAUAAAAGCUUGUCUGAAAUUCUCCCCAUUUCAUAUUAGGGCUCGAAAUUCAACCACUAAUCCCAAUUUUUGAAGAACCCUAUACCCAAAUGACCAAUUUCAAGCCCUAAUAACAAAUUAGGGAAGUUUUAGAUGAGCUUUUAUGCUCAAGGAUUUUGAGUUGAAGAAAUUGCCCCUUGCACUGUCAAAGAAAUUGAUAGGAAUACUGACUUGUCCUUGAAUUGCUACAAAUACAAAAAUACAGGGUCAAAAUUAACAGAAUUUAAACUAUAUGGUCAAAAGUGGUUAAAGUGCCAAACUACAAGGACCAAAAGUGACUUUUAGCCUUUUUGUUUAAAUAAGGAAAAAACUUACCUAUUAAAUCCUUGGAAUCUAUACAAAAUUGAAACACAGUUAAUCAGCAUUGAAUUGCAGCUAAUUUCUUAAACAAGGGUAUUAUAGGAAUUUAAAAAGUAUAACAUUUAAUCCAUUGAGCUUGAUUAGGAAUCUUGAUGAGUUGGAUCCUAGUUAUAUAGUUUCUCUUAUAAAAAUCGGGUUUUAUUUAUAGACAAAUAAAACAAUGGGUUGUAGGUAAGAAAAUAUUAAUUUGAAGGGAAAGUGUCACAUCCUGGGAUCGGCUCCGCCGUAGCACGAUAUUGUCCGCUUUGGGCCCCCCUCUCUGCCCGCACGGUUUUGUUUCUGGGAGCUCACGAGCAACUUCCCAGUGGGUCACCCAUCCUGGGAUUGCUCUGGCCCCCAACUCGCUUAACUUCGGAAUUCCUAUGACUCCGAAGCCAGUGAGCUCCCAAAAGGCCUCGUGCUAGAUGGAUGCGGGUGUGUACAUAUAAGACACAUCACCCCCUCUCCGUUGGUUGAUGUGGGAUCUUACAGAAAGAGUCAAAUUUACUAAAUUAAUAAAGCAUAAAUUGGAAAGGGAAAAGAUCUAGAGGAUGCAUUGUAGGAUUGCUCAUGCCAAUAAUUGCACCCUCUCGAUAUUGAAAAACCUAUUGUGUAUUAUUAUCUUCAAUCAUGAAUGAUGCACCUAAAACCCAAGUGUCCCAAGCCAACCAUUGCGCUCAUACCACUUGUUGCAGUACACAUUCACCCGUUUUUAAAGAAAGAAAUUCUACCAAUCGAUAUUGUCUCAAAUUUAAUCACAUAGGUCUAUUAUGGUUAACCAUAUGUACUUUUAUCGGCCAUAUAGAGGUACCUUUUUCCAACGUGCAACAAUUGUAUUUGAUUCACAAUUAUGUCUGAUAUACAUCACAUCAUGCCACUUGCCUCAAAUGAAUUUAAUUGAGUGAGGCAAUGGGAAGUAAUUAAGCUCUAUAUUGGUGGGUGGAGUGUUACUUCUGGAACCCUCAUCAUUCGUCCAUACAAGGGAACAAUUCCCUUCCUUCUAUAAAAUGGUGAAGCCAGUUGCUAUUGUUUGUUAGAGUUUUAGGAUCUGAGUGUUAGAUUUUGUGAGAAGAGAGAAGAGAAUUUAGUGAAAACUUCCAAUACUGCUCUGCUAUACGUGUAGCAGAGAGAACAUUCUGUUUUGUUAUAUAUUUUCAGUACAACAACACACACUUGGUGUGAGAAGAAAAAUGACUGUUAUGCACAGUACCAGCUGGAUGCUUUCCAUCAAAGUAAUCUCAGCCAUUCACUAUCUAACCAAUCAAGCUAUGACACCUGGACUAAGUAUAAAGAAAUACAACUAAGCAGAAAACAAGACUCUUAAUCCUGAAAUCAACUUAAGCACUUAUAAUUCAACACUCCCCUUUAAGUCUUGAGGUGAUUUCACUCCAAGCAUGCCUCUGAGAUAAUUGAAUCUGUCUUUGGCCAGAGGUUUGGUAAAAAUGUCAGCCAAUUGUUCAUUUGUAGGACAAUAUUCCAGAUUGAUUACCCCUUCUUGCAAUGCAUCCUUGAUGAAGUGAUACCUCCUGUCAAUAUGCUUUGUCUUCUGGUGGAAUACAGGGUUUUUAGUGAUUGCAAUUGCUGAGAUAUUAUCACAAUGCAAUGGAGUAGCUUCAGUUUGAAGCUCUCUAAAGUCUUCUAGCACAAAACGGAGCCAAAUAGCUUGAGUAGUAGCCUCAGCUGCACUGAUGUACUCAGCUUCUGCAGUAGACAGUGCAACACAGUUCUGUUUCACUGAGGCCCAAGAAAAUACUCCACUUCCAAAACUAAACGCAUACCCUGAUGUGCUCUUGCAAUCACCAACUGAUCCUCCCCAAUCACUGUCACAGUAACCAACUAGAAUUGAUCUUUUGCCUUUCACAUAUUCAAGACCAUAGUCCAGAGUUCCUUUGAUGUAUCUCAAAACCCUUUUAGCUGUUCCAUAGUGUCUAUUUGUAGGACAGUGCAUGAAUCUAGCUAGCAAGCUUGAGGCAUACAUGAUGUCUGGUCUUGUAGCAGUUAAGUACAGCAAGCUACCAACAAUGCUUCUGUAUUGUUCUUCAUUUGCAGCUCAACUCCCAUCAUCCUUAGCUAGUUUCUCAGUGGCAACAAGGGGUGUUGUCACAGGUUUGCACUCAGUCAAACCAAACUUGCUCAACAAGGUGCUAGCAUAUUUCUUUUGAUGUAGAAAUAUACUAGACUCAGUCUGAAUAACUCCCAUGCCAAGAAAGUGAUGAAGUAAGCCCAAAUCAGUCAUCUCAUACUUAGCCAUCAUGUCUUCUUUGAAUUCAGCCAACAAUGCUUGACUGCUCCCUGUAUACACAAUAUCGUCUACAUAGAUAGACACAAUUAGAAUCUCCUUAUCUCCCCUUACUUUGGUAUAUAAGGUUGUUUCACUUAAGCUUUUCACAAAACCACAUUGAGUGAAGUAGCUGUCUAUCUCUCCAUACCAAGCCCUUGGGGCUUGCUUCAGACCAUAAAGGGCUUUAUGCAAACGAUAAACCUUGUCUUCUUUACCUUUAAUUACAAAACCUUCAGGCUGACUGACAUAAACUUCCUCUUGCAGCACACCAUUAAGGAAAGCAGACUUCACAUCAAGCUGGAACAAUUUCCAAUCCUUUUGAGCAGCUAGAGCAAUAAGUGUUCUAAUGGUGUCCAAUCUGGCUAUAGGUGCAUAAGUCUCAUUAUAAUCCAGUCCAGGCUUCUGAGCAUACCCCUUAGCCACUAAUCUUGCUUUAUUCUUUUGCACUGAGCCAUCCAAAUUCAGCUUUGUCUUGUACACCCACUUAACUCCAAUCACUGGUUUUUCAGUUAGUCUAUCUACCAAUUCCCAUGUUUCAUUCUUUUCAAUCAUCUGCAGUUCAUCUUCCAUAGCCUUAAGCCAAGAUUCAUCCUGAGCAACAUCAGCAUAUUUUUCUGGUUCCAUGAUACACAAGUUACACUGAGCUAGAACAUCAUCUAGCCUUCUCCAUUUUAGAGGGGUGUGAUCAUAAGCUUGAGUUCUCCUUUCUUCACUGCUUAUAUCACCUGGAGUUGAUGAAAUGCUCUCUUGCAUAUCCAAAGUUUGAGGUGUACCAGUAGAAUUCUCAUUAGAACUGUCAGAUUUCAAGUCCAAAUCAACUUGGUUUUCAAUUGAGUAUGUUGUCAUAACUGAACCAUUUUUGUUUGUCCAAUGCCAAGCAUUUUCUUCAUCAAAUGUCACAUCCCUUGAUAGUAAAAGCUUGUUAGAAACAGGAUCAAAAACUCUAUAUCCUUUUUCACAAGUUGCAUAUCCCACAAACACUCCCUUUGUACUCUUAGGAUCCCGCUUGUGUCUCAAUUCAGUUGGCACAUGAACAUAACACAGAGAACCAAACACUUUCAGAUGUGCAAUUCCAGGCUUCCUUCCACUAUAUGCUUCGAAUGGAGUAAUGUUGUUGAGAGCUUUGGUAGGACAUCUGUUCAGCAAAUAGAUAGCUGUAUGCACAGCUUCUGCCCAUAGGAAAUAAGGCAUUCCCUUCUCAUGUAACAUUGAUUUUGCCAUCUCAAUGACAGUUCUAUUCUUCCUCUCAACUACUCCAUUCUGCUGAGGAGUAUAGGCCAUUGUAAGCUGCCUUUGAAUGCCAUUAGCUUCACAAAACUCCAAAAAAUCAGUAGACAUAAACUCUCCACCCCUGUCACUUCUUAUGCACUGAACCUUGUGUCCAGUUUGUAAUUCAGUCAUGGACUUGAACUUCUUGAAACAAAAGAAGGCUUUUGACUUGUUUCUCAAGAAGUAUACCCAAAUCAUUCUUGUGAAAUCAUCUAUAAUCAGCAUGAAAUAUCUGUUCCUUGCAACAGACUCAUUUCUCAUGGGACCACAGAGAUCCACAUGUAUUAGCACUAGUACUUUGCUUGCUCUUUGAGCUUGAUCUUUUGGAAAAACAUUUCUGUGCUGUUUUCCAAAUUGGCACCCGUCACACACACCACUUUGUUCUUCCAAUUUUGGUAAACCAUGUACCAUUUCUUUAUCACUUAGCUGCUUCAAUCCUCCAAAAUGCAGAUGACCAAAUCUCUUGUGCCAAAUCCAUGUGGAUUGAAGAAAACUAGUCUUCAUUAGUAACUGUUUUUCAGCUAGAAAAGAGACAGGAUAGCAUCUGUUACUCUUCAUUUGCACCUUUAUGAUGAGAUAAUCCAUGGAUGGGCUAUCAAAUACCCUGCACAUCCCUUCUCCAAACACUAGACAGUACCCAUGUUCAUCCAUCUGCCCAACACUUAGCAGAUUUUCUUUCAAUCCUGGCAGAUACAUUACUUCUCUGAUGUAUUUCCUGCCCUUUGCUGUAUCAAUACUCAGUGAGCCAAUACCAGCUACACUCACUAAUGCACCAGUUGGCAUUUGUACUCUCCCAGCUACAUUAGUUCUCACAUCAACCAGCAAAUCUAAAUUUCCUGUCAUAUGAUUGCUGCAGCCACUGUCAAUGUACCAUUCAUUGGUUUUGAUCUCAGUGGUUGAGCAAUUGGCAUAAAACAGGUUUCCUGUAACCUCCAUUUGAUUUACACAAUUAGCCUUCUGCACAUUUUUGCUCACUGUACAGUCUCUAGCAAGAUGUCCAACUCUGUCACAGUUAUAGCAUUUUGGUUUUCCCUUAUACCUGCACUCACCAAAAUGAUGCUUUGAACACACCUUGCAUUGAGGCUUUGUGUUUUCCUGAUUUGAGAACUGUGUUGAAGUGUGGUUCUGUGCAGAAUAAUUAUUCUGCUGUGUCUUGUCUUUUGCCUCCCAUGACUUCCCUUUAGAGUUCCAGCUUCUCUGUGACUUAGAUGAACCAGACUGAGAAGCAUUUUUGUUCUGACCCUUUGAAUUCACAGUGAAUGAGGCAAAUGCCUUCUCAGCUGUAUCAACACUAUGCAUUUCAAGCCUUUGCUCCCGACUCUUCAAAAUGGCAGUUACUUCCUGCAAAUCCACAGUUUCUAGUGUCUUUGUGUUUUCAAUCACAAUGCAUAUAGGGUCAUACUUCUUACUUAGACUAAUUAACACCUUCUGAACCUACCUCUCAUUUGACAGAACUUCACCAAAUGUUUUCAUUUGGUUAAUCAAUUCAGUUAGUCUAGUAAGAUAUUCAGAUAAGGUUUCACUAUCACGCAUCCUACUGUAUUCAAACUCACGUCUAAGGUUUUGAAGCUUUACCGAUCUAACAUGCUCUCCACCAUGAUAUUCUGAGUACAGCAGAUUCCAAGCCAUCUUUGCAGAGUCAGCAUUGGCAAUUCUGGGAAAAAUCUGAUCAGAAACAGCAUUUUGAAUGAUACCCAAGGCCUUCGCAUCCUUCAUGAGAAUCGCAGCUGUUUUCUCAUCAACUUCUUCUUCUGAACCAUCCUCAGAUUCCUGCUUCGUCUUUGAAUCUGGGAUUAAAAACCCCUUCUCUACCAAACCCCAUAAACCAUAUGAUCUGAAUAUGGUUACCAUCUUAAUCCUCCAAAAUUCAUAGUUCUCACCUGAGAAAAUGGGGAUUCUAGCCUCUGAACUUCCAGAUCCAGCCAUUACGAAUUUCAGAUUCGCCUGGAAACAAGAUGUUUUCAGAUUUGACCCUUGAUCGAGCUCAAUCAGCUUCGUGAGCUUAGAAUGAGCUCACCUCGAUCGAUUUUCUUCACAGAACAACGCCCAGCUUCAGAUAAUCAAACUUGGCUCUGAGGCCAUGUUAGAGUUUUAGGAUCUGAGUGUUAGAUAUUGUGAGAAGAGAGAAGAGAAUUUAGUGAAAAUUUCCAAUACUGCUCUGCUAUACGUGUAGCAGAGAGAACAUUCUCUUUUGCUAUAUAUUUUCAGUACAACAACACACACUUGGUGUGAGAAGAAAAAUGACUGUUAUGCACAGUACCAGCUGGAUGCUUUCCAUCAAAGUAAUCUCAGCCAUUCACUAUCUAACCAAUCAAGCUAUGACACCUGGACUAAGUAUAAAGAAAUACAACUAAGCAGAAAACAAGACUCUUAAUCCUGAAAUCAACUUAAGCACUUAUAAUUCAACAUUGUUACCAUAAGAGCCAGCUCCGACUUUCUUUAAUUUCAGUCCUAACGGGGUUUCAUCUUCCACUCAUCUUUGCUCUUCUCAGUGUAAGCUCUGCAAUUUGAUUAACUUUCCCAUUAUCUCUCACUGUACUCUAUAUAAAGGAAUAAGUGUCGUCCACUAAUUAAUUACACUUUGUGAGAUUUGAUUUUAAUUAGAGUUCGAAUUGAUGUUGCAGCUAGCAGCGGUGGCACUGGCAAACCAUGCUGCUCAACCAGCACCUCAACUUUACUGGAACUCCGUCCUGCCAAACACACAAAUGCCAAGAGCUAUCAGUGAACUUCUGCAUCCUGGUUUGUGUUGAAUAAAUAUAGUAUGUUACUGGAGUACGUAUGGCAACAUAUUCACAAAUGUGUCACGUAUUUUCCAAUAUGACGUUGAUAUAUAAUUGCAGACUCCACAAACGAAGAAAAGAGCACAAAUGUCAUGAAUGCUGUUGGGAAUGGAAAGCCAAUUGACCACAAGGGCAACCUGAAAAUACUGUACUACCACAGCUUGCACGACGCCCAUUUUCUUACAAGAGUGAUGAUCGUCCCACUGACAAUCAACUCCAUUAUAAAAACGUAGCUAUUUUCUUCUUGGAGAAGGACAUGCGCCCUGGCACAACAAUGAGCUUCCAAUUCCCUAGAAAUUCAAACACGGCUACUUUCCUGCCACCAGAAAGAGCUCAAUCGAUCCCCUUCUCCUCUAACAAACUACCAGAAAUUUUCAACCAUUUUUCAGUGAAGCCAACAUCUGUGGAAGCCAAAACAAUUAAGCAAACAAUCGAAGAGUGUGAGGCUCCAGGCAUUAAGGGAGAGGAAAUAUAUUGCGCCACAUCUUUAGAAUCAAUGGUUGAUUUUAGCACUUCGAAUUUUCGAACAAGAAACGUUCAAGCAAUCUCGACAGAGGUAUUGGAAAAAGGUGCCACCAUGUCCAUGCACAAGCAUACAACAAUGCCGGGACUGAAGAAGUUGGCAGGUGACAAAGUCGUUGUGUGUCAUAAGCAGAACUAUCCCUAUGCUGUGUUUUACUGCCAUGUAAUAAAACCAACAGCAGCUUAUGUUCUCUCCCUGAAAGGCGAUGAUGGGGUGAAGAUUAAAGCAGUAGCCAUCUGCCAUCUAGACACAUCAGAAUGGAACCCAAAGCAUUUGGCCUUCCAAAUCCUCAAAGUUAAGCCCGGAACAAUUCCCAUCUGCCAUUUCCUUCCCACUGAUCAUAGUGUCUGGGUUCCGAACCACAAAUCUGCAUGAUCAUCACUUAGCACUGUACGUAUAAUAAGCUUGCACCCCUGUAUAAUUAUCUCCCUACUCUACUUAUUUCUGCCUCUUCAUGUGGUGUAAGAUAUAUGAUGAGAUGAAGUUUUUGGGAUUAGUGGUCGGGUUGCCUUAAAAACACAGAUUACAGAAACUGCUUGAACUUAACCCGAUCAUGUUUUCUCUUGUACUCGUAAAGCAUGCUGUUGUGGUUCUACUUAAUUUCGUUCUCCCCAAUGUUUGAGUGUUUAAUUGUUACGUUGGAUAAUGCUUGUAGUUAGAGAAGCCUUCAUUUAUAUCAAAGUCCUCAACUUGUAAAGAUAUCAAUGGUCCUAGUGCUGCCACGUGUAAGAAGAUUGAAGAAUAAAGCUGUUGAGAUAUUGUUAGACCUGUUAUGCAGUUUAGGAAAACUGUUAGUAUUGAUAAGAGAAGGUUAGAGAUGUUAGAGAGGUUAGAAAACACGUGAACAAGGCUUUAACUCAGCUGAUAUAAAGUCUGUAGUUGUGCUCAGUUGAACUUAAUGAGAAAUACAACAAGUCUCUUCUCUAUCUCUGAAAUUCUCUCUGCUCUCUCUGCUUUACUUCUUUUGUCUCUGCUCUACAUUUUUUUUCAAUCUUCCUAUCUUAACAAAACUAUCAAGAAUUAAUGCAUCCAGAAACAUAUAUACCAAGACGCAAAACAACAUAUUUUUCAUGCUCUGUCUGUAACACCAAAGCAAACUUCCUUUAUCACAAAAGGAUCAAAUUCCAGUACUAAUCUAAUCCAUCAUGUAAAGCAUACAAUCUACAAGUGCCUCCCUUAAUUUGUCCAUUGGAUAUAUAUGUCACUUUUUGGUAAUUUGGUAUAGCAGCACCACGUAGUCUUGAAAUAGUAGUGCGGCUAUACCAAAUAUACCAUUUGCCCCUGCAUUUAACAGAAAAGUAAACAAAAUUGACGGUAGAACUAUUUGUCCUAACGAAACUGCAGUUGAAAGACCAUGAGAACGAUUUUGAAAAUUGAGGGACUCAAAUGAAAAUUGGGUCUAAGUUCAAGAACCAAUAAAACGAUUAACCCAUAGAUUUUGGAUCCAGUACCACAUCCCAAAGAGAAAACCACAAGUUUGCAAGCAAGUUUGUCCAUAAUAACACUACGUACAGUAUGGGCAGUGCGCUAGACUCAUCUCACUUUCUCAACCUAUCCUAUAGUUGUCUAAAAGAGUUUCUAAUUUAAUGUACUGAGAUUUACGAAAGAAAUAUCAGAGAAACAAUUUUCAGGCAAUAAAAAAAUGUCUUGGCAAGAAAAUGUACAAUUUGUUACAUAACUUAUUAAAUAUGAACAGUUGAAAGAAAAAAGAAUCUGGAUGAGGGAUUUGCAAAUUCCUAUGGCCCAAUUACCUUUUUUUCUUUGUUGUUUUUUUUUUUUUUUUUUUGGUUCUUUUGAUCCAGUAGCAUAUUCCAAAGAAUGAAAACCACAGGCAUGCAAUGCAAGCUCUUUUCCCACGUUUUCCUCUGUUUUUCUCCUAUCAUGGAAGUGAUUAAAACACACCUCUAAGCUUGUUUUGCGUUUGGUAGCCGAGUGUAAAAGCUCAAUGCAAGAUAGUUUGAGGUAGAAUUUUCUCCUAUUUUAUUAGGACAAUGAUAAUUAAAAAAAAGUGUGAUUCAUUGAAUAUUUGCGGGGUUUUGUUCAGACCUGACAAAGUUCUAAGUCAACACAUCAAAUUCCUUUUUCCAACAUGCAACAAUUGUAUUUGAUUCCCAAUUUUUUCUGAUAUACAUCACAUCAUGCCACUUGCAUCAAAUGAAUUUAAUUGAGUGAGGCAAUGGGAAGUAAUUAAGCUCUGUAUUCGUGGGUGGAGUGUUACUUCUGGAACCCUAAUAAUUCGUCCCUACAGGACUCUAGAACUCUCAAACUUCUUACAAGGACUACUUAACUCUAUAGCUUAAUGCAUAUAGCAUAUAUAUGCAAACACAAUUAGAAAUUCUACAACAGAAGCAAGAUCAAUCUCACUAUGCCUUCUAAACAAACAAACAAAUAAAACAAGCAUAUUAAUUGCUUUAAUCACUCUACUAACAUCAACACAGCACACUUAGUUUACUAACAGAUGAUAUAGAAAGGAAAAAAAAGGACCAAUAGGGAGAAAAUGGUGAACUAAGGAGAGACUAAUACUUCUGGUCCUUAGAAGGCAUAACAGAAAUAAUAGAGCACACUGCUUGAAUGCAAGUCAGUAUUAGGAGCAAAACAGCUGCAAUGAAAGAAAUAGUUGCCCAAGGUGUAUUGAAAUAAUGUUGCCUCAAAUUUGCCUUCCAUUUGUUCCAAGGCUUUCUGCAGUAGCUAUUAAGGCGCUCAGAAAGAAUAGCAAAGUAGAAGCUUUCACGAUACACUGCAAUUCCUUUUCCGAGGUUGUUAAUCAGAGUGCACACCUCAUUGUAGUCACCAAGCAUAUUUUUGACAAUCCCAUCCUUCAGAAGGAACUCCACAUCCUUUUCGGUGUUCACAAACUCAUCCAUGAGUGAAACAUAAUCACUUAUGUAAUUCUUACGGCAAUGGCACUAUUCAAAGGCAAUGAGGUUACGGAGUGUGAGCUCUGUGUAAUCGUGUAUUUUUAGUUUUGGAAUUUCUAGAAUCCCAUCGUUGAAUUGUGUUAACGCAGCUUUCCUUUCCUAGCCUACACGGAAGUCAACUUCACAAUCUCCUCCUAGCAAUUAGUCUUUCCUGCUGUAAAUCAGAUUUCCUACUGUAAAUCGGAUUGUAUUCAUGUCUAUAUUAUUUCCUACUUUAAGUAGAUAUCUUGUACUAGUAUAAAUAGGGACUUUGUGUAAUCUGUUAAAUACAAGGAAAUAUAUACUCUGCAUGGUAUCAGCCUAACCUAGGGUUCUCUCUCUCUCCCUUAUUCGAUCCUCUUCUCCUUUAGGUCCACCUCAUGGCUUUGUCUGAAUCCACCAUCUCCCUCCCAAGCCCCAACUCUUCUAUUUUAUCAAGCUUAUUGACUCCAACUAUCUUCUUUGGCUCCGCCAACUCAAACCCUUUUUAGUCGGCCAUGACCUCUGGAAAUUUAUCGAUGGCAUUCAUAAACAACCUUCUGCCCACACCUCCACCUCUACCACCGCAACACCCACAACCACCACCACUCUUACCCAAAUCAAUCAUGCCCAUGCUCAGUGGUACCAACAAGACCAACUCAUUGUUAGCUACAUCACCAAUACACUCUCUGAGUCCAUUCUCUUUCUCACUGUUGGUUGCACCUCUGCCCGGGAUCUCUGGGAGUGUCUCCAACGCCACUUCUCUCAAUCCAGUAUGGCCAGUGAAUCUACUCUUCGUUUUAAACUCAUGGAUUUGCAAAAAGGCUCUGAACCCACUUAUGCUUACAUUCGUCAUGCUAAGUCCUUUGCCGAUUCACUGGCUGCCAUCAAUGAACCUGUCUCCCCAAAAGAACUUGUCACUACUGUGCUUUGGGGUUUAAGACCCUAUUGCAACAUCCUCGUCACAGCAAUUCUCAAUUUCCCUCUGCUUCCUAACUUUGCUAAUCUUCGUGCUCGUUUGUUAGCAUUUGACGCACAGACUCCUUGAAUCUCUCCUGAUCAAAACACAGCGCAAAUGGCCACCCAAUCCUCUCCUCACACCACCGGUCAUACUUCCUUCCCUUCUCACCGUGGUGGUGGCUCUUCCAACAACAGGCGUGGUGGCCUCGGUGGCUGGCGCAAUAGCGGCCGGGGUGGCUGGCGCAGCUUCUCAUCUUCCUGGAGCAACCCGUGGAAUGGCUUCCAGCAGCUCCAAUGACCUAAUCAACCAUGGCCUCCUUUUGCUCCAAGUUCUGGAUCUCAAAGCAACUGGCCUUCCUUUCAGCCUCCUUGGGCCUAAUCUGCCGCUUCUAUCAAACACUUUGCCCGGCCCAACUCAGCUCCUGGUGUCUUGGGACCCGCUUGGUGCACUACCUGCAAUACCAAUCACAUACUACUACAAUAUGUCCUCAUCGCUACAAUGGCCCAGAAUCCUUUCUUUGCUAGGGCUCAAUUCAUGUAGCCACCUGACUCUACUUGGUACCCUGACACAAGUACCACUCAUCAUAUGAUUGGUAGUCCUUCUAAUCUCCAAAAUCAAUCCUUCUAAUCUCCAAAAUCAACAGCCAUAUCAGGUUCAUAAUUCUGUAUUUCUUGGUAAUGGAGAUUCUCUCCCUAUCUCUCAUACUAGCUCUCUCUUUUGUCUUCCAUCUCUUCGUACUAAUCUUCUUUUUGUUGCCCAUUUUACUUGUGAUAAUUUAGUUUUCUUUGUCUUUACUCUUGACUUUUAUCAAAUCUAUGACUUAUGUACUGGUUCGUUACUCUUUCAGGGCCCUUCUAAAGAUGGUCUUUACCCACUUUCCAUCUCCUCUCACUCAUCCAUAGUCCCCCAUGCCCUUACCACCGUGCACUCUCCUGCUUGGCAUCAUUGCCUUGGCCAUCCAUUCCAUCGUGUGCUCUCUCAUUUAGCGCCAUCUCUAGGCUUUAAAGUUUCUCAUGCUUUCUGUAAGGAUUGUGCACUUAGCAAAUCCACCAAACUGUCAUUUCUUAGUAAUAAAACCUUUGCCCCAUCUCCCUUUUAUUUAAUUCACUCUGAUGUAUGGAUGUCCUCGGUCAUUUCUGUCACUGGUUAUCGCUAUUAUGUCUUGUUUACAGAUGACUUUUCUCGUUACUCCUGGAUCUAUCAUAUGCACCGUAAAAAUGAGGUCUUUUCUCACUUUCAAACCUUUCUUGCUAUGGUUAAAAAUCAAUUUCACACCACUGUACAAAUUCUUUAAAGUGACAAUGGCACUGAAUAUGUUAAUAAUGCUUUCUCUGAUCUUUGCAGUCAACUAGGCAUCCACCAACGUUUCACAUGUCCCCACACUCCCCAACAAAAUGGCCUAGCUGAACAUAAACACAGACACAUUGCCACCAUGAUCUGUCCCCGGUCAUUUAUUCAACCAUCUUGACCUUUUGCUUGAUCAUUUUCCACAAGCAACCGUCCACGUACCCCAAUAAUUUAAAAGGGCUGAUGAUCUUUAAUUUGGUGAAAGCUUCUAUCUACCUACCGUGCUAUAUAUGAGCUAUGCAAUCGUGACCGUGUUACAUGACGUCCCAAUGUCGUAGGGAUAAAAAAAUAAUAGUCAUGGUUUUCUUAUUAAUGUCAAUACAUUCAUAGCAAAGAGCUUGUAGCUCUAGUGGUUAAGAGCAAUUACCCAUGCACUUGAGAUAUUUUGUGUUUAAAUCCCCUCUUCCCCAAUAUUUCUUGUAUAAAAAUAAAAAUAACAAUAAUAAUGACAUUAAUGUUGUAUUCUAUAAAGUGUUGGACAUGUUUUAUACCCCUUUCUUGCAAAUUACAGUUUGCCACGUGUACAAAAAUAAUAGAUAAGUGUUGGACAUCAAGAGCACUUACAUAUAGGUUUAAUAGGUAAGUUUUGAAUAUUUCUGUAUUUAGCUUUAAAUAUUGAAAAUCAACCUAUUAGCAUAUUAAAGAUUUGUCCAUAUUCGACGUACAUUCUCUUAUUUUUCUCUCAUUGAAGUAAAUACAAAACUAAGCACAUAGUGGGAAAGUGCGUCACGAUUAGGGGUGGGUUUAGUCUAGGUUGGUUCAUUUUUGGGCUCAAUUUGAACACCGAACUGUAAGCUUCGGUUUGGCUAUUUUGGAAACCGAAACCAAACCAUAAUUGAUGAAAACCGACCACUUCGAUUACCUUCUGGUCUUCCAACCAGAAGAAAACUCAAAACUUUAACCAUACCAAGUGCAACAGAAUUACACCAGGCUGGAUUCAAGUUUAUGAUGGUUAAAGAUAAAAACUUAUUUGACAUACAAUUUGAGAAUGGAAUCCUCAAAAUUCCACACCUGCGAAUACGGGGUUUAACAGAAAUUUUCUUCCGCAAUCUUAUUGCCUAUGAGCAGUGUGAGCUUCAUGAUCAUUACAUCAACGACUAUGUCUUCAUCAUGGACCGCCUGGUCGACAGUGCCAGGGAUGUGGAAUUGCUUGUGAAGAGUGGAAUUCUUGAAUCUAUGCUACCGGACAGCGAGGCAGCAGGGGAAUUUAUUAAUUCUCUUGACUUGGGGCCUAUUUUAGGCAAGCUUGAAACAAGACUAUUUCAGUUCACCAUGGGCUGGCCUGUCUAUUAUUGUAGCCGCUAUACUAGUUGUGCUCACAUUUAUUCAAACAGUGUGCUCCGUAAUGGCGCUGUAGGUUCUUCAUUUCCUCAAUUUCAUGUUUAGUGGUUGCAGAUUUGUUGCUCAUGUACGUGUUUAUCUAAAGUUAAAUAAGAGUGAUUGACUGGAUUGACUGUUAGUCUGUUAGUUUGUUUUUCUGGGGUUUUUCCCCCCUGUUCGUCAAAAAAAAAAAUAAAAGAGUGAUGGCUUGUGCCUAUGAAAAUUACUUAGGAGUAUGCUCCACAGAGCCAAAAUAAAUAAACUAGGGAAGUGGAGGUUCUUCUGUUUGUAUAUAAAUGAGCAAUUCAAACUCUCAGUGCCAAGGGAGUUACCCUUGAUACAUUUGUUAAAAAUUAUAUAUUUGGUCUUACAUCAAACAAAUAAUUUGAAGGGCUUUUUUGACAACUGCUGACAGCGUUUGGCAGAAAAGUUUAGAAGCGCUUCUACGCUUCUAGAUCAUAAAAGUGCUUUACCAAAAAGCACUUAGAUUUCUUAUGAAAAUUUCAACAUUUUUAUAAUAAAAGCGCUUGCUAGAAGCACUUAUAAGCAGAAGUGCUUCAUAGAGAAGCAGUCCCAAACGAGCUUGAUUUUCAAAUGUGCUGCUUAAGAAGAAAUUUAAUACGUUUUGAAAACAAAAAAAAAUACGAAAUUUAAUACGUUUGUUUUACAAAUUGUAUUAAUUGUUAUCAAUAAUACUUGUGCACACCCACAACAUACUUCUUUCUUUCUUUAUUUUCCUUCAGUACAGUUCUGCCUUUCUUUAAUUAUUUUUAACGAAUGCAAAGAGUUUGUCACAAAAUCAAGGAUUGAAAAAAAAAGAGAGUAAAUUAUGUGCUAGAGAAACUUUCCUGCAGAAAUUGAAGAACAACUCUAGUUUCUCUCUUUCGCCUUGUACUCCCGCACUGAGGUUAGUAUUGUUAUAAUGUGCAGAUUAUACGGUCACUCUUGUAUAAUGGCGAGAAGGCUCUAAUUAUAUUUUUGAACCUCUUUGACAGGACCCGCCCCGAAUUUCCCGAAACCCAAGACGAAUUCUGUGGAAAUUCCCUACAUCACCCCGAUGUUGGGCCCACUUCUAAAACUAUAUCAUUUUUCCUAAAAAGGAAUAAGGGCACGAGACUUUCUACCGAAAUUUCGGCAGAGUCUCUCCUGUAAAUUGAACAUUUCCCAAAAUUUCAACCUGCAUAAAACACAUUUUAUAUUACCCAACUGGCAGCAUGCACAAAAUAAUAACAUGCAAUUCACAUAAACGGCCUCUGGCCCUCCGGUAAUUCAGAGCAAUGCAAACUAGCAACUCUAAACCUAAUAAAACAACAUAAGUAACAUUUAGCCAGCGGCUGCACCCAGGCACUACCCUAGGCUACCUACGUACCCUUACUAAGGGAUCAAGCCACACGUAGUUCUUUCAUACAAAAUUUCCAAAUCCAUCAACAUGCAAUCAAUUACAGAAUCCCAAACAAAAUCUUUCUCAAACAUCAUUAGUUCCCAACUCAGUAUAAUAAUCCUUAAUUCAUCUCUGUAAUAAUCACAAUAUCUCCCCAUACGCCGGAACUACCAACACCACGUAUGGAGCCUGCCUGUACGCCAGAUAACCAACGACACGUGGGACCUCAUCAUCAUAUCACAUAAUCUCCCCAUACGCCGAAACUACCAACACCACGUAUGGGGUCUGUCAACACGCCGGAUAACCUACGACGUGUGACCUCAACAUCAAAUCACAAUAUCUCCCCAUACACCGGAACUACCUACGCCACGUAUGGGGUCUGUCCACAUGCCGGAUAACCUACGACACGUGGGACCUCAUCAUCAUAUCACAUAAUAUAUUAACGAUCAAGAAAUAUCACUACGGUCAUUUAAUCCUCCUGGGAAGGUAAAACUAUCUCAGGAGACUCACGGUCAACCAAGGGUCAAACUACCUCAUACUUGGACAAACGAGCCCACGGAGCCCACAACCUCCGUUUUACUAUCCAAGAGUUCCUAUAGGUUCUACAAGGUUUAGGAUACACGGCUUGCAAGUUUGGUCAAGAUCAGACGGUCGGAUCGCUCACGAUAGGACGGUUACUGCAAACCUAGCCCUAGGGUUGGCAUUUUCGGAGUAUCCGAAACUCCGUUUUACGAUCUGUCGAAUCAUAGACGAUCCUAAGGAUUUGCAGACUAACUAUAAUAAAUUCAAGACCAUCCAACGGUCUAAACCUAUCGAACCCGGAUAACGCGCAAUAGGCAAUAUCCAAAUUGAAAUCCGAGCACACCUACGCACUCGUGAGGACUAGGAGAUUACAUCGGGACAUAGUGCCCUUUUUCUACAGUGCCCAUGAGCCGCCGCACGCACCAGCAACGCGUGGGUGCCCAAAGCGAUUAUGCAUCGCCAAAAAAUCUCAAAACCACGGCUCAAGACUCCUACCCUAGGUAUAACACCCUAUUUGGAACCACUUUUGUUCUUGGACCUACCCCAAAAACUGAUCAGAAGUGGCCGGAAUGGCUGAAAUGUAAUUCAAAAAUCAAGCUACCAACGCUCAAAAUCGAUGCAAUCCUACCCAACCAUCAACUAGAUUAUGAAGAAUGGAUAAAUUUCCAUACCUUGAUCGCCAACAAUGGCGGCCGGAGGAGAGAGAUCUGAUCCGGCGAAGUUCGAGUGAAAACGGCCAAAAAUCAUCUUUUUCAGGCGGCUGGAGGGCGACCGAUGUCAGGGAAGGGCAGGGUCGUGACGCUAAGGCUGAGCCUGUCCUUUUGGCACCGGUCCCUUCCGCAGCCGUGUCCGGUGGCUGGAGUUUCGAAGAGAGAGAGAGAGAGAGAGAGAGAGAGAGAGAGAGAAAUCUGAUUUUUAUCAAACCUUUUUGCCAAAAUUACGGUUAUGCCACUGAGGGUAUUUUGAUAGUAUCUCUCUCGUUACAACUUCGAUUCGAGCCCACCACGUGUGUACGGACUCAUCUAACUGUGUUGUACGCAACGGUAUAGUCGAAAUUCCCAAAUUAUUUCCUUGUCAAAAAGUCAACUUUAAACAUUAUAAAAUAUUUUAGGGAAAAAAUGGUAUUUUCUCUCAAUAAAUUAGUAACUAAUUUAUUUAGGACUGGGUCAUUAUACUCUUUUUCGCUUCAAUGGAUGGGAAAAAAUUUUAUGUAAUAUCCCACAUCGACCAACGAAGAGGGGGCGAUGUGUCUUAUAUGUACAUGCCCGCCUCCAUCUAGCAUAAGGCCUUUUGGAAGCUCACUGGCUUCAGAGUCAUGGGAACUCCGAAGUUAAGCGAGUUGGGGGCUAGAGCAAUCCCAGGAUGAGUAACCCACUGGGAAGUUGCUCGUGAGCUUCGAGAAACAAAACCGUGAGGGCAGAGAGAGGGGCCCAAAGCGGACAAUAAGGCCUCGUGCUAGAUGGAGGCGGGCAUGUACAUAUAAGGCACAUCACUCUCUCUCCGUUGGUCGAUGUGGAAUGUUAGAAUGGAAUUGUUACCUUUGGUGUGGAGGUGUUCUAUCAUUUGAGCAAGAAAUUCCCACAUAUUCUUCAACUAUUUUUCAAGCAUGCAUAUUCCUCCCUAUCAAUCUUUGGUUUCUUCCUUUACUGUGCAUAGUAAGGAUCCAGUCAGGGACGGACCGUCGCUAUGACUAUCCUGGGCUAUAGCCCAGGCAAAUUAUUUUUUUUUCUAGUCUAAAAUAGCAAUCCCACCGCUUGCUGUAGUACUUGUUCAGUUCGUCACAAACAUGAGCAUAAUAGAAGUUAUCAACAUCUAUAUAGGAACCCCAAUGAAAAGGCUGUUAACUAAUAAUGAAGUUAACCCGUCAAUUUUUCCGCAUAUCAGAUAUCUCUCAGAAUAUGCGAUUCCAUAUUCAAUAAGCCACUCCACAUGCCCUGAGGUUUUCAUCAAACCACCCAUUAAGGAAACAUACUGACUCAUGUAAUUAUCAUUACUCAUCGGGUAAUGCAAUUGUUCAAAGGCAAGGACAUUUCUCAUUAUUUAUGUAGCGAACCCCAAUGGAAAUGGUGGGAUCUUCAGAACCCCAUCGGUGCUACUGAAUUGUAUGUCAAAUAUGUUUUCACCUUGUCACGCCUCAAACUUGACUCCAGCGUGCUGUAAUUCUGUCAAGCUGGGUAUGGAUGAUGGGAGUUUGAUGCAGGAGCAUAGGGGUGGAUCAAGAUAGAUAUUUACUAUUUAAUUAGUUAUUUCAUGAUAUAUUGUUAUUUUCUUAUUUAGGUAGUUUUAUGAUAUCUUUUAUUAUUUAUGUGUGAUUUUAUAAUUAAUUAGUAUACUUUUGGACCAAGUAGCCUUGGUGCUCAAGUCUUGUAAAGCCUAUAAAUAAGGCUAAUGUAAUAGUUGUAGAAUAGAUGUCGAUGAUUAAUAAAAUCGUUUAUUUGUGGCAUGGAUUUGCUACGAUAUAUGUGAGUUUGCACUAGCCCUAGAUUUCAGUGCUCGUGUAUGUGGUUGGUGACCUGUGUCCGGAUCCCGAUCCCCAUCAAUUGGUAUCAGAGCUAUGGCUCAAGAUCUGCUAUAUCGGGGAGGUUUUUGGAUGGAGGGUCGUUUUAACAACUACAACGACAUGGAGGAAAUUAGGAGGAUGCUACGGCAACUUAUGGAACACAUUGCUCGCAUUGAAGCUCGAACCCAGAUAGGUAAGAGUUCUGACGGGGAGGGAUGUGUGAACCCUUAUCUGAACCGAGUAGCUCGCAUCGACACUCUAAGCCGUGAGAGUCUCGACGGGGAGUACGAGGGAGAUAGCCCUUUUCAUUAUUGUGCUCCGCUGUGUGAGUCAAGUGAAGAGGGGCACGGUUAUUCUCAUUGUGUCUUUGAAGGUAUAAAUGAAUUUAGUAAUUUUGGUGCAUCUUGUUAUUCAUCAAAGUUAUUAAAUUUGGAUUUACCUCCAUUAUUUGAUCCUUGCAAUUGUGAAAAUUGCAAUAAAAAUUGUUUGGGUGUUCAAAGCAAUUUUGAUAAGCAAUUUAUUGACCAGAACAGUGAAGAGAUGAGAAUUGAGAAAACUUUCGAAGAUAUUAUUGAUUUUAUGGGCAUUAAUAUUUUCACUUGGAAGGUUGCCAAAAAUCUGGUUGAUUUUGUCAAUCGGUUGAAGAUUCUAGAGAGAAACAUUUGCAUUGCUAGAGGGAGUAAGAAGUCAAGAAUAACGAAAUAUUCCAAAUAUCUUUUUAUUUGGAAAGGAAGGUUUCAAUUGGAUGCUAAAAGAUCCAAAAUUAAUAUGCAGCAAUUGAAGAUUCUACUCGGAUUUUCCUUAAUCAAAGGCUUGAAUUCGAGGACGAAUUCUUUCCAACUAUGGGAGUCUGAUGCAGGAGCAUAGGGGUGGAUCAAGAUAGAUAUUUACUAUUUAAUUUGUUAUUUCAUGAUAUAUUGUUAUUUUCUUAUUUAGGUAGUUUUAUGAUAUCUUUUAUUAUUUAUGUGUGAUUUUAUAAUUAAUUAGUUUACUUUUGGACCAAGUAGCCUUGGUGCUCAAGUCUUGUAAAGCCUAUAAAUAAGGCUAAUGUAAUAGUUGUAGAAUAGAUGUCGAUGAUUAAUAAAAUCGUUUAUUUGUGGCAUGGAUUUGCUACAAUAUAUGUGAGUUUGCACUAACCCUUGAUUUCGGUGCUCGUGUAUGUGGUUGGUGACCUGUGUCCGGAUCCCGAUCCCCAUCAGAGUUCCCCUCCAGCUUUUGAUUCCAACGGUUGAUAGAGUUUAAAUAUUUUCCUGAAAAGAUCAAUAAUAUGUGCCACUGAUCUAAAAGUCUCCAAAUUGUCUUCCAAUUUGUCAACAGGCAAUAGAUGUUCGAAGAAACUGAAAGAAAUACAAAUUAUUGAAAGCCCCUCAGUAAUGCUGUUAUUGUCAGCAUUAGCAGGGAGUGUAAUUUUCUGUGGGUCGAAAAGAUCCUCGAGAAUGAAGAAUGGCAACUGAUUUUCAAGCAACCACGUAUCUGUCCAUGCAUCUUGCAACAUACCUGGUUUGUCAAAUAUGCGGUCAUUUUCGUCCCAAAAUUUGAAGUAGUCCUUCAAUAAGGGCUCAAUAACGAAGGCGGCGCCCACUAGAAUGAUUGUUACAAAUUCAUCACUGCUAAACUUGAUGGGUUCUCCAUAACAACGUCUCAAUCUUGCUUCGUGGUCCUUUAUUUUCUUAAUAUAAUCCUCCAAACUCACAUUGGUCCGACCUAUAAAAUCUUGCAGGUAUCUCUGUUUGUUCUCUUCCAAUACGACAUUCAAGCCUUCCUUUCCAUGGUGAAGUGGACCUAUAGAGACCGACUGCCUGAGGUGUGCAGAGCUUUUCAUUCACACAUACGUAGAUAAAAUGUCUGGGGGCUCAGAGAGUGAUGAAUGUGCAACAGCUAAUGGGAGGGUUUAUAUUCCUGAAGUAAGAAAUGAGGAAACACCAGCAGUUGGGAUGAAGUUUGACUCGCUUGACCUCGUUUACAAUUUCUAUAAUAGAUAUGCAUUCUUGGCUGGCUUUGGUAUUCGACUUCAUUCUAGCUUUUGGGGGAAAAAUAAGAAAGAGAUUUUGAGGAAAGAAUUUGUAUGUUGCAAACAAGGUGCAUACAAGAAGGAUGAAACUCGGGAGAGAAAAAGACAACGGGGAAUAAGUAGAUGCAAUUGCAAAGCAAAGAUUGUGGUUGUGAAGACAAAUGGGAGCAAGAAGUAUACCAUUUCUCUUUUUGCAGAGGGACACAAUCAUAAGAUGACACCCUCAGAAAGAAUGCAUUUAUUGAGAUCACACCGUCAUAUUUCAGAUUCUACAAAAGUACUCACAAAACAGUUGGGUUCAGUUAAUAUUCCCAUUCAUCAGAAGGUAAGUAUAUUCGAGGUGCAAUCCGGAGGAAUGGAUAAAAUCGGUUUUAUCAAAAAAGAUAUCUACAAUCUUGAAUGUAGUGUGAAUGGGAAGCUGAGGAACCACGAUGUUGAACUAGUGACCGAGUAUUUUAUGGCUGAACAGAAAAAAAAUGAGGCUUUUUAUUUCAAGAUUGAGGGAGAUGGGCAUGACAGGUUUAGUCGAUGUUUUUGGGCAGAUGCAACUUCUAGACGGGCGUAUGGGUUUUAUGGAGAUGUUGUUGUAUUCGAUACCACAUUCAACACGAAUCGAUACGACUUGACAUUUGCACCAAUGUUGGGAGUUAAUAACCAUGGUCAGACAAUUGUCUUAGCAUGCGCAUUUUUGAGCAAGGAAACGACUGAGUCGUUUGUUUGGAUGUUUGAGGAGUUUAAGAAAGCCAUGCCAGGUGGGGAACCUAAAACGAUCAUUACAGAUCAAGAUGCGGCAAUGGCCAUAGCGAUUUCAAUAGCCUUCCCGAGUACAUUUCAUCGACUUUGCAUAUGGCACAUCACAUCAAAGUUCUCUGUUAAGUUACCACGUGACGCUUAUAAGGAGUAUUGGCCUGAAUUUCAGAAAGCCAUAUGGGAUACUGACAAUAAGGAUGAGUUUGAUGCAAAAUGGAAUAUUGUGGUUAUAAAGGCUGGUUUGACUGACCAUCCAUGGCUAAGUUCAAUGUUUGAUUUAAGGGAAUCUUGGGUUCCAGCCUACGCACGACAAUUUUUUGCCGCUGGAAUGUCAAGCAGCCAAAGAGCGGAAGGUUCUCAUGGUUUUUUCAAGCAAUACAUAUCAAGGAGAAAUUCGUUGAUGGAUUUCAUAAUACGAUUUGAGAGGGCAUUUUCUCAUCAACGUGAAAAAGAGUUAGUUGCUGAUCACGUAGAUGCAUUUGAAGUGGCUCAAUGUCUUCUACCGAUGCCAAUGAACAAACAAAUGGCUACCUUGUACACAAGGACAAUGUUUCAAAAGUUUGAGCAAGAACUAAUACAAAGUACAGCAUGUUUCCUAGAGCUCAAAACAGAGGAUGCAUGUAAAGUUGUGUUCAACGUGAGCGAAAGGAAAAAUUGGGAAACAAGAGUGGCAGAAGUCGUAUAUGUCAAAGAUUCUGACCACGCAUCGUGUAGCUGCAAAAGAUUUGAAUUUGUUGGAAUUAUUUGCAAGCACAUCCUAGCAUUGUUCAGAAGGGACCAGAUUGAAUAUAUGCCCGAUAAAUAUAUUUUGAAGAGGUGGAAGAAAACUGCGAAAUGUGGAUUGGUGUCAGAUGCAAAUGGCAACGAAAUUAAAGACUGUGCAGAUCCUGGCCUUCUAAUAAAGCGGAGUACAAUGUCUCGACUUGCUUCAAAUGUGGUUGAGGAUGCAUUAAUGAGUGAAGAAGGAUGUGAGCUACUGUCAGAGACUCUAAAAAGUUUGCAGGUGAAGUUGAAGUUGCUGAAGGAUGGACCAAGUAAUAACGAAGUUGGAGGGUCCAGCUCUCAAACACAAUAUAUGAAAGACCCUAAGAGAGUGAGGUGCAAAGGAAGGUCGAAAGGAAUAACGGGAGCAAAGGAAAAGGCAAUGAAGCGAGGGAUUAGACACUGUCGGGAGUGUGGACACAUUGGUCAUGAUAGAAGACAAUGCCCAGCCUUGAACACACCGUAAGAUGCUACCACUAUUUGUAAUAAUAUCUAAAAUAUGAAAAGGUAAAAUUUUUAUGUGCUUGUGUUUGAUGUUUAUGCAGGACAUCACCGUCGAACAAUGACAAAUCAACUCCAAUACAUCGUAGUGACCCAUUAUUCGACGAUUUUGACAAGAUGCACAGACCAACUGAAUGAUUGAUAUUUGUAUUAGACGAAAUGUGGUUGUUAUGAAGAUUAAUGAUCAAGUGAAGUUUUAUAGAUUCAGUUUUUGAAUGUUAUUGUGUUUUUGUUCAUGUCCACCGAUGAGCUCUUACUAUGUCCACUGGUAAUUGAAAUGAAAAUUUUCUUGGUUUCAUUCUUCCAAGACAUUUGGAGACAUGUUAAUUUUACGUCUUCUCCCUAUUUAUAAAUUUUCAUAGACAUUUGAUCAAGUUUGAAAUUUGUAGUUAUGUGAAGAAGCAAUGACUCUUACCAUGUAAAAUGGGCAGUUUAGGGUGAAAUUUGUUUUAACAGAGAUUCAUUUUUCAAUUCCUCAGGGUAAUGCAGCAAUUACAGCAGCCAGCUGUUGUUUCCAUUACCAGUAAUCAUUUCCAGCAGCAGCCACUUUUUCCGACUGGUUAUUAGGGGCACGAUUUUGUACACUUUUGUAAGUGAAGGAUACUCGAAGCACUUUGUUGGAACAGAGCAAAUAGAAACCAGCGGGUAAAAAAAAAACAUAACAUUGCAGCUAAUUACAUUUCGAUACAUAGGUGAAAAAUAUUAAAGGGUACACUAACUUACAUAAAUACUCAUAAUUCCACACACAAAAGAACAUUUGAUUGCAAAACAUAUUAUGUGCUUCCUCAUAGCAAUACCACGAUCUCCCCAACCAACUGAACAACGGUAGCCACAAUCACUGGGUCGUACUCGUCAGCUUCUUCUUAGCAGGUCUCACAUGCUUAUGGCCACUCAUAUCCCUAGUGAUAUACACGAAAUAAAUCUUCAGCAAUAUUUGGAAUUUUAUUAUAUAUAAAUAAACCAUAAACCAUUCAGUAAACAAUGUAUAGCACAUGUUAUGUAACUUAUGACUCACGUGUCAGUUUUUUUUUUAACACAUUAGUACUCCAGCUCUUUAAUGUAAAUGGACAUGAUAAGGAGCAUUUACUGAUUCCCGGCUUUCUAUGAUAUUGACUGCUUCUUGAAUAAUAUUUCCAUAUUUGCAAAAUAUAAUGUUAGACAUUAUAACACAUGAUGACUUGCAAUACAUAGUCCCAAUAAUUAUAUAUCAAGCAAAUGAAACUGAUAUUUGUGUUAUUUUAAGUUAGAUAAUGACAUUAAGGGAGUAUAUGUGCAAUACCACGGUCACCCUCAACCAACUGAACAGCGGUAGCCGCAAUCACUUAGUCGUAUCGGUCGGCUUCUUCCGAGCAGCUUUGACGUGCUUAUGCUCAUUCAUGUCACCCCCAUCGUCUAGUAUCUCUCUCACAGCAUCAGGGGACACAUAGUUCCAAUCAUAACUUGUAUGAGUAGUUGCCGCAAAUGCUCGGAAUUUGUCGAAUCCUUCGUUGAAUGCCAACUCCAGUUCAGUAUGGUGCUCUUCGCAUCGCAUAUGGUUCAUCAAACAACCUUUGAUUUCAUCAUUCAUUACUGUAUCCAACUCCUCAGCUUUCAGCUUCCUGCUAUGACUCAGCUUCAAGUACUUGUUCUUUUGGGAUAACGCUUUGUUCACCCUAAUGUUAAGAUCAGCCAAAAUUGCCUCGUCUUCAACACAUUUCUCGUGCCAUGAAUUGAUCAGUCUGGAAUUAUAAUCCAGCUUGCCACUGACUGCAUGUAUUGCCUGUAAUGGAUCAUCGGAGUCCCCCUCACUCCCAAAUGAUGUUGAAAAAGGAAGGGGUCGGCGAGUACAAUGUGGAAAUAGAACCUGCCACUCCAAUUUGUCAUCUUCGAUUGUGUUGUUGGCGCCUGAAGAGGUUGACAUGCUUGAAUAAUCCUCUUUGUUUUGGGAGGAUGAGGAUUGCAUAUGCAAUUUCGUUUGAGAAAGGGAACAUAGGUUUAUAGACCAACAUACCAAAGCUUGUGUGUAGUCAACAUAUGUACUUUUUGGCGGGAAUUUUUUAAAAAUAGGUGUUAGGUUUUGCUUUUCAAGCAUGUCAACCUCACACUCUCCUGACACCACUGCUAGUGGUUGAAACAAAGUCAAUGGAAGUGACAUCUACUUAGUUAACUCAACCAAACUAGUUAGGAUUAAACUUAGAUUGUAUCAGACCAAAAAAUAAUUUCUACUUUGUCAACCAAAUAUUUUUUGGCGGGAACCCUUUUCUUGGUAUUACUAUCACCCCUUUCAUAUAAAAUCUCCUUCCACACAAAACUCACUCCUCCACCGAAUCUGUCUCCAUCUACCGAUACUCUCUCAAGCAAACAAACUCAUUCCCCCCAAAGAAUGAGCAUAAGCACAACCAAGUUUGAUGUGAGCAUAAUAAACACCCCUCCAAACAAAGACCGGCUUCGACACGCAAGUGAGUCACCGGACAAGCAAUGUCACAUUGCUAGACAGAAUGACCAUUUUGUUGGAAGUUUUGAGUCUGAAAGAGUUGUUGCUUUUUGGAAGGAGAGGCAUCUUCAACUUGGUGAUGAAAUCCAAAGGGCAAGGGCACGUUUGGAAUUUGUGGAAGGCCAAAUUGAAGAUGACAAAAGGCAGGCCAAUCUGGAUAGGGCGAAGUUGUAGCGCAUGAAGCGUAGACACAAACGACUUCGGAGUGUAGCUGUUCAAAAAUACAAGAACUCAUCUAAUGUAGUGGAGUCAAAGAAGCGUGUGAUGCAAGCUGGAUUCGACUACUUCCGAUCCUAUGCAAAACUCGUCGUACCCGGGUUUGAUUGGUCAUCUAUUACCGUUUCCGACGUCACCAAAUAUACUCAGCAAGGGAAGUAACCAUUUUGGUUCUCGUGUUUUAGCAGAGGCAAAUAAGUGGAAUUGGAAUUUUGGUUACACUCUGCUUCAAAGCUAUUUUGAUGCUAACUACUAUGGAAGAUUUAAACCUUAAUAUUUUGAUGUCUUUAAUUACGAAAACAGAAGAUGCAAAGAGCUCAUCUACUUCAGCCAUAUGUUGCUGCCAUGUCCAUUUGUUUUUGAUCACUUAUCAGAUUUGGACAUGGUUGCAUCAUAUGCAAUGUUGCCUUUAUUUAUUAUAUGUUAGGACAAGGUUUAUGGAAAAGCUUUUGUGAGUGCGUUUGUGACAAGGUUAUGGAAUUAUUAUGUACACUUUAUAUAUUGUUUUUUGUACUGGUUCAUUUCCUACUAUUUCUUGCUUUCUUUAUAUUUUAUGUUUGUGGAAUCCCUCUCAAAGUUAACAUAUACUGUGAAAAAAAUAUUAUGCAACUGAUUAUAUAAUCACUCAUAUAGACUAGGACAAAUAUUCACUAAGGGUUUUAAACUUGCUUCACUUGUGUGAUGUUAUUGACAAAAAGUAUGGCAUUAUUUAUGUGAUUUGACAUGAUUGAAAAUAUAUUACUGAUUCCCAAUGCGGCGUCAUAUGGACAACGUAUUGAAUACCUGUGACGUGUUAAUAACUCAAGGUGCAGUUGCAUGUGGACAACUUCUUGAAUACCUCUGACGUGUUGAAAACUCUAGGUGCAGUUGCAUGUGGACAACUUAUUGAAUACGAACUGACGUCUUCAAAGCUCUAGGCGUAGUUGCAAUGAUGGCUUCAAAGCAUGUGCAAUUAUUUUUUAUGUACAUUAUUAUAACAAAACAUAUUAUUGUAUAUAGUGAAACUAAAUAUUGUAUUAUUAGAAAUUAUAUUUCGAAUAUUAUCCGAAAUAUACGUGUUAACGUGAAUUUGGGUUAAGAGGAAAGUGAGUUAUGUACAAAUAAUUUUCAUUUUCUCAUUUUCCGGGCAUUUUUUGGAUUUUCGUAGAAUUUAUUACCUAUGUCCACAGAUUGUUGCACUAAAAAAGCCAAAAUAAUAGCAAGAGGACACCUGGAGCGAUCUCAGCCCGUCACUGAUGACUACUUGCACAAGUGUACGUCAGUCAACAUGGCCACACCCUCCCAUUUUACCCUAAAUUAUUAUUUUAUUACUUUUCCUUACAAAAAUCAGAACUAAUUACACACAAAAUAAAAAAAUUAUCCGAAAAUUGCUACGAACUCAUUGACACUCCAUCUCCGUUGCUGAAUUCUCCGAUUCAUUGUUACGUAUUUGUAAAAUUAAUUCCCAACAUUAACGGGAGAUGCUUGUUGAAGUAGGUUAUUCAAGUUGAAGUUAACAAACAUCAAUACUUAGGGUUAAGAGGAAAGUGAGUUAUGUAACACAAUUUGGAUUAUUUCAUUGCGAGACGAAUGAUUUAUAGGUUCUCCUAGUUUUAUGACGUCACAAGUAGGCCGGAGUAAUUUUUGGGGCAUUUUUACGAUUUUCCUACUAUUUUUUACCUAGUUUCAAAGAUUUUUGAACAAAAGAAUCCAAAAUGUAAAAGAAGAUGACACCUGGCGCGAUCUCAGCCCGUCACUUUUCACUACUUGCACAAGUGUACGUCAGUCAACAUGGCCACAUCCUCUCAUUUUACCCUAAAUUAUUAUUUUAUUACGUUUUGUCUUGGAAAAUUCAUAACUAAAUACACAAAAAUUCAAAAUUAUUUCUGAAAAUUGCUACGAACUCAUUGACACUCCAUCUCCGUUGCUGAAUUCUCCGAUUCAUUGUUACGCAUUUUUAAAAUUAAUUCCCAACAUUAACGGGAGAUGCUUGUUGAAGUAGGUUAUUCAAGUUGAAGUUAACAAACAUCAAUACUUAGGGUUAAGAGGAAAGUGAGUUAUGUAACACAAUUUGGAUUAUUUCAUUGUGAGACGAAUGAUUUAUAGGUUCUCCUAGUUUUAUGACGUCACAAGUAGGCCGGAGUAAUUUUUGGGCCAUUUUUACGAUUUUCCUACUAUUUAUUACCUAGUUUCAAAGAUUUUUGAACAAAAGAAUCCAAAAUUAACAAGAAUAUGACACCUGGCGCGAUCUCAGCCAGUCACUUUUGACUACUUGCACAAGUGUACGUUACCGAACAUGGCCACAUCCUCCCAUUUUACCCUAAAUUAUUAUUUUAUUACCUUUUUUCUUGGAAAAUUCAUAACUAAAUACACAAAAAUUAGAAAAACGAUCCGAAAAUUUCUACGAACUUAUUGCGAUUUCAUCUUCCUACUGCAUUCCCUGUUUAAUGGUUAUGCUACAUUAGUAUUUUAUUAUUAUUUAUCCACAAUUAUUAUAAUUAUUAUGAUAUUACUUUUUAGGCUGUCCAUUUGUUAAUUAUACCACAUCCAACUUGUUGAAAACAAUUUUAUUUUCCGUGCGAAUAGGCCAUUUGUAGUGCUUAUCGGUUUCUCUGUUCUUCAAUUUGUUAAUUUUUUUAUUUUUUAGGUUGAAGGGAUGUUUUGAAACAUAAUAUGGAAAUAUACAAGUCAUCCAUUGUACUCCUUCCACACAAAAAAAUAGUCUACGUCAUUCACUGUUCAACACCCUAGGUUAAGACACGUGUAACCAAAUCCGUUCGGAUAUGCUAAGUGGGAAAAUGUCAUUCCCAAGCACUGGUGAAAAGACACUUAUUUACUCCAUGCAUGACUUUUGGUUUACCAAAUAUGAAGAUUGGGGUCGGUGAGCAAAAUAUCUGUGUCAGUAAAAUGUCAUUCCUAGCCAUCUAUGAUGUAAGUAAUAAUUCCGCUAUAUAAUAAAUAUUAUACAUUUAUAUAUAAAACGGUUUAUGACAAAAUACCAACAUUUGAACAACAUUUAAACUGAGAUAGGUAUAACGUAGCCAGCCAACCUAGAAGUGAAGAGAAGCAAGUCCACAAUGCAUCAAAACUGUAAAUUCGUACUAAAACUAAUGCAAAAAUACGUGAUUCCCUCGCACAACUUACUCACGCAGGAUUUUGCACCAAAAAAUACUCUCACGGUGCCAUUUGCAUCGGUUGCAGCAAGUCCAAAACGCAGGAUUUAUCUUGUCUUCACUAGGCCACCCUGGAAUAACAAAAUACCAUUCAUUGUUGUUACAAGCGCUGCACCGAUUGAACUUAAUCUUCCCAUAGUCAAACAUAUCUACGAUAUGUCUUGCAACAAAUGCUCCGCGACAUCUUCCUGUUAAAGCAUCCCUGGUUCCUUUCAUAUCAAUGUUGUUACGUUGAUUCAAAGAACACAAGAAUUGUAAUGCAUCCUCUUUUGACUGACCAAUUCCGGACAUACCAAGUAGUCCAACUACAUAUGCCGCUUCCAUAUGGCCUGCCGUGGCUGCAAUGCGCAUCCCAUACAACGCUUCCACCUUACCGUCUGUGAAAAAACCUUCGAAUGCUUCUCUAAAUAUGGACUCAGGGUUAUCGCAAGCCCUGCAUUGUUGCAAGAAAUGCUGGACUGCAGGUUUGGCACGGUAGCAGAUAGGAUGGUGUGGGUACUUUGCCAUUGAAAUGGUGUUCCACACUUGUGGACUGUUUGCCAAAAUGUUGAACAAUCGGCACACACAUGCCAUACGGAAGAGAUCUUCCGAUGAUUCGGUUGCCACGUAUAACAUCACUUGAAACCAAGCGGACUCCGGGAUAAAGGCUUCGGGCAUAUCGAAAUGGAGAUGCUUCCUUCUCUUUCCUCCGACUGUAGUGAAGUGUUUCGAAUUCAUUGAAAAGUUUUUGGAAUGGAACGAUUUGAGGAGUGGCAGAGGGGAUAAAUGAUAAUAUUUGGGGUACACGUUCUACUUCCGAGCCUCUGUUUAUAGUGUUUUGAAAAGGUGUUUCCAGUUGGGGUUUUUCCAAGUUGACCCUUUUGAAAGAAACUGAAUCCAAGUGAAUUAAAACUUAAGACAAAAGAAGGGAAAACGUCAUAACGGUGCAUACAGAGUCAGACAGUUAAAAAGUUAAUUAAAUGGCUAUUUGCAUAGCCAUUUUUGGGUUUAUCCCACUAUCAAAUUCAUUGAUACAAAUGUGAUGGAUUACUGACUAGUGACAGAAGGUCCCAUCAUAUACUUUUUCAUUUUCGCACACCCAACUAUCCCUAGUAAUGUUAUUAAAAUGGAACCAAUAAUGACGGAUUCUUAUCCAACUAGUUGCCUUAAUGAAAUAUAAAUAAAUUAAUAAAAUUGAAGCAGUGUCCCGUCAUUAGUCAGAAAAUAUAUUUGGUAGUGAAGUAGUUUCUAUUGCUUUUCGGGCUAAAAGAUGUCACAAUGCUGACGGUACAGGUGUCGACAUCGUGACCAACCCACCAAAUGAUCCCAAAAAAAAGUAAUAUAACUCGAUUUGGGCAGAGAUGAGAGAGAGCUGAGUGACAAGUUUAGGGUUAUGAGUGAAGGGGUAUGAAUGACAACUAUGAGUGAGAAGGUAUGAGUCCGAAGAGGUUUCAGUGAGAAGAUUUGAGUGAGAAGAGGUACAACUGAGAAGAUUCAACAUGUCUUCGUCUUCAUCUCCUGCUCAAACAAAGAGGUGUCAGUAUUGUGGAGCUACAAUGGUGCUUCGGGUUUCAAAAUCUGAAAAAAAAUCGAGGGAAGCCAUUCUGGAAGUGUCUAACCUCCUAUGUAAGUUUUAAUUUAAAGAAUAUGUAUGUGGGUGAAAAAAAACCUAUGUCUAACUCUGACAGAAUUAUAUUCCAUAUAUGAUGCCUGCAAUUAGGGAGCCACCAGUUGCAAUGGAUUCGAAUGGGUUGAUGUAACCUCCGCUGAAGCAGAACAUCAAGAUGACACGUAUGAUGUUAGAGUGCUGAACAUGCUGAAGUCCAUUAAGGACUUGGUAUUAGUUUUAUUAGUUGUAUUAAUUGUCAUUUUAUUUGUUCUUUUAAUGAUCAUUUAACUGCACGGUUUAAAAGAUUGUGAAAGUUCUCUCGCACAAGACAUAUUGCACGCACCACCAAUGAGACCCUAAACCCAUUUUGUAAUAUUUGGUAACUGCAUGUAUUUCGCAUGUUAUUGAAUGUUUAUUGAAGGUUUAUUGAUAGUUUGCUGCAUGUAUAUGGAAUAUCAUUGCCCCAAAAUUGGAUGUUUAUUGGGGCCACAAGUAUCACUCAAGUAAGAAUGAAGGGGAGAAACGGACCUUAUUCUUUCUUAUAGUAGGAAGAACAACUGUUAAGUUUAAUAUCCUAUUCAAUACGACUUCCCUAUGGUUGGUGUACUUGGGGACUGAAGUAUAUUGCAUCAUUAUUGUGGGCAAGGGCAUGUCUAUUGUGUGUGUUAAGGGAGUAUUGUGUGGGCAAGGGCAUGUCUACUGUGUGUAUAUUGCAUGUCUACUGUGUGUAUAUUGCAUAUCUAUUCUCUGUAUAUGGCAGGCCAAGUUUGUGUAUAUUGUUUGUCUGUUGUGUGUGUAUUGCUUGUCGGUGCGUUUGUGAAUUGUGGUUCAUUUUGUGUAUAUUGUCUUUGUUUCUACUUUUAUGCUACUGAGCUGCGGAAAACCUCGCAUGUUUAGACACCUAUUAUGAUGCAACACAUUGCGAUUAAUGGUGGCUUGCAUCAACAAUGACAUAUCACUUUGCAAUGAUGUAAUACACUUAAAAAGCCGUCUUCAAAUCCCAAUUCACAUAUGCAGUCUUAAAAUUCUAAUUCAAUGCAGUUUGGUUAACAAACAUGUAAAUGUCAUGAAGGAGUUAGCGGUAGAAUUCGAUAAGGACCCGUACGUCUCUAUUGUGUAUUUACAUUAGUUUGAGAAUGGACAUUCCCAAAACCUUCUCAUGUACCAUUUGUCAUCUUCAACCAAUAUCAUGGGAAGUAAGCAUCUCCCCUUGUUAUCUCCGCAGCCAAUUUCAACCGAAAAAAAGGCAUGUUGUGCGAGGUGCAAGUAGCUAACGGAAGCUUAGCGCUGAAAAGCUCAAUGUACUUUAACACAAACAUGCCACAAUCGCCUCUGAAGCAAAACAAGAACUCGAUCAAUUCAACUAAUGACAUUCUAAUGUAAUUGACAAUUGAAAGUAAUAAAAUUAAAUUGCAAGUUGUGCUUACUCAUUAGACUGUUGUGGAACAUCCACACGCUCUAUUGGCCACGGACACCACCAAUCUCGGCUGCAAUUGUUUGCAUAAACACCUUCUUCAUAAAAGUCGAUGGUGUUGAGAAGAUUUGGAAGCGUAAUUGAUAGCGGGCCGAGUUCUUCCUUUACGAUGUCAUCUGGAAUUAGUGAAACCUUUGAAUCGUACACUUUGAUUCACACAAUACCAGAUCAAACANNNNNNNNNNNNNNNNNNNNNNNNNNNNNNNNNNNNNNNNNNNNNNNNNNNNNNNNNNNNNNNNNNNNNNNNNNNNNNNNNNNNNNNNNNNNNNNNNNNNNNNNNNNNNNNNNNNNNNNNNNNNNNNNNNNNNNNNNNNNNNNNNNNNNNNNNNNNNNNNNNNNNNNNNNNNNNNNNNNNNNNNNNNNNNNNNNNNNNNNNNNNNNNNNNNNNNNNNNNNNNNNNNNNNNNNNNNNNNNNNNNNNNNNNNNNNNNNNNNNNNNNNNNNNNNNNNNNNNNNNNNNNNNNNNNNNNNNNNNNNNNNNNNNNNNNNNNNNNNNNNNNNNNNNNNNNNNNNNNNNNNNNNNNNNNNNNNNNNNNNNNNNNNNNNNNNNNNNNNNNNNNNNNNNNNNNNNNNNNNNNNNNNNNNNNNNNNNNNNNNNNNNNNNNNNNNNNNNNNNNNNNNNNNNNNNNNNNNNNNNNNNNNNNNNNNNNNNNNNNNNNNNNNNNNNNNNNNNNNNNNNNNNNNNNNNNNNNNNNNNNNNNNNNNNNNNNNNNNNNNNNNNNNNNNNNNNNNNNNNNNNNNNNNNNNNNNNNNNNNNNNNNNNNNNNNNNNNNNNNNNNNNNNNNNNNNNNNNNNNNNNNNNNNNNNNNNNNNNNNNNNNNNNNNNNNNNNNNNNNNNNNNNNNNNNNNNNNNNNNNNNNNNNNNNNNNNNNNNNNNNNNNNNNNNNNNNNNNNNNNNNNNNNNNNNNNNNNNNNNNNNNNNNNNNNNNNNNNNNNNNNNNNNNNNNNNNNNNNNNNNNNNNNNNNNNNNNNNNNNNNNNNNNNNNNNNNNNNNNNNNNNNNNNNNNNNNNNNNNNNNNNNNNNNNNNNNNNNNNNNNNNNNNNNNNNNNNNNNNNNNNNNNNNNNNNNNNNNNNNNNNNNNNNNNNNNNNNNNNNNNNNNNNNNNNNNNNNNNNNNNNNNNNNNNNNNNNNNNNNNNNNNNNNNNNNNNNNNNNNNNNNNNNNNNNNNNNNNNNNNNNNNNNNNNNNNNNNNNNNNNNNNNNNNNNNNNNNNNNNNNNNNNNNNNNNNNNNNNNNNNNNNNNNNNNNNNNNNNNNNNNNNNNNNNNNNNNNNNNNNNNNNNNNNNNNNNNNNNNNNNNNNNNNNNNNNNNNNNNNNNNNNNNNNNNNNNNNNNNNNNNNNNNNNNNNNNNNNNNNNNNNNNNNNNNNNNNNNUUUUCCUCUCCCUCAUCUCUAUUAUUUGGCCCUUCACCCCCUUCAAUCCCUUCAUCUUCUUUUUCCUCUCCCUCAUUUCUGUUACUUGGCCCUUCAUCCCAUUGAAUGUCAUCCAUUUCCCCAUAUCCCUUAAAUAGAUGUGAGACGACACAACGAUUCGUCCUCUGUUUCAGUAAAGCUAGGUCCCUCCUUACUUCCUGCUCAAACUGAGGACCUAAACAUUGGUCCAAUAGUUUUUCCAUCCGUAUGACCUUUAAGUGAAGGACGUCUUUUUCCCGCUUUUCUUGAAACAACUCGGACCUCAACAAGCUUACCACCUUGUUCAACUCAUCAAGAUCACCACAUGAAGAAGGAAUUGACUCUGCCGAGACAACAGCAGGGCGAUCCUGUGGCCAACUCCAAUAUGGCUGUCUCAUUUCCUCUUCACUUAGACAUAGCGCCCGCAACUGAACUGACUGUUUCAGAAUACAGACAAGAGUCAUAUUAAAUCAUUCUACUUCAUAAUUUCAUUCAAUCUUAUCAAUAGUUCUAAGGGCUGCAAACCAAACCUCUUUGCUCUGGAAAAAAUAAUUGUUCAACUUUCUCAUCUCUGGAACAGACGUAGUAGUUCUCCAUCGCAAAAUACGCGGGACAGCGGUCGGAUCAACAACCUUGCAGUAAUUCAGGUCCGCCAUUCUAGGAAUUAAUUCAUAUACCCAAAUCUACACAAUUCACAGGACAAAAGUCAUUAUUUAUGUUUUAAAGAAAAACAAAACAUAACUGACAUGAACAUUAUUACCAUGUACCUGGAAAGCAUACGUGAAACCUUUAAAACUCCAGCCACUCCUUUGCGCUUCACUAUGCUUAUCCUUCUUGCCCUUCUCAUUUCUCCGGCUUGUUCCCGUUACCUUACUUUUCCCCUUCCCUCUUCCCUCUUCAUUUUCCAAGCUUUUCACAUACUUUGUUGGUGCAGAAAAUAGACUGUCUUGGGUUUUGUCAAAGGACACCGAACCCCACGGAUACCUGUUGAACGCAUCCAAGUCCUCUACAAGGGUCAGGUAAUUUAGAUUGAUGUUCAAAUGUUUGUCCCUUCCCAAAACCACUAACUCAGCAAAGUAAACAAGAGGUAGCUUGAAGAUGUCAUCUUCCUCUGUGCACCUCACAAAUGCUUCUUCUAAAGCAUUGCAUGUAAUUCCUUCGUCUAUAAAAUAUCUUUUCUGAAGUCUGAUUUCAUUACUCUCUCCACUGGAAACUUCAGGCACUUCCCCAAAACGAAGCCCUGUGAUCAAACAGAAAUCCUGACGAGUGAACUGAGCAACGUCACACCCUAAUAAGAAACUCAGUCCAUCCAAGUCUUUCACACCCUGCCCCGCUACUCUACGCAACACAACCCCAUGCACAAUCUGUCCGCUAAACUGAAUCUUAUCUAUAUUCAGAAGAUGGCCAAAGCAUGAUGUCUUGAAUUGUUCUAAUUGUUCCGCACUCAACUUCGCUCGAAUUGCAGCUAGAGAUGAAUUUGCAUGUGAGCAGUUGUUCACCCGUGAUGAAUAUACCUCUGCCUCUGGCCAUACCAGCUCCACGUUGGAUCCCAUUUCCUCAAAUACAAUGUGAAAUAACGUGAACAUAUAUACUACCACGUAUUUGCACAAUCACAACUAGUCAACCAGGCACAUUACAACUUUUACAAAGUACAUGAGCAUAUGGAUUACUCAUCACAGGCUUUAACAUCAUCAAAGCAAUAUGACAAUUUUUGUGCAAAUACCUGUUAAUGCAAUGAUUAUGUGAAUUACAAACAAUUUCACGUGUUUUAUUUAUGGAUCCAUACUCGUGUGAGUGCAAUGUAGGCAAGUUCUGCACUUCACACACAUGACAAUUAUUGUCAUCUCAUACACAACCCAAAAUAAAUAAAUAAGAAAUAUAGUGGAAGGAAGCAAAGCAAAGCAUGUACUCUGCUAUCUGCUUGCUAAGCAAUUGCCACAUCCUUCUUUCUUUCUACCUUUUUCUUCAGUCACCCACAAUCGUCAUAGAUCAACCUUCAUUUCAAAUGCUUUGCACUUUUAUUCAUGAGUUUAUUAUUAUCUGUUCUCAUUUCUCAUAGGCAAAUUUAGUAACAAAUGAAAUAAUAUUUAUUUCACAAAAUAUAUAAAUUCUAGUGCCAGAGAGGUACUCUUCACUCUGCACUGCUUCAAAUGUGGAAGGUUUUGAGAUGUUAUUGACAUGUGAUUGACUUUAUUUUCAUUCGUUUUUUAACAUAUACCCAAGCAAAAAUUAACAUGCAAUUGAAGCACAAAUAAGAGAUGCCAAAUCCAACAACAUUGAUGGUACAAAUUGGGGAAAACCAUUACUCUAACCCUAAACUCAAAUUCCUUACAUUACUCAUCAAAUGCUUUGCAGUUCUAUUCAUGAGUUUAUUAUUAUCUGUUCAAAUGUUUCUCAGGCAAAUUUAGUAACAAAGGAAAUCAUAUUUACUUCAUAAAAUAUAUAUAUAUAUAUAUAUAUUCUAGCGCCUCUUCUUAAUCUGCACUAUGCACUGCUUCAAAUGUGGAAGGUUUUGAGGGCCUCCUCCAAUUCAACACCAUUAUCUUAUUCAUAUCAUUAUUGACAUGUUAUUCACUUGUUAUUGACUUCAUUUUCAUUCUUUUUUUAACAUAUACCUAAGCAAAAAUUAACAUGCAACUGAAGCACAACGAAGAGAUGCCAAAUCCAACAAAAUUUAUGGUACAAAUUGGGGAAAACCAUUACUCUAACCCUAAACUCAAAUUCCAUAAAUUACUCACCAAAUGCUGGUUAUUGCAAGGUGUCUGUGUGGGGUCUUUCUGUUUCUUUGCUCCACAAAUGGAACCUACCACUUCCAACGAAUACAGCUUUUCCCCUUCCCCUUCCACUGCUUCGCCUCUUCACUGAUUUGGAAUCCACACCUUUGCCCCUUCUACUCCAAAUAAAUACUUUCUCGGGGUCUGGAGAACGGAGUGGCGAAUCGUUGCCUUCAACUGUCGUUAGCCGUUGCCUUCAUUGGGUAUCUCAGACCUCUGUGUUUUAGAGAGAUGAGUUCUUUCUGUUCAAACUUCGAACUUGCCUCUUCUUCUUCUUUUUCGGACGUGUUUCCCUCUUCUUCUUCUUUUUGGACGUGCUGGAUAUUCAAUUCGGGUUUGGGUUCCUUACCUACCCAAUUGUGAAACUUUAACUCAAUUCUCCCCAGCCCUUGGAUUAAUCUGAUGGCUAUAAAGUGAACCCCUUAUAACUUACCCCUUAUAACUUUCCACUCAUUAUAGUCUUGGCCAGGUAUGGCGGCCAUGCUAGUAAGUGUUGGGUCUUUGACCCAACUUAAGCUAAAUGGGUCAUAAGAUGACCGAUCAUCUUAUCUCAUAAGGAUAUAUAAGUCAUGUUAUGAUUUAGGAUUUUAUAGGGUUUCCUUUGUAAGAGGUAAGAGAGAAACAAGCUCUCUCUCUCUCUACACAAGGAGGUCAGCCAUAGCAAGGGAAAGGCUCCUAGCACUCUCCUCUCUCUUAUUAUAUCAUCCUUCCAAGGACAGCUUUGGUAUGGUAAAGUUGGAGGUUGCACACUUUGUGCACUUUGGUAAGAACUCAUCCAAGGGAGCCAAGAUUAAAUUGGUUAGCUGUUGGAUUAAAUUGGUUAGCACGAUUCAACGGUUAAUAGAUAAAACUUCACAUAAAAGUCAUAUAUAAGGCCCUCACUAUAGAAUGACUCGUUAGUUUAGUCUCUUGUUACAUAUCAAAUGUUAGAGAUAUUUUUUAAUAAGGAUCUGCCAUACCACAUAGUUGGAUAAGACAUUAUACACGGCUUUUGUAAGAGCAUCUCCAGCGCUCCAAACUAGCCCAAGCAGCAGGGGGGCCUAAGUCUAGGAAGCAGCUCCAGCUCGCAAGAUUCAACCCAGGCAAGGUGUGGAACCCACGAGGAGAUCUAGCCCGUCACCUUGCCUUUGGGUUUCAGUCAAGCUGAUGUCAACGAAAGAAUUUCAAAUUUUUUUUACCGUUACAAUGUACGCGCCAACGAUAAAUUUUCUUUGGAUUUCUUGCAUUGAUCCACAGCUACCAAAAACCAACAGCUACAAGCCACGUGGCUUCUCCAGGAGCCUCCGAUCCAAAAAUCAUGUCAAAUCUAACGGCAGUCCAUUUUUUGGCUAAAAAUAUCAAAAAAUUAUGGAAACAUGUUCUAUAAAUUCCUACAAAUAUUAUUCACUUCCCACACCAAAUCUUCAUACAAAUUCAUAUCCUUUCAAUAUUUUUCACUUUCCAUACAAGAUUUUCUACUACUAAGUUUCGUUUGUGUAAAAAUACAAAUGACCUCUUCUAUCGAAGCCGGAGGCGCGUGUACAACCGUGGAAGAUAUUUUGUUGCGUGAGUGUUGGGUCAAAGUUGGUCAUUCCCUGAUCACGGGCAAUGAGAUGAAGUCCUCUCGUAGGAGUUUCUGACAUCGCAACGAAAGUAAGAUGUGAUAUGAAAAUGUAAGGAAUUUGAUGAGAGGAAUGGGAUUUGAGGAGUUUGAUGUAGGAAUUGAUGUAGGAAUUGAAUUUGGGAGGUAUGUAUAUAAGAUUUGAGGGUAUGUGUUUAGGGAUUUUGAUAAGAGGAUUUGAGGAAUUUAGAUUUGAAGGAUUUGGAUUUGGGGAAUUUAAAUAUGAGGAAUUUGAUUAGGGUUUGGGUUUGAAUAUGUGAAAUUUGAUAUGAGAGUUUAGAGACAACAGAUGAUCGAUUGCUCUGAUACCAUGCUAAAAUAUGAUAUGGUUUGAAUACUUUAGGUUGAGUUUUAUUCUUUUCCAUAAAAAGGUAUAUAUAGGAGUUUACAUGAGUGCUUUACAAAGAAAUAGAUACAAUAAUCAAUUAGGAUAAUAUCUCCUAAUUAUACAAUAAUUUGUCAACUAUAUAGAAUAGGAAAGUAAAUUCCUUAAUUAAUCAAGAAAAUAAAUCUCAUUGAUUAAUUAGGAGACUAACGUCAACAUUUAUAAGCCAUAAAAGAGCAGAAAAAGAGGUACUUAGGAGAUUUUAUACGUCGGACUAAGGUAAGCUUAAAGGACUAUAUCAAAAAAAUAAGGGACCAAGAAGCAAGACAGAGAAGUUGUUAUGCAAACCCAUUAAGUUUAGCAGUGAUGAAUUUGUAAAAAUCAUUCUAGUGGAUUCUGCCUUCACUAUUGAGUUCUUAUUGAGGUUCUAUCUGAAAGGAUCUGGACAUGAAGGAGACCGCUUAUUAAACAAACCGUGGAUGUUUACAGCCUGACAUGUGGUUGCUUGAAAAUCAGCUCCCAUUCUUUAUUCUUGAGGAUCUUUAUCACACAUACAUAAUAACCGACUCUUUUAGGAAUUAUUACAGUACUCAUGAUCAUGAGAGGCUUUCAAUAAUUAAUAUUUCUAAGAAUUUCUUCACAGCCGGAAUAUUGAAUUUGGAGGGGAAGGGAGACAAAUGGAACAGAAUAUCAUCUUCUUCUAGUGUUGGAAAUUUUAUAUUAUUUAAUAAUAUUUAAUUUCUAUUGUGAAUGAAAAAUAAGUUUCUUUAAGAAACGUGUGUCUUAGGCCAGUUUUUCUAACUGGUCGGCUUCCUUAGAUUUGUGCCUAUUGCUUUUCAAAGUAUAAUGAUGCAAUGGUUGUAUCUCGUUCAGGCAAAUGGAAGGUAUAUAGCAAUUUAUAGAACAAUACAGUAAUCCAGAAGAAAUAUUAUGAAAUGAAAAGAAUAAAAAGUAAAAAAAGAGAAAGAAAGGAAUUCCCACCUGCAAUGUAUAUGUAUGAAAGGAAGGACCAAGUUUGUUUUAAAAUGGUAAGAACAAGUUGAUUUUAAAUUGGGUUCAGAUCAACUCAUAGAUUUCUUGCCUUUUCUGUUCUCCUUCCUUGGACAUGAACUGUUUAAUCUUGGACUCUUCCCCAUCAUGUUGGGCCUGUCUUCUUCUUGAGGAUUGUAUAGGCCUAGGAAAUGCUUCGGGGUAGUUUUUGUGUUUUGGGCAUUGGGACCCAACUUCACAAAAAGAAAACAAAUUUGACCAAAACACAAAUUUGAAGGACAUUGAAAUUGUACCCGUAGGAUAGAUUAAAACACUAUAAGGGAGGUAAAUAGUACGUUUACAGAGUUUAAGUGUAAUAAAGGAAUAAAAACAUGCCCAGAGAAUUGAUAAGUGAUAUCAAUUCUUGAAUAUACGUGAAAAUUAUUUUAUGUGGUUAAACCCCACCUCUGGGGAAAAUCCACGGAACUUCUUAGUCCAACUUCUAUCACUUAUCCUAGACACAUUCUAGAUAAUGUUUGCCAACCUCUUCGUAACUCAACUUCUGUCACGAGAUGAUCUUUCAACACUUUAUGUCGAACGCAAUACUGGUCACGAUUUCUUCAAGCUCGCCGGAGUUCUUCCAAUUCUCCUUAUAUUGAAUCUGAUACUAGUCACGAUCGAUUCAAGCUCAUCGGAGAAAAAUCGCCACAACAAUCUUGGUGCCCUCAACCGUAUGAGUCACUGAACAUGCAAAUGAAUACAAUAUGAAUGAUAAAAGUGUUUGAUAAAUCACCAAGUUAUGGAACACUUGAUGAUUUAUCUCAAAUAAAAAUUCAGCUUUCCAAAGUUUAUGAAUUGAAAAUAUGACCGUUAAAGCUCUCUAAACAAAGAAGACGAAGGUCUUAUUUUAUAGACUUUUACUUUACAAGAAAGAAAACACGUUGAAAACCAAAUCUCCAAUUUCCAAGGCUUGACAGAAAAUCACAAAAUUAUCUUUCCUAUUCUAGAGAUUGGUCACAUGAAGUCCAACCAAUAGGAAAUGAGAUAUUUAAGAAAGGAAGAUUUUGAUCAAUAUCAAUAUCAAAUGAAUUCUUAUACGCCUAGUCAAUUGUUAUGGGUAUCUUGACUCCUUGAUAUUGUGAUAUGAUUGAAACAUGAUUUCCACGUUAGAAAAUUAAGGGGAUGUUAAAACAUGAAGGUAAUAGGAGAAUCAAAUUGAUUUGGGCCAAAAUUGCCUAAAAAGAAAACACUCCUUAAUAAACUUCAAUUUACUUUUAAAAAUAGUAAAACGUGAUUGAAUCGUUCUUUAAAACAAUUCCCUAAUAUACAUGCAUGAUAGUGAUAUCACUUACCUUUGAAUCAGAUGGCUUUCACGGGUCAAGCCACAAGUUUUUGUCUUGGGGAUUGCUGAGCUUCAUCAAUCCUGCCAAUGUCAAUUUUGCCCCUAAGCUCUCUCAAAGCACGUUUACAACCUAUGCUAACAUAUAUUAGAGUUUAUGUUAGUAUCAAGAAAAUGCCAACACUAAUUUCGUAACACGUAGAAAUUGUUAGAGAUUGAAGUUUUUAUCAUUUUUUCUUCCAGACUCUCCACCACUCACUAAUAUAGUUUACUCAUGUGAUGAGUUUACAAAACCUAUUUCUCUACUCUCACAAAGACUAUACUUAGGGGGGUGUAUUCAAUUAGGAUUCUAAAGCGUUUAAAAAGAUUUUGUUUAAGUGCCAGCUUUCAUAGAACUUGAUGGAACUUUAUAAUUCGUAUAGAACUUGAUAGACUUUCAGAAGACUUCUGUAUAAUUUUUUAAUAAAACUUUCUUAAGCUUUCAUAGAACUUGAUAGGCUUUCAUUCCAAACUUAUGUAGAUGGUAUAUUUCAUUUUAUCCCCAUCCUUGACAUUUAAAGAAAGAAACUUGAAUUUUUUCAAUCAAAUUUGUUUUUGUUACCAAAGCAGCAAAAACAAAAAGUACUUGUUUGCGAUGGAAGAACAUAUGCACAGUUCAAAAUGAAAAGAAUAAGAAGCAAAGUACCUAUUUGACCAAUGAAUGCUGUGUCAACUAGAGAAGCAAUUGGAUCGGCUGUCAAAGCCAAUGCUGCAGGCAAUGCAUCGAUGGUCCAAAUUGCAAUAAAAAAAUAUUUUGAAUAAUGGCUCUUGCAGACAAAGACCACAUAAAUUCUGAACUGGUCUAGCUUGAAUAAUAAGGUUAGAUUAGCCAAUUGAUGAGAUUAAAAGCAAAGCAAGUUGAUGAAUUUAUCAUCAACUAUUUAAUAACCACAGUCCUGAUCUCUUGGACCCCUGUAGUCCAAGAGAUUUAUGGUCACCCACCGUUGGAUGUAAAUUCAACGGUUGACUUGAAUCGGGUAAUAAUCAUUUAUGUCAUAUUGCAUUUAUAUAUAUCAUUUUGAACCAUUGGAUUAAUAUCCAACGGUGGGUGACCACAAUCUCUUGGACUCCUGUGGUCCAAGAGAUCGGGACUGUUAAUAACCAAUAGAGUAUUUAAACAUAAACAACAAUGUUUGAUCAACAAAACAAAUAGUCCAAAUAUCAUCCAAAAAACAAUAACAAAAAAUCAAUCAUUCCAAACAAACUAGUCAUUCUCAAAAACUCUCAAAAAACCCACUCAUUCCAAAUUGUAGGAUAUCCAAUUUGAGCACUCCUCAGGAGACAUUUUCAAAAAUGCAUCCUUUUUUGUGUUACUAUGCAACAAAGAGAGUGCUUUAUAACGAGCAUGUUCAUCCAAAUUUGGGGUCUCCUUAAUGGCAUCCCAUAUAUAACUCCGCUGCUCUCUCUCUUUUUCCCUUUUUGCCAAUAGGUUAUGGACCUCCCGGAAGUCGAUGACAAUUGAAUCAAUGCUAAGGCUAAUUCUUCCCAUAGCUUGCUGGGUGGUCACAUUUGAGAUAGCAUUCCCUUCCAAAUAUGUUCUAGUUCGUUUCCUCUAGUAACAAGCAUAAAUCCUAGUAACAAGCAUAAACCCUAACCCCAACCUAUAACCUAAUAACAAGAAGAAAACCCAACGAGGUAUUGAUCAAAGAAAAAUUAGGGAGCAUACCUUCACAGAUGGAGGAAGGAAGCUGUUCGUCUUCGCAGAGAGAAAAUCUAGGGAAAGAGAAAAACGUCUUAUGAAAUACUUGGGGGGGAGGUUGGAUUUAUUUUGGUCUUUUUUAUUUAUAACUCUCCCCUUAAAACCUACGUAAAUUUAUCACUUAAUGAAAUCCUUCCAAAUAUAUGACCUUUCGAAUACACCUAGAUUUGAUUCAACUUUUUUAUAAUCAUAAUUGAAUACACCCAUAUUUGAAUGGACUUUUUAAAAGUUCAUAUAGGUCCGAAAUGAAUAUACUCAAACUUGUAAAACCUCUUUUAAAGUUUGUAUAAAUCCAAAUUGAAUACACCUGGAUUUUUAAAAUCUUUUUAAACACUUUAUAAUCCUAAUUGAAUACACCCCCCUUAUUCUCAAAAGACUAUAUUACUUUACCUCUAUCUCUGUGAAAUGUAAAAAGUUGAAACUUUAAUGUCAAACCUCAACAAAAGAUGAACUUUCAUCAGUUACGUUGAAUUUGGAUUUGUUGAACUUAAGUGGUUUUAUUUUCUUUGUCAGUGUUUGAUGACUUAAUUUGGUAUUUAUUUCUUCUUUUUUUUCCUUGGAAAUGUGUUCCACCAACGUGAGGAAGAAAAAUAUGCACAAAUUAAUAUAUUUAAUAGAAGCCCAAGAUUUCGGAUGCAUAUAAUUUCUACAAAAAUCUACAAAGUUUUUUACUUUACAAACUUCUUAUGUCUACCAAUUUCUACUAAAAUUAAUUUCUCUGUGGUGCUCAAAUUCAUCAUAUGUGUGUCGUUAAUUUUAUUGAAAAUUGGAAGUUCCCAUCAUUUUUGUUUUUUGGGAAUUUUCUGAACCAAGGAAAAUCAAGUAAAAUUAAUAAAGCCUAAAUUGGAAAGGGAAAAUAUCUAGAGGAUGCAUUGUAGGAUUGCUCAUGCCAAUAAUUGUACCCUCUAAAUAUAUAGAGACAUAUUUUUUUUGUUUUCAUGACAUGUGGUCCUAAAAUUAUUGUGUAAAUCUUCAAUCCUGAACGAUGCACCUAAAACUCAUCCACCCAUUCUCAGGCCAAUUAUUGCACCUAGUGGGCUCUCGACCCCCUCUCAAAUUUAACCACAUAUUUUAUGGACCAUCCAGCUGUGAGGUACAUUCCCCCCACAUGCCACAAUUGUAUAUUCACAAUUACGUCUGAUACAUCACAUCAUGCCACUUGCCUCAAAUGAAUUUAAGUGAGUGAGGCAGUUGGAAGUAAUUAAGCUCUAUAUUGGUGGGUGGAGUGUUACUUCUCGGUUCCCCUCAUCAUUCGUCUAUAAAAUGGUGAAGGCAGUUGCUAUUGUUACCAUAAGAGCCAGCUCCGACUUCCUUUAAUUUCUUGCUUCAUAUCCACUAGCUACAUCUGUUACCAAGUUAAUUUCAGUUCUAAUGGGGUUUCAUCUCCCACUCAUCUUUGCUCUUCUCAGUGUAAGCUCUGCAAUUUGAUUAACUUUUCCAUUCUCUCUCAUUGUACUCUAUAUAAACGAAAGUUUUGUGUUCCUAUUGUUCUCUCCGAUUUUAUUUAGUACGUACUUAAGUGUCGUCCACUAAUUAAUUAUACUUUGUGAUUUGAUUUUAAUUUGAGUUUGAAUUAAUGUUGCAGCUAGCAGCAGUGGCACUGGCAAACCAUGCUGCUCAACCAGCACCUCAACUUUACUGGAGCUCCGUCCUGCCAAACACACAGAUGCCAAGAUCUAUCAGUGAACUUCUGCAUCCUGGUUUGUGUUGAGCUCUUUAGAAUCUUAGAUAUCUCUUCUACCUGCCAUUUUACUAAAAUAUGUUCCACCACAUAUUUAUCAGUUAACCAUUGUCAUUACAUGAGUGACACAUAUUCACAAAUCGGCUGAUCACUUAUUUUCCAUUAUGACUUGAUAUAUAAUUUGCAGACUCCACAAAUGAAGAAAAGAGCACAAAUGACGUUGGCAAACCUGAAACUUUCCCAUUGGGCAAUCAACAUUACUCCAGUCAAAAACAUUAUGGAGGCAUACCUGAAACUUCCCCAUUGGGCAAUAAACAUUACUCCAGUCAAAAACAUUAUGGAAGAGGCAAACCUGAAACUUUCCCAUUGGGCAAUCAGCAUUACUCCAGUCAAAGACAUUAUGGAAGAGGCAAACCUGAAACUUUCCCAUUGGGCAAUAAACAUUACUCCAGUCAAAAACAUUAUGGAAGAGGCAAACCUGAAACUUUCCCAUUGGGCAAUCAGCAUUACUCCAGUCAAAAAAAGUAUGGAAGAGGUGCUUCUCCAUCCGACAAUCAACAACUCCAUUAUAAAGACUUAGCUAUUUUCUUCUUGGAGAAGGACAUGCGCCCUGGCACAACAAUGAAGUUCCAAUUCCCUAUAAAUUCAAACACGGCUACUUUCUUGCCACGAGAAAGCGCUCAAUCGAUCCCCUUCUCCUCUAACAAACUGCCAGAAAUUUUCAACCAUUUUUCAGUGAAGCCAACAUCUGAGGAAGCCAAAACAAUUAAGCAAACAAUCGAAGAGUGUGAAGCUCCAGACCUUAAGGGAGAGGAAAUAUAUUGCGCCACAUCUUUAGAAUCAAUGGUUGAUUUUAGCACUUCGAAGCUUGGAACAAGAAACGUUGAAGCAAUCUCGACGGAGGUAUUGGAAAAAGGAGCCACCAUGUCCAUCCAAAACUAUACAACAAUGCCGGGACUGAAGAAGUUGGCAGGUGACAAAGUCGUUGUGUGUCAUAAGCAGAACUAUCCCUAUGCUGUGUUUUUCUGCCAUGCAAUAAAACAUACAGCAGCUUAUGCUCUCUCCCUGAAAGGCGAUGAUGGGGAGAAGGUUAAAGCAGUAACCAUCUGCCAUCUAGACACAUCAGAAUGGGACCCAGAGCAUAUGUCCUUCCAAAUCGUCAACGUUAAGCCCGGAACCAUUCCCAUCUGCCAUUUCAUUUCCACUGAUGCUAUUGCCUGGGUUCCGAACCACAAAUCUGCAUGAUCAUCACUUAGCACUAGUACUGUGCGUAUAAUAUGCCUGUAUAAUUAUCUCCCUACUUAUUUCUGCCUCUUCAUCAUGUGGUGUAAGAUAUAUGUUGAGAUGAAGUUUUUGGGAUUUGUGGUCGAAAUUAACCCGAUCAUGUUUUCUCUUGCAACCAUAUAGACUUCAACUUGUACUCAUAAUAAAGCAUGCUAUAUUUAUGAAGAGAUAUUAAUCUUCAGGCAAAUAGAUAUUAUGAAAACAUAUAUAGCAAUUUAUCCAGAAGAAACAUUAUGAAAUGAAAAGAAUAAAAAGUAGAAAAACAGAAGGAAAGGAAUUCGCACGUGCUAUGCUAUGUAUGAAAGGACCAAGAUUGUUUUCCCUUUGGUUAAUGACUAGAAAAGCUCACUUGCAGAGUGCUUUCUCCGACCAUAGAUGGAAGAGAAAUUUUCUCUUAAUAAUAGCACAAUGAUCGGGUAAUUGUAAGAACAAGUUGAUUUAAAAUUCCUUGACCCAAAAAAAAAAAAAAAGUUCUUUUCAAAUUCAGGUCAACCCAUAGAUUUCUUGCCUUCGUCUUCUUCAUCACGUUGGGCUUGUCUUCUUUUUGCGUUUUGGGCCUUGGAAGUUGGGACCCAACCCAACUUCACAAAAAGAAAACAGAUUUGCCAAAAAUCAAAUUUCAAGUCUCUCCUCCGAUCACUAAUACAGAUCAAAUUUUGGAUUUGAUGAACUAAAGUGGUUUUACUUUCUCUGUCAGUGUUUGAUGACUUAAUUUGUUAUUUACUUUUUUUUUUUUACUUGAUCUUUGUAGGGGCUUUUUUUUUUCCGGCAGCUUAAACGGGCUGGGCUGCCGUAAAGGGUAGAUUGAUGAAAUUGUCCCCUUUGUCUGAAUUCGAAAAUCAAGCCCCAAAAGCGCUUCGAAAGGGCAGUAGAGCCUUAGGAAGCGUUCUGGUUACCUUCACUAAUUAAAACAACAGCAACUUACAGAUGAUUUCUUGAGGCUUACAGAUAAAUUUUCUAGCUUGGCAUGACAUGGAAGCAAAAUCAGCAUGAGUUUAGCACCAAAGAGGAAAAUAUGGCUUCCUAGGGAGAAAUGAGAGUGUUUAAGGUGAGGAAGAAGAGGUUUGCAGGCUGAUUUGGCUGAGAAAAGAGAAAGAAAGAACAAUGUUCUUCCGGCAGCUUGACAAAGCUUCUGACAGAUGUGAAAGUCGUCCGCCAGAAGAGGAAAAUGGAGAAGAAGGAUGAAUAGUGCACGAAAUUGGUGGGUUCUUGCAGGUAAGAGAGAAAGCUUGCUCUCUGAAUCUGAGUUGGUUUUGGUUGGGUAGAAGAAGCCCCCUUUUAUAGCUGCGGGAAACCAUCUUUUUCCAAGAAACCCUAAUGGUUUCUAUCCUUUUUGGCCAAGCUUUUCCCUUCCUUUCUCUUCUCCUCCCUUGACUUUUCCUAUCUUGGUGAAAUUUCCUCUGCCUAUUUGCACAAAAUUAGAGAUUUUGAGGAGCUCAAGGCCCCUUUCCCGCAGCUGCCUUAGUGGAGAAUCCCCAUUUUCAGUCAUCUUUCUUCCUUCUUUUCUCCCAUCUUCCAAGGCUAGGUUUGAUGAGAGAAAGAAAUGGAUAUGCACACUGGUUUGAAGGGUGUUUUUCCUUGAAACUUGUUCUCUCCCAUGUGCUGGAGCUUCCCAGCAGCUUACACACAUAGAUAUUUUGGCUUUCAUCGUGGCUUUUGUUUUCAGCUAGGUGCUGGAGAUUUUGCAUAUAUUUUCUUGAGUUGCUUGGGCCUUCUAGGACAAUACGUUGGUUUAUCAAGUGAAUGGGCUAACUUCAUCAAUUGUUGGGCAAUUUUGGUUGAGUUAAUGGACUAUUUUGGUUCAAGUAAUGGACUAUUUUGGUUGAAAUAAUAGGCUAUUUUUCUCUCUUUGUGCUCACCCACAUAUUUGGGCCUAAAAAAUGGGCUUGAGUUUCGGGGCUCCCAAGCAACCCCGGGACUUCCAUUUCUCGGCCCAUCAAUGAGCCUCAUGUCAACUUAUUACCAUCCAUACCACAACCCACUCAAGCAAGCCUCAGGCAUCUUGCGUGGCUUGGGCCCACGUAAGCUCGUAGUGGCAAUGUUGCUUAUUUGCUUGACGUGGCAUGUGUGCAAGUGCAUAUGACGAACUUUCGCGUGCCCAAAUUGAGUUUCUUCUCGGUAGGGUAUCGCAUUGGGCCGAGAAUUUAAUUGGGUAGAACCGUGGAUUUUUUGGGCCUCAACAAUCUUAUAUAUAUUAGUUUUCUUUUUUUCCUUAAUAUUCACCACCUUUCUGUUGCAUAAGUAUUCCAGUCUUAGCGGGUUUCCAUCUACCACUCAUCUUUGCUCUUUUAAGUGCAAGCUUUUUUAUUUUUAUUUUUUUAUGCACAAGAUUAGAGGGGAGGGAGAUUUCUCAAUGUAAGCUUUGCAGUUUCAUAAUUAAUAUUUCCAAUAUCUCACUGUUAGUAAAAUAUGGAACGGGAAAAGUACGAAUAAAAUACACACAUGUUUUAUUUAGCAAAAUUUUGACAAGAUACAACUGAAAAGUUUGGCCACUAUAUAAUAUUUUGAUUUAAUUUUUUUUAUUUUUUUAAUAUAUAUUAUUUUUAUUCAAUAAUAUGUGAAAAAUAGGUGUACAAUAUAUGAAAUUUGUAUGUAUUAUUGAAAAAUUCGUAAAAAAAAAACAUGUUAUUAAAUGUGAAAAAUAUGUACGUAUAUGUAUAAAACAUGUAUUGUACAUUACUUUUUAACAAACUUGUAUUUUACCUAGUCUUUAAACCGUAUAUGGAAAACGGAAGUAUUAUUGAAAAAUACAUAUGUACGUAUAUGUAUAAAACAUGUAUUGUACAUUACUUUUUAACAAACUUGUAUUUUACCUAGUCUUUAAACCGUAUAUGGAAAACGGAAGUAUUAUUAAAAAAUACAUAUGUACGUGUAUAAUAUGAGUAUUAAACAAAAAAAUGUGCUAAGUACUUAUCUUUUAAUUUAAUAAUUCAUUUCAUUUUGUGAUCUCAUACGUAGUAAUGAGAGUUCAAAUUAAUGUUGCAGCUGACAAUGGUGGCUCUGGCAAGCCAUGCUUGAUGCAGGAGUAUAGGGGUGGAUCAAGAUAGAUAUUUACCAUGUAAUUAGUUAUUUCAUGAUAUAUUGUUAUUUUCUUAUUUAGGUAGUUUUAUGAUAUCUUUUAUUAUUUAUGUGGGAUUUUAUAAUUAAUUAGUUUACUUUUGGACCAAGUAGCCUUGGUGCUCAAGUCUUGUAAAGCUUAUAAAUAAGGCUAAUGUAAUAGUUGUAGGAAAAGAGAUGUCGAUGAUUAAUAAAAUCGUUUAUUUGUGGCAUGGAUUUGCUACGAUAUAUGUGAGUUUGCACUAGCCCUAGAUUUCGGUGCUCGUGUAUGUGGUUGGUGACCUGUGUCCGGAUCCCGAUCCCCAUCAAUGCUGUUCUCCCAGUACCUCAACUUUACUGGAACUCUUUCCUGCCAAACACAAAUGCCAAGAGCUAUCAGUCAACUUCUGCAUCCUGGUUUCUAUUAAGGGACUUUUCGUGAGCUUAUCAUCUACCCAAAUUUUACUCAUCCGACGUAAUUUUAAAAGUGAUUUGAUCCUUUGGCAAAGUAAUCUUGAACUACAAAAAAGGAGGGCACUCGAAUAGGCAUGCCAUUUGGUAUUACCCACCUCUAAUUUCUUUUAAAAUUUUAGUAAUUGAUUUUUAAGAUUAGAAAAUGGGAAAGUUCAAAACCGAAAAAGUUGUUUCAGUUUUGGCAAGUAUCGGAAAAGACUAAAAUUUUCCGACUUUAUUAUUACUAGAAACAAAGUCGAAGUAUUCACCAAUCAUGUGGCCUUCCAAGUGCUCAAGGUUAAGCCAGGAACCGUUCCUAUCAGCCAUUUCCUUCCCAAGUAUGAUCAUGUUGUCUGGGUUCCAACCCACAAAUCUACAUCAGUACCUGAACUAAUCAGUUCUACAUGAAUAUUCAUUCAUGGCAACCUUGGGCUAAGUAUUUGAAUUUAUGCUCAUAAAGCUUUAAUGCUUUUGAGGGCCAAUCGUUGUCUACAUAUGGUAUUGUAGCAUCUUUAGAUGGAAGAGGUCAGGGGUUCAAUUCUUGUUUUCCACUUCUUUAUUUGUUGGUUUAUCGAGUGUAGAGUGGAGUUGCACCUAUAUGUUCGUCUCUCACCCCAUCAUUUACCAUUGAUAUAUAUUUAAUAGAAGCCUAAGAUUUCGGAAGCACAUAAUUUCUACUUUACAAACUUCCUGUGUCUACCAAUUUCUACUAAAAUUAAUUUAUCUGCGGUGCUGAGAUUCAUCAUAAUUUUAAUAGAAAUUGGAAGUUUUCAUCAUUUUUGCUUUAAGUCUCUACUCCACUCACUAAUAAAGAUUACUCAUGUGAGUUUACAAAACAUUUUUUUUUUCUACUCUCUCCUGAAGACUACACUUCUUCUCAAAAAAUUAGAUCACUUCACAUCUUGUGUAUGUGAAAACUAAUGUAAAAAGUUGAAACUUUAUCGUAAAACCUCGACAAAAAUGAGCUCUACUACAAAAUGUUAAAUUUGGAUUCGUUGAUUUAAAUGGCAAUUUGACACUUGAUAGAAAUUUUUACAUACAUGUGUUAGUGUUUGAUCACUUCACAUGUCACUUACUAUAUUUAUUCCACUCAAGUUAGGUAAAUAUUAUUAUCAAACAUUUCAAUUAAUUUGUGAUUUUUUUAUUAUUUAAUCAAUUAUGAAUUAAUGGAUUCUUCUUGUUGUUUUGAAGACCAACAAAAAAAAAAAAAAGGGUAGUGAUGGCUUAUAAUUCUGGUAAAACAACAGUGACGUGGACAACAGAUGUUACGCUGUACUAAAGAUUUUUGAAGAUUCUUUAUUUGAGUUUCUUUCAAGAUAAAAACCAUAUUAUCCACAACCACAAGCACAUCCGGCAGACAAUCUUUGGCUAUUCAUCACAAUUGGGAGACAAUGAAGAAGACAGAAAAUGGAGUAAUUCAGAUGUUACCAGCCAUCCACGACAAACUGAAGUCUGCAAAGCAUUCGUAAUCUAAAAAGGAUGGGGAGGCUGCGCAAUACUUAGCCACGUGUAGGCCAGGAGGCUUUCCAAUUUUAAUAUAUAUAUAGAUUGAAAAAAUAAAAUAAAAAUCAAUCUAUUAUCAUAUAUAUUAUAAAAUAAAGAUUAUUGCUCCCAUGGGCGGUGCUAUGCACAGGACAGUGCCUGCCUAGUCCAAAUUUUUUUUAAAUAAAAAUAAAAAUCUACAUAUGUUAUAAGCUCAUCCAAAAAAAAAAAAAAAAAUAAAAGUGUUGUAAAUUAUAAGGUGGAGCCCACAUGUUGGAAGGCUUUGCCUACAAAAGGGUUCACACCCUCCCUUUGUAAUUAGACAUUGAGAAUACUAAGGAAGACAGAAAUGAAUAGAGAGAAAACAUUCCCUUCUCUCCAUCUCAAUUCCCUCUCCAAUUCCUCUAGAUUUAUAACACGUUAUCAGCAGCACGAAUCGCUUUCAAACAAUACCAGCUGAAUUUUAUGAUGAAACCCAGAUCUCUCAUCCAUCUCUGCUGCUCCACUACUUCAAAAUAAAUCCCACAGAAAAAGAAAAAGCCUCAAUGCUCUCUCUCUCUCUCUGUCUCGCUUGGGAGACUUGGACAAUUCCUCAUCCCCGUUACUGACAAUUUCAACAGCUUCAGGGGAAGCUAGUUUAUCUUCCUCUGCUCACGAAACCAUGACUCUUUCAGAGCCAAACAACAACACAAUAGACAACGCAUGGAGACCAGACUGGAGCUCGUCGGCUAAGGCACCGACGAUCCGACCCUACCCGUAUGGACCUUCCGGAUGUGGUUCCUGGGUCUUGUCUCAUGUGCCCUCCUCUCAUUUCUCAACCAAUUCUACAAGCAGCAGAGCUUCAAAUCAAACAGAUCAUGGCAUCGCUUUCACACCUCCCCAUCUUCCUCUUCCUCCUGUUCACCGCUUUCUAUUCUACAGCUUCGCAGUCCUUCAUCGGCGCAUCCAAAGGCGACAUACCGGCGCUCGCCUCAGAUCCGAACGCGGCGGCUCAGUGGGUGAACUCGAAUGUCCUCGCCUUCUACUCGGCCAGCAACAUCGACCUCAUCAACGUCGGCAACGAGGUCCUUUUUCUCCAACGACCAGGGCCUCAUCUCGCAGCUCCUCCCCGCCAUGCGAAAUGUCCAAUCUGCCCUCUCCGCCGCGUCCCUCGGCGGCAAGGUCCGUGUCUCCACGGUCCACUGCCUCGCCGGAUCGGGAUCCUUCCUUCAAGUGUUUCUCUGUCUUCGACUUGAAAAAGAAGGUCAUGGCAGGCCUAUGUAAAAAUUGCGAAAAGGAAGGCAAUCUUCAACCUUUUCUCCUGUCUCUCUCUUGAUCAAUUCAUGGAAGGCACAUUUGGGUCUUCCGGGGGCUCAUCAAAUGAGUCAGCAAUGUCAAAGGUGGAGGUGGUGGAGCAAGACUACGUGGGGAUGUCAUAUGAGGCAACCUCAUACCCAGCUGAGGCAGAGCUUGUGCUGGGCCUGGGCCUUGGCCUGAGCCUUCGUGGUGGUGGUGCAGGGAAGCAGCCAAAGCCAUGUGCAUGGGGUGAGCGUGGUAGAAUCUUGACUGCUAAAGUUAGGUGCUGAGUUACACUGUGUUCUCUGCUACUGACCCUAAGAGGAGUGCUAGAAACUUCCAUGUUCCGCCAUCAUUUCGCUUUCACUGUUACAAGGCACUGGAGUAUGUUUAAUUGAAAAGUGAGAUACACAGCAAGUUGAUCAGCCUAGUGGAAAGCAAAGGAUUAUUGCCAGGGAUAUGAACACCCACCGAAAUAAAGGGAUAAGUACUCUUUUUCCCUUCGACCAGUUUUUUUUUGUCCCACUGGGUUUUUACUGGCAAGGUUUUUCACGAAACAUAUUCCGUAUCAUUUGUGGUCUCUAAGAGGGAGUGUUGUAAAUUAUAAGGUGGAGCCCACAUGUUGGAAGGCUUUGCCUACAAAAGGGUUCACACCCUCCCUUUGUAAUUAGACAUUGAGAAUACUAAGGAAGACAGAAAUGAAUAGAGAGAAAACAUUCCCUUCUCUCCAUCUCAAUUCCCUCUCCAAUUCCUCUAGAUUUAUAACAAAAAGUAAAUUCUACACAUAUGUUGCCCAUCCAGGUGGUCCCAUAUCUUCUCUUUCCUUUUCUUUUGGCUAUUAGACUUCUUGUUUCUCUCUCUCUCUUUGCUACCCCACAUCAGCAAGUUUCUCCCUCUCUUUUUUUGGGAUCAAAUUCUUCUUCUAUUGACAAAAUCUUCUAUUAUAUUGGGUGGGCAACUUGGCAACAACAUCUUCUCCUCUCCUUUUGUCAACAGCAAGUAUUAUUCUCAUUCUCUCAUUUGCUAUAUAUCUUUAAUUAUAGUUUUAAUUUAAAAUUGAGUAUUCUAGGGUUUAAUUAGGGAUGAAUUAUAAUUUUGGGAUUUUGUUGAAAUUAAUUAGGGCUUCGAUUAGGGGUGAAUUAUUCUACUGCUUUGAUUUGGAAUUUUGUUAAAAUUGAGUAUUAUAGGUUUAAUUAUGGAUGAAUUACAAUUUUUGGUUUUGGUAUUGUUGAGAUGUUAUUAUGAGAAUUUGUUUGAUUUUUUGUUGGUAUAUUUGAUUAAAAUUCUUUCUACAUAUUAUUCAUAGGCUAUCUUUUAUUAUGUCGGAUCACAAUCGGAAUCCCAAGAAAACAAAAAAUUUGAAUAGUGUUGUUUUGUAUUGCAUUGCAUUUACUUUUGGUUUUAGUUUUGCUUUUAGUGUAAAUUACUCAAAUGGUCCUCAAAUUUGUACCCAAUUUACAUUUUGGUCCAUAAACUAAAUUAUUCAUUCAAAUGGUCCACCAACUCUUUAUUAAUCGGUGCUUUGGUCCUAUCGUUAUGUUUUCUAUUAAAUUUAGUCAUGUGAGCAGCACAUGCUACAUUUGUAUGGGUAAAUAAGACUUUUGACCAGUGGCGGAUCCACGUUGGGACAAGAGGGGUCGGACGACCCCUUGGAAGGCUGGAAAUUUGGCAAGGGAGUCCAUGAAAGCCCCCUUGGACAGCUGCUGGAAGCCCCCUUGUAUGCACACAAUGUGCUCGACGAAAUGCCCCAACGAAAUGUCCUGCGCAGCUGUGCUGCGCCUUGCGCGUAAUUUUUUUUUAAAACCAGCCUUGCCAAACGACGUCGUUUGGUCAAGGCUCAGUCAAAUUUUUUUUUAAUUAACCUGGCCUCAAAACGACGUCGUUUUGGGCCAGGUUUAAAAAAAAAAAAACAGAACAGUACACACGCACAGCAGCUCUGCACAGAUUCAUUUUCUCCAAACCUUUCAUUCCCAAUUCCACAGCCCCUCUUCCCAUCCUCUCAAACCCUAACCUCCCAACCUCCCAACCUUGGACAACCUCCAUCAACUCUUCACCGGUGGCCCAAUGCCGAUCACCACCACCUUCUACCGCCGUCCGCCGCCCAUUUUUUAAACUACAAGUAAGUAAGCAUGGAAAAUCUGAUAUUAAUAAUUAUAGUGAUAAUAUAUAUUGUUGAUAUUGAUAUUUUUUUUUUAUGUAAUGAAAUUUAUGGAUAUGAAUCAUAUUGAUUGAUUGAGUUUAUGCUUGAAAUUUAUGGAUAUGAAUCAUAUUGAUAUUUUUUUUUAUGUAAUUAAAUUUAUGGAUAUGAAUCAUAGUGAUAAUCAUAUUAAUGUAGAUUGAUUGAGUUUAUGCUUGAUUGAUAAUAUGAAUUGAUUGGGUAUAUUAAAUAUUGAUUGCUAUUUGAUAUGAUAAUUUGGUAUAUUGAAUAUUGAUUGAUAUGGGUUUAGGGAGUAUAUUGAAUAUUGAGAGUGGGUUAUUGAAAUUUUCAUAUUCAUAUGAUAAUUAGGAUAAAAAUUAAUGAUUGAUUGAAUUAAUUGAUUUGUAGAUUUAUGGAACGAUUCUUUAAAAGAAAAUUAUCUACGGAUAGUUCUUCUCUGUCUAAUCCGGGUAGUUCAAAUGCAAGACCAAUUGAAGUAGAUGAGAUCUUAGCUAAUCUUCAAGCAGACCCUGGACUAAGAACUCGAAUGGCGGAUUAUAGUCCUAAUAUUAGGGAUGAGAUCCGAAGAGCAUAUCUACAAAAGGGACCUUGUCAACCUAGAAGUUAUAAAUUCCCACAAACUAAUCAAUCAGGAAUUAAUAGACGCUUCAUUGCUCAUUGGUUUGAUGAUCAUGAUUGGUUGGAAUAUAGUAUUGCUAAAGAUGCUACGUUUUGUCUUCAUUGUUAUCUCUUCAAAUCUAAUUUUGAUCAAGUGGGUGGUGAUGCAUUCACUGGGGUAGGCUUCAAUAAUUGGAAGAAGGCGAAAGAAAGAUUUAACCUUCAUAUUGGACCGGUUGGUAGUGUUCACAACCAAGCUAGAGAAGUUGCUUACAAUUUGAUGCAUCAAACUACACACAUUGAAACAAUUGUGCUCAAGCAAACAAGCCAAGCUCGCACGGCUUAUCGCACUUGCUUGAAUGCAUCACUUAAGUGCACUAGGUAUUUGUUGCGGCAAGGGCUUUCUUUUCGUGGUCAUGAUGAAAGUGCACAAUCAAGUAAUAAAGGGAAUUAUUUAGAGCUCUUGCAAUUUCUUGCGGAUCAUGAUGAAAAAGUUAAGGCCGUUGUAUUGGAAAAUGCUCCGGGAAAUUUAAAGUUAAUAGCUCCUUCAAUUCAAAAAGAUCUUGUCAAUUCUUGUGCCAAAGAAACCAUUGAUCUUAUCUUGAGUGAUGUAAAAGAUAGAUAUUUUUCAAUAAUGGUGGAUGAAGCACGUGAUGUUUCAAUAAAGGAGCAAAUGGCAAUGGUGUUGCGUUAUGUGAAUGACAAAGGACAAAUAAUUGAAAGGUUUGUGGGGGUUCAACAUGUAACCGACACUACUUCAAGUGCACUAAAGGAAACAAUUGAUGAAUUCUUUUCUUCCGCGAAUUUGAGCUUUUCCAAGCUACGAGGACAAGGUUAUGAUGGAGCUAGCAAUAUGAGAGGUGAGUUCAAUGGCCUUAAGAGAAAGAUUUUGAGAGAACAACCUUGUGCAUUUUAUGUUCAUUGCUUUGCUCAUCAACUUCAACUAGCUCUUGUUGCGGUAGCAAAGAAAAACAUUGAUGUCAACUCUUUUUUCACAACGGCUAAUAGUUUGGUUAAUGUGGUUGGAGCAUCUUGUAAGCGUCGCGAUGCACUUAGAGCACAAUACCAAGAAGAGCUUGUGAGAGCUUUUGAAGAUGAUUGUCUUAUAACGGGGCGGGGCUUAAAUCAAGAAAGGACUCUCAAACGUGCCGGCAAUACACGAUGGAACUCACAUUAUGGUACGUUGAUUAGUAUCAUUUCUAUGUUCCCAUCUGUGGUGAAUGUGCUUCAAAUGAUUGUUGAUGAUAAUCUUAAUGAUAGUUCGGGUGAAGCCUAUAAGUUAAGGAGAGAAAUACAAUCUUUUGAGUUUGUGUUUCACUUAUUUGUAAUGAAAGCUAUAUUGGGAAUAACAAACACUUUGUCUCUAGCAUUGCAAAAGAAAGAUCAAGACAUUGUGAGUACAAUGAAUUUAGUGAAAACAUGCAAGGAAAACCUGCAGUUGAUGAGGGAUAAUGAGUUUGAAGAAUUGGUUGGGCAAGCAUCCUCGUUUUGUUACAAAUAUGAUAUUAUAGUUCCUACCAUGGAUGAGGAAUAUGUAAUUCCAGGGAGAUCAUGGCGUAAUGCUCCAAUGAAGACAAAUUAUCAUCGUUAUCGUGUGGAGAUCUUUAUUCAUGUAAUUGAUGGGCAACUUGCGGAAUUAAAUGAUCGCUUCAACGAGGUAAGUACUGAGUUACUUACUUGUUUGGCAUGCUUGAGUCCAAAAAAUAACUUUGUGACUUUUGACAAACGAAAGCUAGUUCGUCUUGCUCAAUUUUAUCCUUAUGAUUUUUCGGAUAGAGACUUAUUGAUGCUUGAAGAUCAACUUGGUGUUUAUGUUCAUCAUAUGCGUUCGAGUAGUGAUUUUUCUCAAUUGGAAGGGAUUAGUAGUCUUGCGGAAAAAAUGGUGGAGAAAGGAAUGCAUGAAAUAUUUCCUUUUGUAUUUGCUUCUUACAUUGGCUUUGGUUUUACCGGUUGCAACUGCAUCAGUGGAGAGGGCAUUUUCCGCUAUGAAUAUUAUUAAAAAUCCACUUCGCAACAGAAUGGGAGAUCAAUGGUUGAAUGAUAGCUUGCUUGUUUACAUUGAGAGAGAUGUUUUUGCUUGUAUUGAUAACGAAAUUAUAAUGCAAUGUUUUCAGAAUAUGAAAACUCGUCGUGGACAAUUGUAACUUGUAUUAUUGGUUUUGUUAUGAAUUAUGAAUGAAAGUACUAUCUUUCUAUCUUUUUAGCAUUAUUUUCUUUGUAGAAAAAUUUCAGAACUUUUACACUAAGCCCCCUUGGCUACAUAAUCCUGGAUCCGCCACUGCUUUUGACCACUUUAUCACCUAUGUAUCACCACUUUAUAACCUAUUUGGGGAACAUAGGUCAGUUAUGGACGGUUUUACCCUUACAUUUGACGGCAACAUUAACAUAAUGUAACAGUGGGAUCAAUGGAGUGAUUAAUAUAAAGUUGAUGGACCAUUUGAAUGAAUAAUUUAAUUGAGAGACCAAAAUGUAAAUCAAGUAUAAGUUUGAGGACCAUUUGAGUAAUUUACCCUUCGCUUUUAUAUUUGUUGAACUUUUAUUUAUGAUAGAUAUGCAUUUAAGGGUAAGACCCAUUAUGUUCCCCUGGCUAGGUGUAUCUUUUUAUGUUUAUUAAUGAAAUUCACUCGAACUGUUGAGUUUAGUAUGUAAGUUUUGCCUAACUGGCUUUUGAAUCCUAGAACCGCCACUGUUGCUCCAUCCUCCAUGCACUUGCAUGUGCUCUUACAAAGUGUGAAGUAGAUUUUGUGUGCUCCAAGUCAUUGACUAGAGCUGAAACAUGGUUAGCUAGAUUUAUAAGGACCCAUCUCUUUAUUUCCUAGACAUAUACCCAUCUCUCUAUAAAUCUAUAUGUAAAACCUAAUUUCAAACUUAAAUGACCAGUAGGAUAUAAAAGGUCAUAGUAUUCCUAUGUUUUUAUAUCGUUGCCACCAGACUUCUUAUUUUAUUUAUAAUUUAUUUCAAGCAUUUCAUUAACUGCCAUAAUUGUAAUUAAUACUCCAUAUUAAUAGCAUAUCAAUCACCCCAUUUCUUUUGGUUGCCAUUCCCUCUAACAUAUCGCCCCUUAAAUUUGAAAACCAAAAAAAAAAAAUGUAAAUUACAUAUCCAAUAAUGUACCUAUGAAAAAUAUAAAUAUAAAUAUAUACAUAUAAAAAUAUAGGUAUAUUAUUUACCAAAUAGAAAAUAUAAAAACCUAGGUCAGUUGCUUUGUAAUUGAAAUUUCUGUACAUUUUCCACAAAUUAAAAAUAGGUACAUAAUAAUUUAUAGAAAAUAUAUGUACAUUAUUUAUCCAUAGGUAAAAAUACCGAUAAAUGCACAUAGGUGAAUUAUUUACCAAUAUAUUAUUUUUUUGCUAAGGAUUUACCUUAGUUUUUAGUAGAUUAAUUUACCUACCUAGAGGCAUAGGUAGCUUAAAAAAAAUGUACCACCUUAGUUGGUUGCAUACUAAUUUACCUACCUAGAGGCAUAGGUUGCUAAGAAAAAAUGUAGGUAAAUUCAUGUACCUAAACACAUAGGGGUCAAAUAGAGAAUAACAUGUUAUUUCCCUUUGAACAAAUUAAUUUCAAACCAUAACAAUUAUUGAAUUUGGAAAUUGGUAUAAAUAAAAGGAAAUAAAUAAACUAUCAAUUUGAAAAUUAAAAUAAGAAAUGAUCAAGUAGUCAUAUUUGAAAAAAAAGGAAAGAAUAUAUUCUUGGUUUUUAUAGGAACAACGAGUAUAUUCAAACCAAACGGCGAUAACUACACCAAGCUUUAAUUACUUUUUUUUAAGGCCAAAAGUCACUUUUGGUCCCUGUAGUUCGGCAUUUCUACCACUUUUGAUGUUGUAGUUUCAAUUCCGUCAAUUUUGCCAUUGUAGUUUCGUAUUUGUAGCAAUUCAAGGACCUGUUAAUAUUAAUGUCAAUUUGUUUAAUGAUGCAAGAGGUAAUUUCGUCAUCCCAAAAUCCUUGAGCAUAAAAGAUUGUCUGAAAUUCUCCCCAUUUCAUAUUAGGGCUCGAAAUUCAACCACUAAUCCUAAUUUUUGAAGAACCCUAGACCCAAAUGACCAAUUUCAAGCCCUAAUAUGAAAUUACGGAAGUUUUAGAUGAGCUUUUAUGCUCAAGGAUUUUGAGUUGAAGAAACUGCCCCUUGCACUGUCAAAUAAAUUGACAGGAAUACUGACUUGUCCUUGAAUUGCUACAAAUACAAAACUACAGUGUCAAAAUUAACAGAAUUUAAACUAUAGGGUCAAAAGUAGUUGAAGUGUCAAACUAUAAGGACCAAAAGUGACUUUUAGCCUUUUUGUUUCAAUAAGGAAAAAACUGACCUAUUAAAUCCUUGGAAUCUAUACAAAAUUGAAACACAAUUAAUCAACAUUGAAUUGCAGCUAAUUUCUUAAACAAGGGUAUUAUAGGAAUUUAAAAAGUAUAACAUUUAAUCCAUUGAAUUUGAUUAGGAAACUUGAUGAAUUGAAUCCUAGUUAUAUAGUUUUUCUUAUAAAAAUCAGGUUUUAUUUAUAGACAAAUAAAACAAUGGGUUGUAGGUAAGAAAAUAUUAAUUUGAAGGGAAAGAGUCAAAUUUACUAAAUUAAUAAAGCAUAAAUUGGAAAGGGAAAAGAUCUAGAGGAUGCAUUGUAGGAUUGCUCAUGCCAAUAAUUGCACCCUCUCGAUAUUGAAAAACCUAUUGUUUAUUAUUAUCUUCAAUCCUGAAUGAUGCACCUAAAACCCAAGUGUCUCAGGCCAACCAUUGCGCUCAUACCACUUGUUGCAGUACACAUUCACCUGUUUUUAAAGAAAGAAAUUCUACCAAUCGAUAUUUUCUCAAAUUUAAUCACAUAGAUCUAUUAUGGUUAACCAUAUGUACUUUUAUCUGCCAUCCAGAGGUACCUUUUUCCAACGUGCAACAAUUGUAUUUGAUUCACAAUUAUGUCUGAUAUACAUCACAUCAUGCCACUUGCCUCAAAUGAAUUUAAUUGAGUGAGGCAAUGGGAAGUAAUUAAGCUCUAUAUUGGUGGGUGGAGUGUUACUUCUGGAACCCUCAUCAUUCGUCCAUACAGGGGAACAAUUCCCUUCCUUCUAUAAAAUGGGAGCAAUUCUCUCACUGUACUCUAUAUAAAGGAAUAAGUGUCGUCCACUAAUUAAUUACACUUUGUGAGAUUUGAUUUUAAUUAGAGUUCGAAUUAAUGUUGCAGCUAGCAGCGGUGGCACUGGCAAACCAUGCUGCUCAACCAGCACCUCCACUUUACUGGAAUUCCAUCCUGCCAAACACACAAAUGCCAAGAGCUAUCAGUGAACUUCUGCAUCCUGAUUUGUGUUGAAUAGAUAUAGUAUGUUACUGGAGUACGUAUGGCAACAUAUUCACAAAUGUGUCACGUAUUUUCCAUUAUGACGUUGAUAUAUAAUUGCAGACUCCACAAACGAAGAAAAGAGCACAAAUGUCAUGAAUGCUGUUGGGAAUGGAAAGCCAAUUGACCACAAGGGCAAACCUGAAAAUACUGUACUACCACAGCUUGCACGACGCCCAUUUUCUUACAAGAGUGAUGAUCGUCCCACUGACAAUCAACUCCAUUAUAAAAACGUAGCUAUUUUCUUCUUGGAGAAGGACAUGCGCCCUGGCACAACAAUGAGCUUCCAAUUCCCUAGAAAUUCAAACACGGCUACUUUCCUGCCACGAGAAAGAGCUCAAUCGAUCCCCUUCUCCUCUAACAAACUACCAGAAAUUUUCAACCAUUUUUCAGUGAAGCCAACAUCUGUGGAAGCCAAAACAAUUAAGCAAACAAUCGAAGAGUGUGAGGCUCCAGGCAUUAAGGGAGAGGAAAUAUAUUGCGCCACAUCUUUAGAAUCAAUGGUUGAUUUUAGCACUUCGAAGCUUCGAACAAGAAACGUUCAAGCAAUCUCGACGGAGGUAUUGGAAAAAGGUGCCACCAUGUCCAUGCACAAGCACACAACAAUGCCGGGACUGAAGAAGUUGGCAGGUGUCAAAGUCGUUUUGUGUCAUAAGCAGAACUAUCCCUAUGCUGUGUUUUACUGCCAUGUAAUAAAACCAACAGCAGCUUAUGUUCUCUCCCUGAAAGGCGAUGAUGGGGUGAAAGUUAAAGCAGUAGCCAUCUGCCAUCUAGACACAUCAGAAUGGAACCCAAAGCAUUUGGCCUUCCAAAUCCUCAAAGUUAAGCCCGGAACAAUUCCCAUCUGCCAUUUCCUUCCCACUGAUCAUAUUGUCUGGGUUCCGAACCACAAAUCUGCAUGAUCAUCACUUAGCACUGUACGUAUAAUAACCUUUACCCCUGUAUAAUUAUCUCCCUACUCUACUUAUUUCUGCCUCUUCAUGUGGUGUAAGAUAUAUGAUGAGAUGAAGUUUUUGGGAUUAGUGGUCGGGUUGCCUUAAAAACACAGAUUACAGAAACUGCUUGAACUUAACCCGAUCAUGUUUUCUCUUGUACUCGUAAAGCAUGCUGUUGUGGUUCUACUUAAUUUCGUCCUCCCCAAUGUUUGAGUGUUUAAUUGUUACGUUGGAAUAGGCUGCUAAUGCAUGUAGUUAGAGAAGCUUUCAUUUAUAUCAAAGUCCUCAAACUAUCAAGAAUUAAUGCAUCCAGAAACAUAUAUACCAAGACGCAAAACAACAUAUUUUCCAUGCUGUGUCGGUAACACCAAAGCAAACUUCCUUUAUCACAAAAGGACCAAAUUCCAAUACUAAUCUAAUCCAUCAUGUAAAGCAUACAAUCUACAACUGCCUCCCUAAAUUUGUCCAUUGGAUAUAUAUGUCACUUUUUGGUAAUUUGGUAUAGCAGCACCACGUAGUAUGCAUUUAACAGAAAAGUAAACAAAAUUGACAGUAGAACUAUUUGUCCUAACGAAACUGAAGUUGAAAGACCAUGAGAACGAUUUUGAAAAUUAAGGGACUCAAAUGAAAAUUGGGUCUAAGUUCAGGGACCAAUAAAACGAUUAACCCAUAGAUUUUGGAUCCAGUACCACAUCCCAAAGAGAAAACCACAAGUUUGCAAGCAAGUUUGUCCAUACUAACACUACGUACAGUAUGGGCAAUGUGCUAGACUCAUCUCACUUUCUCAACCUAUCCUAUACUUGUCUAAAAGAGUUUCUAAUUUAAUGUACUGAGAUUUACGAAAGAAAUAUCAGAGAAACAAUUUUCAGGCAAUAAAAAAAUGUCUUGGCAAGAAAAUGCACAAUUUGUUACAUAACUUAUUAAAUAUGAACAGUUGAAAGAAAAAAGAAUUUGGAUGAGGGAUUUGCAAAUUCCUAUGGCCCAAUUACCUUUUUUUCUUUGUUUUUUUUUGGUUCUUUUGAUCCAGUAGCAUAUUCCAAAGAAUGAAAACCACAGGCAUGCAAUGCAAGCUCUUUUCCCAUGUUUUCCUCUGUUUUUCUCCUAUCAUGGAAGUGAUUAAAACACACCUCUAAGCUUGUUUUGCGUUUGGUAGCCGAGUGUAAAAGCUCAAUGCAAGAUAGUUUGAGGUAGAAUUUUCUCCUGUUUUAUUAGGACAAUGAUGAGCUAUAUGUGACAACAAAUUGCUUUAAUAAUGAAAAUUAAAAAAGUGUGAUUCAUUGAAUAUUUGCGGGGUUUUGUUCAGAGCUGACAAAGUUCUAAGUCAACACAUCAAAUUCCUUUUUCCAACAAUCGUAUUUGAUUCACAAUUUUGUCUGAUAUACAUCACAUCAUGACACUUGCAUCAAAUGAAUUUAAUUGAGUGAGGCAAUGGGAAGUAAUUAAGCUCUAUAUUGGUGGGUGGAGUGUUACUUCUGGAAUCCUAAUCAUUCGUCCCUACAGGACUCUAGAACUCUCACACUUCUUACAAGGACUACUUAACUCUAUAGCUUAUUGCAUAUAGCAUAUAUAUGCAAACCCAAUUAGAAAUUCUACAACAGAAGCAAGAUCAAUCUCACUAUGCCUUCUAAACAAACAAACAAAUAAAACAAGCAUAUUAAUUGCUUUAAUCACUCUACUAACAUCAACACAGCACACUUAGUUUACUAACAGAUGAUAUAGAAAGGAAAAAAAAGGACCAAUAGGGAGAAAAUGGUGAACUAAGGAGAGACUAAUACUUCUGGUCCUUAGAAGGCAUAACAGAAAUAAUAGAGCACACUGCUUGAAUGCAAGUCAGUAUUAGGAGCAAAACAGCUGCAAUGAAAGAAAUAGUUGCCCAAGGUGUAUUGAAAUAAUGUUGCCUCAAAUUUGCCUUCCAUUUGUUCCAAGGCUUUCUGCAGUAGCUAUUAAGGCGCUCAGAAAGAGUAGCAAAGUAGAAGCUUUCACGAUACACUGCAAUUCCUUUUCCGAGGUUGUUAAUCAGAGUGCACACCUCAUUGUAGUCACCAAGCAUAUUUUUGACAAUCCCAUACUUCAGAAGGAACUCCACAUCCUUUUCGGUGUUCACAAACUCAUCCAUGAGUGAAACAUAAUCACUUAUGUAAUUCUUACGGCAAUGGCACUAUUCAAAGGCAAUGAGGUUAUGGAGUGUGAGCUCUGUGUAAUCGUUUAUUUUUAGUUUUGGAAUUUCUAGAAUCCCAUCGUUGAAUCGUGUUAACGCAGCUUUCCUUUCCUAGCCUACGCGGAAGUCAACUUCACAAUCUCCUCCUAGCAAUUAGCCUUUCCUACUGUAAAUCGGAUUGUAUUCAUGUCUAUAUUAUUUCCUACCUUAAAUAGAUAUCCUGUACUAGUAUACAUAGGGACUUUGUGUAAUCUGUUAAAUACAAGGAAAUAUAUACUCUACAUGGUAUCAACCUAACCUAGGGUUCUCUCUCUCCCCCUUAUUCGAUCCUCUUCUCCUUUAGGUCCACCUCAUGGCUUCGUUUGAAUCCACCAUCUCCCUCCCAAGCCCUAACUCUUCUCAUUUUAUCAAGCUUACUAACUCCAACUAUCUUCUUUGGCUCCGCCAACUCAAACCCUUUUAGUUGGCCAUGACCUCUGGAAAUUUAUCGAUGGCAUUCAUAAACAACCUUCUGCCCACACCUCCACCUCUACCACCACAACACCCACAACCACCACCACUCUUACCGAAAUCAAUCCUACCUAUGCUCAGUGGUACCAACAAGACCAACUCAUUGUUAGCUACAUCACCAGUACACUCUCUGAGUCCAUUUUCUCUCUCACUGUCGGUUGCAUCUCUGCCCGGGAUCUCUGGGAGUGUCUCCAAUGCCACUUCUCUUAAUCCAAUAUGGCCAGUGAAUCUGCUCUUCGUUUUCAACUCAUGGAUUUGCAAAAAGGCUCUCAACCCAUUGAUGCUUACCUUCGUCAUGCUAAGUCUCUUGCCGAUUCACUAGCUGCCAUCAAUUAACCUGUCUCCCCAAAAGAACUUGUCACUGCUGUGCUUCGGGGUUUAGGACCCGAUCACAAAAUGCUCAUCACAGCAAUUCUCAAUUUCUCUCCGCUUCCAGACUUUGCUGAUCUUCGUGCUCGUUUGUUAGCUUUUGAUGCACAGACUCCUCGAAUCUUUCCUGAUCAAAACACAACGCUAAUGGCCACCCAAUCUUCUCCUUACACCACCGGUCAUACUUCCUUCCCUUCUCACCGUGGUUGUGGCUCUUCCAGCAAUAGGCGCGGUGGCUGGUGCAGUAUUGGCCGUGGUGGCUGGCACAACUUCUCAUCUUCCUAGAGCAACCCGUGGAAUGGCUUCCAGCAGCCCUAAUGACCUAAUCAACUGUGGCCUCCUUUUGCUCUAAGUUUUGGAUCUCAAAGCAACUGGCCUUCCUUUCAACCUCUUUGGGCCCAAUCUGCCGCUUCUAGCAAACACUCUGCCCGACCCAACUCAGCUCCUGGUGUCUUGGGACCCGCUUGGUGCACCACAUGCAAUACCAAUCGACAUACUACUACAACAUGUCCUUAUUGCUACAAUGGCCCAGAAUUCUUCCUUUGCUGGGGCUCAAUUCAUGCAGCCACCUAACUCUACAUGGUACCCUGACACAAGUGCCACUCAUCAUAUGACUGGUAGUUCUUCUAAUCUCCAAAGGAAAUUAAAUGAAGGAGUCCUACGAAGGCUCAAGGCUCGAAAGCACACGAUCCGGCUCUGCUGCGGAGCUCACUCAACUACUGGCUGAGGGGGCGCAAAACAGAAAAUUGUGAGUGGACAAAAAUAAAAAUUCAGUUCAGUGUAAACCAACGUAAUAUAACCCCACCGUUUAGAAAACCAUGCAAGAAAUCCAAAUGCAUCUCAAAACCAUCAUAAUCAUCAAAUCAAAAUCAAAUACUGGAUGCCAAGUCCGAAAUCCAUAAAGAAAGCUUUACAAACCCACCAUCCAAAUCUUACAAUCCCACAACUAAACUCUCGAAAGCGUACCCAUUGGCAGUACCAGCAAGGAAGUAUCCUCACCGAGAAACAAGAACAAAAGAAUAGCUAUAUAUAUAAUUAUAUAAUAUAACCACACCUAGUUGUACCGGGAAAACAAUCCAACCGGGGGAUUGUUUGACUAGUCACCAUGGCAGAGUCAAAGUAAACAAAUUCCUCAAUUCACCAUGUGACUAGGGAACGAGCUGUCCAACUGGGGGACCAACUCUCAGCCAGCAUGUACCGUCGAUAGCCUCAAAACCCGUACGUCUGUGACCAGUCCUACGCGUGCAGACUACCCAAUCAAGGGUUUACAGCAACAUCCCAUCAAGGAUGCCCUAGGUUCCCACAAUUCCAAGUAUCUCAAGUUUGCGUAUCCAAGUUCCAAAUCCGGGGAGGUACAUAGGGUAGUGCUUAUAGCACUCCAAAUUGACAUUCUAUACUCAUCACUUUCCACAAUCUCAUCUCAACAACCUAAGUACCCCACACAUAGCCAAACAUAUAUAGAAAUUCUCAAAAUCCAUAUAUACAUACUCAAGAUACUCAAAUAUGUCAAAAUCCAAAAUAUAUUUCCAAUGCAUCAUAAAAAUAUCACUUUUAACAAUUGAAUAAAUAAUAUAUAUCCAAUAUACCAAUUAAAACAUCAUGCAUAAUAUUUCCCAUCAUAAAAUCAUGCAUAAGAUUUGAAAACAAAGUCCACUCACAAGUAGUCCCACACUGCUUGACCUUGAGAGGGUCCCGCCUACUGCGUAUGCGUGGUUGGAGUACCUAUUUCAGAAUACGUAUACGAGAUUAAUAAGAAGCGUUUCGAACGAGAACUUUGAAUUAAAUAUCCUAAUUUCCCAGGUUUCUAGUAAGUGUACUAGGAACGAGACGUUCUAAGGUUCCACUACCCAAUUCGAACCAUGGAAGAGCUUCGGGAGACACUCGGUCAACCGGCGGUCAAAUUCCCAAAUCGGGUCAACUGGCCCACGGGACCCACGACCUCCGUUUUUAAAAUCCGUAAGUUCCUAAAGGUUUCACAAUGUCUAAGAUACUACUAUCACAAGUUUGGUCCGAAACGGACUGUUAGAUCGCUUACGAUCGCACGAUCAGACGGUUAUUGUAAAACGUAAACUUUAAGUUAUUGAAUCAGAACAUCCGGGGCUCCGAUUCACGAUCCGCGAAUUCCUACACGAUCCUAGGAAGGUCUAGAGUAACAUAUAUUGGAAUGGAGUCGAUCCAAAGGUCCGAACAUAUCGAACCUAGACCGGAUAACUCCUAAUAUGUGAGAUUCGUUCGGGGUUCGAACAUCAACCAAAUUGGAAUCCUAAGGUACCUACGUGCUCGUGACAUUAAGGGGAUCAAUUGGGACAAAAAUGCCCCUCUGCUACAGUGCCCACGUGCCACCACACGCGGCGGUAGAGAGUGGGUGUCCAAAGCGAUUUCUCUUCGCCGGAAAAUCUCCAAAUUACAAGCCACUCUCCUGGCUACAGGUUCUACUCAACGAGUGGAACACUUUAUUCAACUACAGCCAAGUCCAAUUCGGACGGCAAGUGGCCGGAAACUCACGGUUUAACCCGGAACUUCAUGGCUUGGAUUGGGCGACCAUCGUCACCAUUGUCGUGGCACAACCUAGGAAAUAGCUAAAAGGAGAGGAGGGCUACCUAUUCCAAGCGAUGGCGCAGCUCGCGGUAGCCGAAAAUGUAGCCGAUGACGUUGGCAGUUUUGGCCGGUUUUUCACGUCGUUGCCAUCGCCGUUUGUCGAGUUUUCGAUUGGAGAAAAGGGGUGGGGUGAGUAGAGGAGGAAGAGAGGAAGCUUUUGCAAGAAAUGACACUUGUCAGGGAGGGGGGGGUUGGGGGAAGAGAGAGAGAGAGAGAGAGAGAGAGAGAGAAAAAAAAAAAAUUUCAGAUUUUCAUCCAAACCCUUUUCGAAAUAUUUACAAGUUUGCCACUAAACUACUUUUGGUUGCCAAAUCUUCGUUAUAACUCCGAUUCAAGCCUACCACGUGUCUACGGAUUCGUCUCAAUACAACCUACCCAAAAAUACCAGUCACUGCCCCAAACUCUUUUUGGGUAAGAAAAUGACCAAAAUACCCCUACCCCAAGGGUAAAUUCAUAAUUUCACUUCAAUAAUUUAAUAAAGAAUUAAAUUUGGAGUCGGGGUGUUACAUUAACUACCUGUUUAGUAGGUGUGGGGUUUUAUACAAAAAGCAUCGAUGUUAUUGGGAGUGGAACCACUUAUUAUAAGUUGUGAUUUAUUUAGUCAAGUUUCCUAUGUGGGAUUUUCUAUUCUUCAACAAGCCCCCUCAUGUGGGACCACCACAUAGUGGGCCACAUGUAAAGCUAAGUCCACAUCGGAGUCAAUCAUUCAAGCCCAAUACCUAAACACCACGUAUUGUGUGAGGGGUAGGGGUAAACAUUCAAGCCCAACAUGUGAACCACCAAAUAUUAAGUAAGGGUAAAGGCUCAAUUCAGGCCCAAUCAAUGAACCCAUUAUGAUAUCAUGUUAAAUUUCAGAUAGACGGGACUGUGGCCCACCACUAGCAACAUUGAUAUUGUCCCCAACUUAACUACAUGUUUAGUAGGUGUGGAGUUCUAUACAUAAGGUCUCGAUGUUUUUAGGAGUGGAACCACUUAUUAUAAGUUAUAAUUUAUUUAGUCAAGUUUCCAGUCAACCUGACUUUGAUACCAUGUUAAGAUUUUAAAGGGACGAACUCUUGGCACUAUUAGUAACAUCGACAUUGUCCCCAACUUAACCACCUGUUUAGCAAGUGUGGGGUUUUAUCCUAAAGGCCUCGAUCUUAUUAAGAGUUGAGUCAUUUAUUAUAUGGAACUUUCUAUUUUGUUAACUCUGUGUAUUCUUCAUCAAUGUGAACACCCCUAAACCAAUCAUACCUGAUACGAAUUGAAACACAAGUUUGUUUUUUGCCUUUGGUAGAUGAGUAGCUAGAAAAGCUCAAUGCACUUGCUCUUCUGCUACAUUUCAAUAUAAGAACAAGGUUUGGAAGUCAGGUCAACUCCUCAUAGCUUCCUUGCCUUUGCUUUGACAUGUCUAUGCACUUCUUGGGGAAGUUUGAAUAAUCCAUUGCAGGCCCCAUGACAACUAAGGAACCAACAUUUUGUAGAAGGUUUUGUCUAUACCUUUUGACUAUAAGUAAAAUCUUUUGUAUCUGCUCUUAUGUUUCGGUGAAGUUUCUAUGUGUCCUUUGUGCCGAGUUUCUAUGCGUCCUUUGUUGAACCAAAAAAUGAGGUUGUUUCUUACUAGAUUCAAAUACUUAAAAGAAAAAAAGAAAUUGUUGUUUCUUAAUGGAUUUUAUGAUGAACAAUAUCAAACUCUCCUCUUAUACGUCUGUUGGUAAAUUUUAACAACAAUAUUAAAACCUUGCAAGUGCACAAAUCAAAUGAUAGUAUAGUAAGCAAGCAAGGGUCGAUCCCACGGAGAUUGUGAUCUAAAGAGAUGUUUAUCAAUGUCACGCAAUGAAAAUCAAAACAAAGGACUUCCAAACACACGCCAACACCAAGGGGGGUUUUGAUUUGUUUUUGUGAAUCAAACAAAAUAAGGAAAAGGAAACAAAAGAGAAUUUAAAUUAGAGUUUAAGAGAAAUUGGUUUAAAAUCAAUCAAGAUCAAUAGCUAGGACUUACUAUCCACCUCCAAACAAUCAAUCAAUCCAUAAACAACAAUAGAUAAUCAAUUUCUAGUAAGCACACUACUACAAAAAAGCAAAAAGACGACGGUAAAUCACCGUCGUGUAUUCGGUUUUUCAAUGGUCGUGGAAUCCACCGUCAUCUUUUCCCUCAUAAACCACGACGCUAAAUCACCGUCGUUGUUACAAUAUACAACGUCAUCAACAAAUACAAAACGACGUCUUUGUACUGCAAAAAGAUCUAAAAAAGCAAUCGAUGAUGAGAAAAGACGACCAACUCUCUAAACAAACCGUCGUUAAAAAGAAAAAAUAUGACACAUAUUAACAGAACAUGGCCGCAAGAUAGACAUACAACGACGAAAAUUAAAAUAAGACGCCGUUAAAUAUCAUUUUCACGACAAUAAAAAAUAUGUCGUCUUUAAAUACAUUAGAAGACGACGUUAUUGAUACCUACUACGUCGCCUAUAUAAAAAUAACCGUCGUAAAAUAAAUUUUCCACUUCGAUUUUUCUAUAAAAGAUGACGUGGAAAUAGUUGUCAGUGUCAUUAUUUACGACGUAUGUAUUUAUAGAGUAGACGUUGAACAACGAAACAACGUCGGUUACAAAUAUAUGAGAGUCGUAUUACAAAAUUUAUACGUCCUAUUUUCAGAAACAAACAACGACGAUAAAUAUUAGACGUUGUUAAAUAAAACAACGUCGAAAACAAAUAAAAACAGACGUGUUUAGUCUGCUAAAGUUCUAAAAAAUAGUCGAGGAUGAGAAUAGACGACCAACUCAAACAAAUCACCGUCGUUAAAAAGGAAAAAUAUGACACAUAUUAAAAGAACAAGGCCGCAAGAUAGACAUACAACGACGACAACUAAAACACUACGCCGUCAAAUAUAAUUUUCACGACAAGAAAAAAUAUGACGUCUUUAAAUACAUGAGAAGACGACGUUAUUGAAAUAUACUACGUUUCUUAUUUACAAACAACCGUCGUGAAAUAAAUUUUCCACUUCGAUUUUUCUAAAAAAGAUGAUGUGGAAAUAGUUGUCAGUGUCAUUAUUUACGACGUAUGUAUUUAUAUAGUUGACGUUGAAAUGCGAAACAACGUCGGUGGCAUUUAUAUAGUCGACGUUGUAUUUAUAUGUAUUCAUUACUCACGACGCACUUAUUAAUAUAGACGACGUUGAACUUCUAAACAACGUCGGUUCCAAAUAAAUGAGAGCCGUAUUACAGAAAAUAUAGAUGGCGUUGAUUAUGAUGAGAGCCGUAUUACAAAUAACGUCGUUUAAUUGAUAUUAGACGGCGGUUAUAAUGAAUUACCGUCGGAAUUCAUUUCGUUCCUCUUCGUUUAUAAAAGAACUUGCGACGUGGAAAAUGUAUGAUGACGUCGUAUUUUUUAACGUUCAGAUUAUAUAUCUCGUUUUUUAGACGUCGGUAUUAUGGGAUUGGAGUCGUGUUAUUUUGAAUUACAUGGCGGUUCUUAAUCCUUCCCCGACGUGAUAUCCUGAAUAAUUGCUUCAUAAUAGCGUCGUGGUUCUUCAUUGUUACGUUGCUUUAAGACGUCGGUAAAUAUGCUGAAUAACUGGUUCACAAUAACGUCGUGUUUUAUUUGAACGUAGAAAGUGAAGAAAUCACAUUACAAUAUAUUACAAAAUUAAUGUCAUACACUGCCAAUUACAUAAGCAUCAUUCAAUCCAUAUAUCUUCACACCCAUCUCGAAUAUUUUGACCGCCUAACUCACCCACCAGUUCAUCAAAUGUGUCAACAUUUGGCAUCCCUCUAGUAAAUGGCUCACACUCAAUUAUCACAUCACCUAAGACUUCAUCACCAAUAACAUUAUUAUAUUCUCUAUUAGGCAUUGAUAACACUACCGACCAACCACGAUGCAUCGGGUCGUCAACAAAAAAUAUUUGUUUGACUUGAGAAGCCAAAACAAAUUGGUCAUUCCUAUGUCCAAUUUUACUCAAAUCUACAAGGGUAAAUCCAAGUUCGUCGACUACAAGACCAGAACUAUCUAUCCAAUCACACCUAAAGACUGGGAUUGUAAACUUUUGGUAGUCAAGGUCCCAAAUUUCUUGAAUGACACCAUAGAAACCCAUAUUUGAGAGAAUUGAGUUUUUAUCCUUGGCACUAGCAACUUGCAUGGUAUGUGCAAGUAAAUAAACUCCACUAUUUUGAGUUGUCCGCACAUCAUCUUGUGCCUUGAUAUUGAAUUUAAUACCUUUAAUAAGAUAGCUCCUAUAUAAUGGCACAGCCAUGUUUGGACCAGCUGCUAGCCACCUUAAAUUUUCUGAUACGCCAUGAUUGUCUUCCUCAAGUUCACUUUGAACCUGCAAAUUAAUCAUAUAUCUUAAUGCAAUCUAACAUAGAAAUAAGAAGAAAAUUAAAAGAGAAAUAUGUUAUUCAACAACAUAUACCUUGAAGCGUAGCCAUUGAAUGAAAGUGUUAUUGUGCUUAUCCUGCAGCCACUUUGUGAUUUAAGGUAUGACAAUCAUGUGAUUUAAGGCCAAGAAGUCUUGAAUCUUGUAAAGAUACAAGAUUUUUAAUAUUUGAAGAAUAACCUUCAGGGACCUUCAUACCAUAGAAAGAAUUGCAAACCUCUCUCUUCUCUGCUCUUGACAAAUUCCAAGGCCCAGGAGGCAAACGAGUACGUCUUUCUCCAUACUCGGGUUGCAAAUCAGUUUUGACCCCCAUGUUCAAUAAAUCUAAUCGAGCAGCAAUCCCAUCUUUAUUUUUUCCAGGGAUCUCCAGCAAUGUACCAAUGAUACUAUCGCAAACAUUCUUCUCAAUGUGCAUAACAUCUAGGGCAUGCCUCACAGGAAGGUAUUUCCAAUACUCGAGAUCAAAGAAUAUUGAUUUCUUCUUCCAACAAACUCUGUCACCAUUUUCAACCAUGUGCAGCACUUCUUCUCCGGUUAAUGGCUCGGGAGGUAUGCCAUAUUCAGGUUUCCCAUUAAAAGCUGCACGUUGCCUCCUAUAUGGAUGAUUGAUUGGUAACCAUUUUCUAUGCCCAAUGUAACAAAUUUUGUGGCCAUUUUCAACCUGUGACUAGGUGUAUCAUCGCCGCAUAUUGGACAAGCUUUAUAUCCUUUAACAACACAACCAGAUAAGUUUCCAUAGGCGGGGAAAUCAUUAAUUGUCCACAUUAAUGCAGCUCUGAGUGUAAAGUAUUCUCCAUUAUGUGCAUCAUACACUCCUCUAAUCCCAUCCCACAAAGAUUUUAAAUCAUCAAUCAAAGGCUCCAAGUAGACGUCUAUAUCAUUUUCGGGUUGUUUAGGACCGGAAAUCAAUAAGGUUAACAUCAUGAACUUUCGUUUCAUGCACAGCCAUGGAGGGAGAUUAUAUGUAACUAAGAUAACCGGCCAACAACUAUAUCUGCUACUUAGAGAACUGUGGGGAUUGAAUCCAUCAGAUGAAAGAGCCAAUCUCAAGUUUCUCGGCUCAUUACCAAACUCAGGCCAUUUAUCAUCAAGAAGUUUCCAAGACGGGGAAUCCGCCGGAUGAGACAUCUGACCGUCAAUUGAUUUUCUAGCAGCAUGCCAAGUCAAACUCUUAGCUGUCUCAUGUGAUUGAAACAUCCUUUUAAACCUUGGAAUUGGAGGAAAAUACCACACCACCUUCGCUGGCACAUCCUCUUUCAAGAUUGAAUCUUUGCCUUCCUUCCACCUUGAGAUACCACAAGUAGGACAAUUAGUUGAAUCCUCAUACUCCUUCCUAUACAAGAUGCAAUCAUUGGGGCAUGCGUGCAUUUUCUCAUAACUCAGCCCCAAUGCACACAAAGUCUUUUUUGCCUCAUACAUAGAGGUUGGUAUUGUAUUUCCUUCUGGAAGCAAAUCGCCUUGAAGUAUCAAUAAUUCUGUAAAACAGACAUCACUCAUCCCAUGUUUUGCCUUCAAAUUAUACAACUUCACUAAUGCCGAUAACUUCGUGUACUUUCUACAACCAGGGUACACUGGUUGAUCUCCAUCCCCAAUCACAUUGGCAAACUCAUACGGAUCGGAACCAAAAUCACCAAAAUCAUUAUCAUCCAUAUCAAUUUCUUCAGACACAAAACUGUACCUACUAUGGCCAUCAUCUUCUUCAACAUUUCUACUAGCAUUAGUAGUUGCUUCCCAAGGUUCUCCGUGAAAUGUCCAAUUCUUAUAGCUUUGGUCAAUUCCAUUAAAGUAUAAGUGAUCCCUUAUAAUUCCAACCCCAAACAACUUCAAAUUAACACAUUUAACACAUGGACAACGGAUAUGUGUUGUAGUUAGAAGAUUUUCUACAGCAAAGUUCAAAAAUGCUUCCACCCCAAACUCAUAUGCCUUCGAUCUUCUAUCCGAGUGCAUCCAUGACUUAUUCAUCUCCGACACUAUAACCUAUUAUCUAUAAUAAAGUGAAAAUACAGGCAAUGACCAUCACUAUAGCAGAUUAUACAAAGAUCUAAUAGCAAGUAAUACAUAACAGAGACGACGGGUUUUAAACAAAAACAGACGUAUUUGGCAUAUAUAGACGACGGAUUUUCAACAGACGUCGUCUAAUAUAAGUAAUACAAACGACGGUUUAUGAAAAAACCGUCGUGUAUAAGUAAUACAACGACGGUUUUUUCAUAAACCGUCGUGUAAUCGUCGUCGUAUGCCUAAAAAGGCGUCGUGUCUCAGUUUAUUUUCAAGAACCCAAAACCCAUUAAGAACACAACAUAUAUAUGAAACCAAGCAAGAAACCAACAUAUACAUGAAGCCAAGCAUGAAAACAAUAAAUCCAUUCCCAAUUCAACAUAACAUAGGGUGAUUAAAAGAUCCGACAAAAUUAAAACCAUUCCCAAUUCAACAUAACAGAUAAUGUAAUCCAUGAACCCAUUAAACAGAAAAUCCAUGAACCUAUACCUAUAAGCACAUUAUUAACAGAUCGCAAAGCAUAUACCUAAAACCCUUUAACAAAACAACCUAAUAUCAUUCAAUGAAUUUACAAAGGGAAGAUAGGGUUUGUACUUACAGGUUGGACGAGCUCACAGAUUCGACGAAGCCUGGAGAGUGCAACUUUUAAUUAGAGCAGAAGUGAGAGAGCGAAUGUUAUGUUGCGCGAAAUCUGAAAAUUUUAGGGUUCAGGGUUAGAAGUAUAAGAAUAAGAGCCAAAUAUAAAAAAAUUUAGGGCGCGCGAAAAUUUUUAGAGCGCGCGCUCUUUAAAACGUCGAAAGAAAAACCAUGGCGAAAGUUCUACAAGAACCGACGUAAAUGUAAUAUUCCACGACGAAAACACUUAACGUAACGCCGUUUAUUUUGACGUUCAUUUUUCGGAUUAAUUUUAAAUUUAUUUUGAAUAUUUUGAUAUAAAGACGACUGAAAAACCACGUCGAAGUUAAGAAAUUGAAAACGUUGUAAAUUAUAAUAGACGACUUACAUAUUAAAAUGACGUCGUUUAAAGUGGAAACCAUGUCGGAUAUUUUACUGCACGACGUAACAUAUGUAUUCCACGACUCAACCACCGUCGUUAACAAUUAAUACCCUAAACCCUUAAAACUAAAUUAUAUAAUUUUAAAAAUUAAGUUUAUAAAAGGGUUUAUGGUUUUACAGCCUAAUAUAUACCCUAUACUACCCAAAAAUUAUACUUUAAAAAUAAACCCCAAUAAAUAACAACCCUAAUCUCUAAACCCUAGACUCUAAACCCUAAACCAUAAAACUAGAAGUGAUUUUAUGACUCAUCAAAACAAUUUUGUUUUGGAUGGUCAUUUUAAAUUUUUUUUAUUCAAAAUGAAUUUUUUCAAGGUUUAGGGGGAAGAAAAUAUAUCAAUGACUUCAUAGGAGUUGACUUUUCAUUUUUCUGAUUUAUUUUAAAUUUAUUUUGAAUAUUUUGAUAUAAAAAUAAUAAAAUAUUCUUAUCACAAUAACAAACCACGUCGGUGUUAAUAAAUUUUAGACGUUGUAAAUUGUAAUAGACGACUAAGUUGUUAAAAUGACGUCGUUUAAAUGAGAAACCAUGGCGGAUAUUUAACUAUCCGACAUAAAAUAUAUAUUCCACGACUUAACCGCUGUCGUUACAAAGUACUACCCUGAACCCUUAAGAAAUUGAAGACGUUGUAAACCAUAAACGACUCAAUUGUUCAAAGAACGUCGUCUAAAUAUCCUUUUACGUCGGAUUUGGUUAAAACGAAACAACAAAAAACGACGGCUUUUGACUUUAUUACGUCGUUGGAAAAGUAUUACACGUCGGUUACGCAAUUUGUAUGUUUGUUUUUUUUUUUAAUUUAAGAAAACCUCAACAAAUUUUUACAUUAUAUAUUAUAGACAAAAUUUGUACAUUAUACAUAAAUAUCAAGUGUUCAAUAAUUCCCCUAUUCCAGGUGAAGGCAAACAAACUCUGACCAUUCAUUCCGGACUUCAUCAAUUGCUUCUUGGGGGUAUGGCGCUUCCUGUUUUCCCUUGGCAUACUGCAUAAACAAUGACUAUUAGGGUUUAUAAAUAAAAAGAAAUUCAAUCACAGACGACGAUAUUUUUCAUAACCGACGUACUAUAUCUAUUCAACGACGGUAAUUUUACAUGACCGUCGUUGAUAAUACAAAAAACGACGUAAAAUGUAUGAAGGUAAUUUCUUCUUACCUUCUUCUCAAACCCCAAGGAAGGAUCCAUGAUGAUGUCCCUCAUGAAGCGCAUCACAUAAUACCCGCAUUCGACAUUGCUGGGUUGCUUUGGUGUCCCUGACAGAGUUUUCCAAAUGGCUGCCUUACGGCCUGGUCUGGCUAUGUGAGAAUUAUAAAUUUUUAUAGCACUGUUCACAAUGUUUUUGGCCUCUUCAUCGACCACACGAUUUCCUGGCAGAGGAUCCAGAAAAUAGACGGUUUCUCUCUUUGCUCUUACAAUCAGCAAGAUCCAAUGACGGCUGCACAAAAUUAAUAUAAAAACGACGGUUAUUUACAAUAACGACGUAUUAUAAUGUUUCACACGACGAAAUAAAGUAGCAAUCGACGACAUUUUACAUUUAUCACGACGAUAAAUAACUACCGACGUGGUUAGUAGUUUCAAACGACUCAAUAAAAUAAAACACCGACGUGGUUAGUUUAUACGCUGUAAUUUAUUGAAAAUCAUAAAAACAAAAUCCUGUUAAGGAGACUAACCCUGGAUUGUAAGGCAUCAGGAAAAUCUGUUCACCGUCAGUCUUUUGAAGUCGAGCUGCUAGUAAGCGUGAUCUGUCAGCUAUUGUGCCAGAGUUGGCACUAACUGUAGCAAGGUCGAUAAAGCCAACCAUAUUGCACAUAUUUGCUCGUUUCAAAACAUCGUGCAAGUGCCUAAAUAUAUAAAAUAAUAUAAACAAGUCAGCACAAAAAAACACACGACGGUUAUGUAUAACAAAACGACGUAUUAUAAAAUUUCACACGACGUACUGAAAUAGACAACGACGUUAUAAUAUAUUUAUCACGACGGUAAAUACUAACGACGUGGUUAGUUAGUUAAGACGACGUAAUAAAUAAACCAACGACGUAUUAUUUUAGAAUGACAAACCUCAUAUAUACAAAAAAACACGACGGUUAUGUAUAACAAAACGACGUAUUAUAAAAUUUCACACGACAUACUGAAAUAGACAACGACGUUAUGAUAUACUAACGACGUGGUUAGUUGGUUAAGACGACGCAAUAAAUACACCAACGACGUAUUAUUUUAGAAUGACAAACCUCAUAUAUACAGCAAUGACAGUGGCUCCUAUUUCUUCCAUGCCUGCAAAUUGUGUAAUAUCUUCAGGCAGGAGGAAGGUAUCGCGCUCUAGACCAAACACCUCCUUAUCAAUUGUAAAGUGCAGGGUCUUAUCCUGAGGCACGAGUGUCGUUUCCACAUAACGACAAAGGGAGUUUAAAGAAGAUGGCGCCUCCAUAUUUGAAUAAUCAACAACUUUAAUAACCUGUUUAAAGAAAUAUAAAAAAUGACGUGGUAAUUCAAUAAAAACGACGGUUUAAGGAAUAAAACGUCGUCUGAAAAGAAUUUAAACGUCGUCUGAAGAAACCGUCGUGGUGAAUAAUUUAUUACGUCUUAAAAAAAAUUCCGCCGUCUAAGUUGUAAACAAACGACGGUUUAAAGAAAAAUAUCGACGUCUGGAAUUUUGAAAAACAAAUAAAAAAGGCAAAGUUAUGUGAACAUACCUGGUCGUCAUCUUCUUUCUCCUUUUCAUCAUGUUUUUCUUCUGUCUUCCCUUCAUCUAUUACGUCGAGAAUGACUAACUCCGUCGUCUAAAAACCACAAAGUUUUAAAAUAACGACGUUUAAUGGCGUGUAAAACAAGUAAACUAAAUACGACGUGGUAUUGAAAUACAAACGACGGUUUAUGUUUAAAAUCGUGGUGGUAUGUAUUUCAAACGACGGUUUUAUUAAUAAUAACGACAUCUAAUGGUUUUUAAAAAAACAGAGAAUUCAAAGUUCAGAUAUGUUACCUUUUCUUCCUGAUGUUUCCCAUUUUUGGCAGUAUCAUCCUCAAAAUGCUGGGAUCUCACAUCACCUCCAGAGCAGCUUGCUUUGUCAGACAUUGGAUUUUUGGGACUUUGGCUAAUUCUGGGUUUAAGCAUGCUUGGAUCAAAAUUGGGAAUUAAUUGGGAAAGCUGACUCAGGAAAUGCUCCCUCUCAGCCUCUACCAAUUGUUUCGUUCUAGCCUCCAUCCUUAAAGCCUCUUCCCUUGCCUUAGCUUCCAUCUUUUUAGUCUCUUCUUGAAGGAGAACUCUUAAACUGUCCUUCAAACGGUCGUCAAAGCUCACUCUCUGUGGUUUGGGUAAAUUGAAAUAUUGCCUUGGUGAGAUCCCAGCACCUACUCCUCUCACUCUGCCUGGAUGCUCGGGGCCCAAAGCCAUGGUCAGCACAUCAUUGCUGCCAGAAACAGUGACUUUGCCUUCCGAGACUUGUUUUUGCAAUUCAUCCUAAAACAAAGAUAUAUAAAAAAGUAAGAACAAAAACACACGACGGUUAUUUAUAUACAAACGACGUAUUAUAUAAUUUCACACGACGCAAUAACAUAUAAAUCGACGUUAUUAUAAUUUAUCACGACGGUAGUUUUUAAACCGACGUGGUUAGUUUUUAAAACGACGAAAUGAAUAAACCACCGACGUCUUAUGCUUUAUUUACAGAUAACAGAGGGAUGAUUCAAUAUUCACACCUUUAACGACCUUGUUUAAAAUAUUUCGACGUAGUAAUUCAAUACAAACGACGCGAAAAUGAACCACCGACAUCUUAUGCUAUAAUUACAGAAAACAGAGUAGUGAUUCCUGAUUUAGACCUUUAACGAUGUGGUAAUAUCAUUCACACGACGCAAAAUAUAACAUAAGACGUAAUAAGAAUUAUUCACAGUUUAAUAAAAAUUUAAAACAGAGUGAGUAGGCUUACAAUUAAUUUUGCUUUCUCUGCCACCUUUGGAUCCGGGAUGUUACCAUGUUUGUCCUGUCUAGCUCUCUUCCAUAAGGUAGAUCGAUCAAUUUCUACCCCAGGCAUGGUUUCCUCCAAUUGAUCCUCCAAACCAGCAUAUCCUUUUCGAGACAAUCGAUGAUUGUACUCAAGUUUCUCCCUAAUCUGUGCAUGUUGAGAAUGCACAGACUCAAAAUCUUUGGAUAACCUUGAAGCUACAAAGGCAUCCCAUUGUGCUUUCUCUAUGAAUUUAUAUAUUUCAGGGGGUUGGCUUAAUCUCUCCCUGUCAUUAGUGUAUGGAAGGAUAUAUUGCCUCGUUAGUGUAGACUUGAAAUCCUUCCAUUUCUUGGCAGCAGAAGCUAACACAGAGCUCUUGCCCCCUUGACCUACCACAAAAGCAAUGUCAACUGCUUCCCAAAUCUGCUCCUUUAUAUCCUUGGAGAUUUGAGCCUAUUUCAUGUCCACAAGUGGAACUCUGGAGCGUGCCAACACACCAAUGUAGGACUGCAUCUCACUAUGUGCUUGGCCAAUUCCUUUCCCCCUUUUAUUGUACUCAACAAUUGGCCUCAGUUUCUGAAGUUUUCUCUUCACAACAUGAGGCAUUGUGCUCAUACCUCGACCAGACUUUGAAUCAUCAGAGAUUGUUGUCGUGCUGGUUCGUUCUGUCUCAGCAGAUGAUGAAGCAAACUUCAUCUUCUUCGAAGGCUUCACUUGAGGAGGUACCAUUCCAAGGUCCUUACCUCCAUUUUUCUUGGAGCCAGAAUCCUUACUUUGGUCUUAGUGAGAAACCAUUUUUACAGACAAAACUGCAAGUGAAAAUAUUUCAGGAAAAGAUUAAGAACACAAACGACAGUUAUUAAUAAAAUACGACGUAUGAUAUGAUUUUAAACGACGCAAUGAAAUAAUCUCAGACGUAAUAAAUGUUUAAAACCAAGGUAAUUAAACAACGACGAAAUAAUUAACUAUAAACGACGUGAUAAUUAACUAUAAACGACGAAAUAUUUAUAUAACGUCGUGGUAUUGAUGUUCACACGACGUCAGUCGUAAUAUACCGUCGUCUAUAUAAGGAUCCAAAACCCUUCUUUCUUUCUCUGUGAAUGUUUGAUUGCAGAUUUGAUUUUUCUGAACCAUGGUUUUUGUUUUCUAAUUUGAUAAAAUACAAGGCCAAGAAAGAAAGUUUUGGAAUCUUAUAUAGACGACGGUAUUUUAAUAUGACGUCGUGGUAUUAACAUUCACACGACGUAAAACAAUAAGAUACUGUCGUCUAUAUUAGAUACCAACCCUACUUUCUUUUUCUUUAUAUUUUAUCAAAUUAGGGAAAAACAAAAACCAUUGUUCAGAGAAAUCAAACCUGCAAUUAAACAAGCAAAUAAAAAAAAGACUAUAAUUUUAAAAACAACUUUGUCAAUUUUCAGACGACGCUAGAACGACUGACGAACCGUCGUGGUCUACAUAUUUAACCACGUACAUAAGAAGCUACCGUCGUCUUAUUUAGUUGAGGUAGUUGUCUUCAAAGUUGGAAACUUUCCCUCUUUGUCUGUAUAUUUUAUUGAACUUGGAAAGAAGUAAAAUGAUUUUGGCCAGAAAAAAGGUAAAAAGAUUUUUCAAACAAAAAACGUAUGAGCAUGCAAAACAACAACCAAAAUAGUGAAAAUGAAAGCUUACCUUUUGCGUGCAAUGAAAGCAAGAGGAAGAUUAUGUUUAAGUUCAGAGACGACGAAGAAGAAGAGAGGAAGACGAUGAGAUACUCUGACAGUGCUCUGACAAGGAAAAAAGUCUAAAAGUUUUCUCUGGGAGAUUGAACUUUUUAAUCGGGUUUGAAAACGGCGCAUGUGUAUGUCAGGUAGACGAAAAGUUGCUUACAUAUAAAACCAUUUCAAAAAAAUAAUACGGCGGUUACAUAUAACUACGACGUAUAAAUUACAAAAUACGACGGUACAUUUAACUUCGGACGUGGUAAAUAAAUACGACAGUAGUGUUGUAGGUACCGUCGUAGUAAACUCAAAAAUUAAAGUACAUAAGUAAUAACUCGCGUCAUGGUAGAUUAUUUAACACGUCGUUUUUAUUAAUUUACCGACGUGGAUUUCUGUAAUAUACGUCGAUAAUACCGACGUUGAUUUUACAAUUUAAACGGCGGUUUUUUUGUAAGGACCGCCGUUGGUUUUAAAAAUUUAUUCUAUAAAUUUGUCGCUUUCAUUCAUUUUCGGUUUACAUUUAAGGUUCCAAGUUCUUCCUCUCUCAGUCUCUCACGUCUCAAAGACAAUAAUUUGGAUGUCUUUCUCAAAGAGAAAUUGAGCUUACUCGCAUCAAAUAUAUGUCCACAAGAAGAAGCUUGUCAACUAGCCUUCUCACUUCCUUGAUCAAGCCUGAUAGGACACUUAGUGCUUCUGAAUACUCCUUGCUUUCCAUCAAAAGAGAUGCAAGCCUGGCCUCCACUCGCUGUCGAAGGAAAGUUCGCUUCUCAGGGAAAUCUUCUUGAUUUUCUUGGCUAAGAAGAUCCGUCAGAUUUGUGAUAGCCUCUUCCUUUAUCCGUAGAGCUUCAGAAGAAGAAGAUGGGUUUCAAGAAUGCGAUAAAGAAUAGAAAUGGCUUCAGAUGGCCUCUAAAGCAUGAGCAAUCGAAUCAGUAGUUGUUGGGAGAUAUGAUGAAGACAUUGUCAAUGCUUUGAACUAUACAAGUCCUGCAGAAAGAUAAAGGACCAAACUGUUAAAGAAACUGAAACAAUGGCGGUUUUCUGUUCUACCGUCGUCUUUUCUCGUCGUCUAUAUUAAGGUAAGAUGGCGGUAGAUUUAUAAUUACCGACGUAGAUUAUUUUGUUAAACGUCGUUAAGUGUACUACAACCGACGUGGAUUUUAUUUUUAAAUUAUAAAUAGAGUUUUUUUUCCCCUAUUCUUUCAGUUUUAGUUUUCAAUUACAAAGCGUGAUAAAUAGAUUUUUCUUUCCCGAGGAAAUUUAAAAUGAGGGAAAUUAAUGUUCUAGAAUUUGUAAACUAACACGACGCAAUAUUUGCAAAUCUGUGUCAUCUGUUAAGAUUAUGAUGUGGAACAGAGUUCCAUCUGGUAAGAUUUCGUAACCCUUGGGAUCUCAGACAAAUCUGAUUAUGUCGGCGGUUUUCUAUAUAAAUCGUCGUGGUUAUUUCAAUUCUUGUCAUUAAGUAGAUCUACCGACGUAGGAUAAGAAAAUCAAAGAAAAAAAUUGUUAACAAAAAUUCUUAUUAAGACGACGGUUAAAAUUAAAGGUACGACGUAUAAAAUGAAUAAAUACGACGUUAAAUUUUAUUGUACGAUUUAAAGAUAACGUCGUAGAACUAUAAGAGAAUGACGUCGAUAUAUUUAUAUUUUCCGUCGUUGUACAUUAAUUUAAUACGGCGAUAUUUUGUAUUUUAAAGCCGUGGAUUUGUUUGUAAUUAUACGGCGUCUUAUACGAAAACCUCGUCGUGUUAUUUUAUGAGUAAAAACGGCAGUUUUUAUUGAAAUCGUCGUCUUUACUUUCUACGUCGGUCGAUUCAUAACUUCUGCCGUUCUUUGUUGGCAUUGAUUUUACACUGCGAAAAUCUGUUUCAAAUAGACGUCGGUUGUUUAAUUAUGUACGUUGUUGUUUUUGAACAGCCAUUUGAAUCUCCAUUUUUUAGUUGUCUAAGGUUGUAUUACACGACGGUGUUUUUAGAACCGUCGUCUUUUUAAAAACCACGACGGUUUUCACUUAGACCGUCGUUGUUUUCUGGUCGUCUUUUUCACUUUUUGUAGUAGUGGCAUAUGAUGACGACACUCACAACAAGAUCAUGGCAUUUGACUCGAGUUGUAUGAUUCUCUCUUAAGUGUAUGUAAAGUGUAUGACAUUUACAUCAAUACGUGUAUUCUUAAUUGAAAUCUACUAUGGCAUUUACUCAAAUUAACAAUCAAGAAUCCAUUAAGAUCAAAGAGAAUAUGAGUGUCACAAAAACCCUAAAACAUGGCAUUUGUUAUUAGGAAUUCAAGAAUCGAUUUCUCAUAACUAGUUCUUAACCCAAUUAUUCGUUGCAAAUAAGAACACAUUCAAUAUGGCAAUUGACCUAUGUUCUACAACAAUUUAAUUCCAAUACAUGCUUCUAAGUUAGCUACUCAAAGAAACAAAAUAUCAGAAUUCACAUAACAUAUAGAAACCGAAAACAUCACGCUUGUAGAAACUAAAAAUCCAUUAACCUUGUUUAUAAAAUUGAAAUCAUGUUUAGGGCUUCAAGAUUAAGCCCUAACUAACAAGAAAUUAGUUACUCAUGGUCUUGGAUGAACUCAAAAAUAAAUACAUAAGAACUGAAAAUUAAAGAAGGAAGGAAAAGAAAGAACUCGUUCGCAGCUUUCUCCUCUUGCGCUGUUGAUCUCUUUAGGACGUGAAUCCUUUUUAUCAGCCUUGCCUCGUCUUUUAUAUCACUUAUAUCAGAGUUCUAAACCCUAAAAUUGACUGAAAAGUCGUCCAAGAAGUCUUGGUAAACAAGGAAUCCAAAUAGGAAAGUAAAAAUCACAAUUCCUAACUCCACUGGGAAAUACAGCUCAGCCCAAUGUUCACACGAUUUUGGGAUCUUCGACCUUGUAGAAAAAUCAUUAAAAAUAUAUUUUAGAAAGAUAAAUGUCUUAUCUUUCCAACCAUAUAUAGCACGUAACUUGAAAAAUUCGGAAAGGCUUCCGUUUCUUCACAUUCACGUAGCAUGUACGAAACUGUCCUGUCUGCACGUGGGCUAACUUUACUUGUAAUACUGUACCAAUUGGCUCGGUAGAAAAUUCUAGAAAAAUCAUAGAUUGAACUUCAAGAUGUUAGCUUUCAUCUCCAAUCAGGGGCGGCCUUGGGGAGGUGCAAGUGGCGCCACCGCACAGGGCCCCCGAAAAAAAAAAUAUUUAUAUUAUAUAUAUAUAUUAAUAUUAUAUGAAUCGUAUAUAUAAUAUAGCGUCUGGAUAUUUGCACAACAGCGUGUUCAGGGGAGUUGGAUGGAGCACAUCUCUCUUUGGCAAAAGGGCCCGAGUUCGAUGCUCCUUGAUGUCGUUCUACUGGCUAGCCUUUUGUGAUAUUAUUUUUGCAUUCAAACUUUACAUAAUUAUUGAACCAUUGGAUUAAUAUGCAACGAUGGGUGACCACAAUCUCUUGGACUCCUGUGGUCCAUGAGAUCGGGACUGAUAUUACAUGACUUAUUUUAUUAAAUUAUUAUCAUGUUGAUGAUUGGUUGUAUGAGAAUAUAGUUUGUAGAAAUAUUUAUCUAUUUCUUGUUGGGGUUUUCUUCCAGGUUAUAGGGUUUUGGAAUUUUUCUUUGUAAUCUAAACAUGCCACCUACUAGAAAAUACGUUUAUGGAUAUACAAAACGGCUUAGAAAAAGAAAAUUCGAGGAAUUGACUCAAUCUCAAAGAGGAGCUCUUGAUAGAUUCAUUGUUAGAGAAUCACAUGCUACAAUUGAUGAAAAUAUUUAAAUUUUUAUGAAUUUAAUUUCUGAUUUUCAUUGCAUAUUUAUUGAUGGUGAAUUUUAGUUAUAAAAAAAAAUUGUUUAUGACAUUAAGUUAUGGCAAAUUUUUAUAGUAUUUUCGUAUUAGAUUAUGCAAGGCCCCAAUUUAAGUUUCGCACAGGGCCCUCAAAAUCUCAGGGACGGCCCUGUCUCCAAUUGGUCUUGUGCUAAAAUUCCUCCGAAAAGUUGAUUUUCCCUUAAAAACCUUCUAAGAGUGCAGAAAAGCUGAAAAUCAGAAAAAUAAAGUAAUAAGCCAUUUUUAAAUCUAAUUCUCUUACAAAACCAAAGUAAAAAGAGUACAUAAAUGAGUAUAUUUAUGGACUUAUCAACGUCUUCUUCGUUGGACUUGGGGUUGUUUUCCUUAUAUGUCCCCUAUAUAUAUAUAUGGCCUUUAGUUGAGCCCACAAAUACCUUCAGUUAGUUUUUGGGUUUAGGGGCCUACAGAACCUGCACUAAACAAUAAAAGAAAAUACCUAAUUAGUUUAGUACGAAUUUAUAAUGAAGGCUUUAUUAGGUGAAGUUUUAUUUCUUAAUCGUUAGAUCAAAUUGGUUAGCAUCUGAAGUCGCCCAAAGAUUUGAGAGGGAUUCCACAAACAUAUAAUAUAAAGAAAGAAAGCAAUAGUAGGAGAUGAACCAGUACAAAAAACAAUAUAUAAAUAGUACAUAAUAAUUCCAUAACCUUGUCACAAACGCACUCACAAAUGCUUUCCAUAAACCUUGCCCUAACAUAUAACAAAUAAAGGCAACAUUGCAUAUGAUGCAACCAUGUCCAAAUCUGAUACGUGAUAAAAAAAAAAGGACAUGGCAGCAACAUAUGACUGAAGUAGAUGGGCUCUUUGCAUCUCGUGUUAUCGUAAUUAAAGACAUCAAAAUAUUAAGGUUGAAAUCUUCUAUAGUAGCAAGCAUUAAAAUAGGUUUGAAGCAGAGUUUAAAGAAAAUUCCAAUUCCACUGAUUUGCCUCUGCUCAAAGACGAGAACCAAAAUGGUUACUUCCCUUGCUGAGUAUAUUUGUUAACGUCGGAAACGGUAAUAGAUGACCAAUCAAACCCAAGUACGACGAGUUUUGCAUAGGAUCAGAAGUAGUUGAAUCCAGCUUGCAUCACACGCUUCUUUGACUCCAUUGCAUUAGAUGAGUUUUUGUAUUUUUGAACAGCUACACUCCGAAGUCGUUUGUGUCUACGCUUCAUGCGCUGCAACUUCGCCCUAUCCAGAUUGGCCUGCCUUUUGUCAUCUUCAAUUUGGCCUUCAACAAAUUCCAAACGUGCCCUUGCCCUUUGGAUUUCAUCACCAAGUUGAAGAUGCCUCUCCUUCCAAAAAGCAAGAACUCUUUCAGACUCAAAACUUCCAACAAAAUGGUCAUUCUAUCUAGGAAUGUGACAUUGCUUGUCUGGUGACUCACCUGCGUUUCAAAGGCGGUCUUUGUUUGGAGGGGUGUUUAUUAUGCUCACAUCAAACUUGGUUAGUAAAUCCAUUCUAUGGGGGGAGUGAGUUUCUGUGGAGGAGAGAGUUUCAGUAGAUGGAGACAGAUUCGGUGGAGGAGUGAGAUUUUUGUGGAGGGAGAAUUUCUAUGAAAUGGGUGAUAGUAAUACCAAUAAAAGGGUUCCCGCCAAAAAGUAUUUGGUUGACAAUGUAUAAAUUAAUUUUUGGUCUGAUACAAUCUAAGUUUAAUCCUAACUAGUUUGGUUAGUUUGGUUGAAUUCACUAACUAGAUGUCACUUCCAUUGAGUUUCUUUCAACCACUAUCAGUGGUGUAAGGAGAGUGUGAGGUUGACAUGCUUGAAAAGCAAAACCUAACACCUCUUUUUUUUAAAAUUGAAAGAAAGUACAUAUGUUGACUACACACAAGCUUUGGUAUGUUGGUCUAUAAAGCUAUGUUCCCUUUCUCAAACGAAAUUGCAUAUGCAAUCCUCGUCCUCCCAAAACAAAUAGAAUUAUUCAAGCAUGUCAACCUCUUCAGGCGCCAACAACACAAUCAAAGAUGACAAAUUGGAGUCGCAGGUUCUAUUUCCACAUUGUACUCGCCGACCCCUUCCAUUUUCAACAUCAUUUGGGAGUGAGGGGGACUCCGAUGAUCCAUUAGAGCUAAUACAUGCAGUCAAUAGCAAGCUGGAUUAUAAUUCCAGACUGAUCAAUUCAUGGCGCGAGAAAUAUGUUGAAGACGAAGCCAUUUUGGCUGAUCUUAACAUUAGAGUGAACAAAGCGUUCUCCCAAAAGAACAAGUACUUGAAGCUGAGUCAUAAAAGGAAGCUGAAAGCUGAGGAGUUAGAUACAGUAAUGAAUGAUGAAAUUAAAGGUUGUUUGAUGAAUCAUAUGCGAUGCGAAGAGCACCACAGUGAACUGGAGUUGGCAUUCAACGAAGGAUUCGAAAAAUUACGAGCAUUUGCAGCAACUACUCAUACAAGUUAUAAUUGGGACUAUGUGUCCCCUGAUGUUGUGAGAGAGAUACUAGACGAUGGUGGUGACAUGAAUGAGCAUAAGCACGUCAAAGCUGCUUGGAAGAAGCCGACCGAUACGACUAAGUGAUUGCGGCUACAGUUGUUCAGUUGGUUGAGAGUGAUCGUGGUAUUGCACAAAUUAGAAGUAUAUUCCCAUAAUGUCAUUAUCUAAUUUAAAAUAACACAAAUAUCAGUUUCAUUUGCUUCAUAUUGUAACACCCCGACCCCAAAUUUCCCCAAAAUUUACCCUCAUUUAAUUAAUUAAUUAUUUAAGGGUAUUUUAGUCAUAUUUUUAACCGGAGAGAGUUUGGGACCAUGACUUGUAUUUUUGGAUAGGUCGUACUGAGACGAGUUCAUAGACACGUAGUGGGCUCGAAUCAGAGUUGUAACGAGAGAGAUAUGGUCAAAAGAAACCCAGUGGCACAAUCGUAAAUAUUUCAAAAUGGGAUUUUUAUAAAAAUCUGGUUUUUCUCUCUCUCUCUCUCUCUCUCUCUCUCUCUCCCGCGACUUCUCUCUCUCUCCCGUCGGCUCUCUCUCUUUCUCUCCUUGUAUCUCCGGCCACCGACCACGGCUGUGGGCGGGGCCGGUACCAAACUGACCGGGACGACGUCCCCUUCCUUCCCCGACCAUUCCCCGCCGGCAACGCGGCCGUUGCUGGCCGGAAAAUGCAGAAAACCGCCGGGAGGUCGUCGAAACUUCAACGCCGUCGAUCUCCCUCCUCCGGCCACCAUUUUCGUCGACCCAGGUAUGGAUCUUGAACCUCUCGAGCUGUUCUAGCUGUUUGUUGGUUGGGUUUUGAUCGAUUCGAUCUCUAGAUCACUCGAUUUUCGAAUUGAAAAUUGGCCGAAACUUCGGCCGCCGUGAUCGGCCAUUUUCGGCCACUUUUUGUGGUAGGUCCAAGAACAAAAGUGGCUCCAAAUAGGGUGUUAUACCUAGGGUAGAAGUUUGGAGCCGAGAUGUUGAGAUUUUCCGGCGAAGCGUUAUCGCUUUGGGCACCCACGCGUGCGGC
rnacentral:lncRNA from 1 species